CUAAAAGUACGCAAAGACGGCAAAGUAGAAAGGCUUAUGGGCACCGAUAUUGUUCCCCCAUCACUUGAUCCCAAAACAAACGUUGAUUCCAAAGACGUUGUGUAUUCUCCUGAACAUAAUUUAUCUGCUCGGCUUUACCUCCCGAAAAACACAAAUCAAAACCAAAAACUUCCCCUUCUUGUUUAUUUUCACGGCGGAGGUUUUUUCAUCGAGACUGCUUUUUCACCAACUUACCAUAAUUACCUCAACGACUUGGUCUCUGAAGCUAACAUCAUCGCAGUAUCGGUCGACUACCGAAGAGCCCCAGAGCAUCCUCUUCCUAUCGCUUAUGAAGAUUCAUGGGACGCAGUCAAAUGGGUUGCUUCCCAUGUUGACGGAAAUGGCCCCGAAGAUUGGCUCAACCGUAAUGCUGAUUUUCAGCGAGUGUUUUACUCUGGGGACAGCGCUGGUGCUAAUAUUGCUCAUCACAUGGCGAUAAGAAACGGUCGAGAAAUUAUCGACGGCUUUAAUGUUGUUGGUAUUGUCUUGAUUCAUCCAUACUUUUGGGGUGUUGAACCUGUUGGUUCCGAGCCUACUGAUGUUAAAAUAAGAGCUGGAACGGAGAGAUUUUGGCUAUUUGCUUGUCCAAGCACAAGCGGGCUCGAUGAUCCGUGGGUUAAUCCGUGUGCCGACGGUUCGAGCCUCGCGAGCCUGGGGUGCGCCAGGGUGCUGGUGUUUGCUGCGGAGAAGGAUUUCCUGUGCCCUAGAGGAUGGUUUUACUAUGAGAAGUUGAAGGAAAGUGGGUGGGGGGGCCAUGUGGAGAUAGUUGAGUCUAAAGGAGAGCAACAUGUGUUCCAUUUGUUCAAUCCCACUUGUGAAAAUGCUGGGUCUAUGCUCAAGAAAAUUUGUUCGUUCUUCAAUCAGGAUAAGCCUUGAAACUGAAGAGUUAUUUGCUUUGGUUCGGCAAAUAUUUGGGAGGAAAGAUGAAUAAGGUAAUUAUAAUAACUCUAGUGUGUGUGUGUGAUUUUCUUUCCUUUUUUUUUUUUUACAAGUGGGAUUCCGUGGAAUCAGAAUUCGGAAAAGGUUUUGGCAUUCUGGAAUCAUUGAUGUAUUAAUAAUUAGAAUCAAUCGUAAAUCAAUUAAGACAACUUGAUGUAAUAGUAGUACUGUUCACGGAGUCCAUCGAUUUCUCUUUGAUUUCGGAUCAGAAUAUAUCCAAUAUGAGCUCUGUUUCUUUCAAUUUUCAGCAACUUCAUUCAUUUCACUUAGCAAGUUAUCCUACUAAUCCGGUGAUUUGCUGAUAAAAGAUGAUCAUGCUAACGGUCGGACACAGUUGACUGCCGGUCUUCAUAAUUGUUUUAUUAAUUGAUAAAAAUAAGUUAAAUAAAAUUAAAGUAUUAAAUAAAUAUGACUUGUAUGAAUGUCAAUAAUCUAUAAUACAAAGAUAGAGAAAUAAAUAUUUCUGCAUGCCAACGUGAGGAAGAUGAAAAUUUACUUUGUCAUGUCUGUCUUUCAGAAGAAAAAAAAAAUAUUGUGAUUUCUAUUGGAUGGAGCAAGAAAAAAAUUAUCAAUAGUUUUAUAUUGGAAAUGCCACAAUUUCUAUGAAGUCGAAAAAUAUCUACACAAAUAUUUGGAGACAGCAGAGUCUAAACGAGAGCCGCACGCAAUGCUGUGGCUAUGCUCAAUCAAGAUAUGUAAUGCCUAAGCAUAAAAUAUUCAAUAAUUUGGUUGUUGAUCAGAAGGAUAAUUUGCUUGCCACUUAUUCAAGAGACGUGGAGCCAAGCCAAAUCAGAGUUGGUGAGAAAUAAAGAGCGUGGUUUAGAUAAAUCCACAAAGAAGGCAGUCCUUACCAAACAAAAUUUUCUACUAUCUUCAACAAAAACUGAUACGAUUUUUGAAAUUACAGUUUCGGUUAUGAUAAUUCAAGGAUUAAAAUCUUACCAAUCCUCAUAUUAUCUUGUCCCAAAAAACAAAAACAAAAAAUUGAAAGAGUGGUUUGGUACUUACAAAACUAUUACAAGGUGACGUGUCAAUAAUCAACUCUGCUAACUCUUUUAAUUUAAUUUGCUCAAUUAUUGUUAAUUAUUUAAUUAUGUAUUUCACUUCAAAACUCCUUUUUCAUUUUUUUCUUAAUGAGUUAUCGUAACAUUUGUCUUGAUUUAUAUGGGCCUAAUUGUAUUUGUUUGGACACCAUUUUUGUCCCUUUAUCAUUUUUUUUUUAUUUUUUAAAUUGUAAACGUUAUCCACUCUUGCUGCCUUCCACAUACCAAAUCUUGUCUUCAUCUCUGCAUAUUUUUCUGCUUCAUUUUCCUUUCUCCUUCUCCUGGAGACCAAACAAAGCCCGUCAAUAUUUUUCUGCACUUUUUCUCUACACAUGGAUUCCACAGAGCCGGCAGCAGAAAUAGCCAUAGACCUCUCUCCCACGAUAAAAGUAUACAAAGAUGGCAAAGUAGAAAGGCUCAAAGGAAACGACAUCGUUCCUGCAUCAUUUGAUCCCAAAACAAAAGUACAUUCCAAAGACGUUGUGUAUUCACCAGAAAACAAUCUAUAUGCUCGGCUUUACAUUCCAAACCAAAGACAAAACCAAAACCAAAACCAAAAACUUCCCCUUCUUGUUUAUUUUCAUGGAGGAGGCUUUUGCAUCGAAACCGCCUUUUAUCCCACUUACCACAAUUACCUCAACACCUUAGUCUCUGAAGCUAACGUCAUCGCAGUCUCGGUUGAUUAUCGGAGAGCCCCGGAGAAUCCUGUCCCUUGCGCUCAUGAUGAUUCAUGGACUGCACUCAAGUGGGUUGCUUCCCAUGUUAACGGAGAAGGCCCUGAAGAUUGGCUCAACUGUUUCGCUGAUUUCCAGCGAGUGUUUUUUUCGGGUGACAGUGCUGGCGCUAACAUAGCUCAUCACAUGGGCAUGAGACAUGGUCGAGAAAUUCUCGGUGUUAAUUUUAUUGGCAUUGUUUUAAUUCAUCCGUAUUUUCUGGGCAGAGAAGCUGUUGGUAAUGAAACAGCUGACUCUAAGAAAAGAGACUGGGUCGCGAGAUUGUGGAGAUUGACUUGUCCAAGUAGCACAAGUGGGUGCGAUGAUCCGUGGAUUAAUCCUGCCAUUGCGGGUUCGGACCUAGCGAGCCUGGGAUGCGCCAGGAUGCUGGUAUUUGUUGCGGAGAAUGAUUUUCUGAGAUCUAGAGGAUGGUUUUAUUAUGACAAGUUGAAGGAGAGCGGGUGGAGGGGCAAUGUGGAGAUUGUUGGGUCCAAAGGAGAGCAACAUGUGUUCCAUUUGAUAAAUCCCAUAUGUGAAAAUGCUGUGGCCAUGCUUGAGAGAACUGCUUCUUUCUUGAAUCAUCAGGAGAAGACCUGAAUUCAUGUGCCUCUAACUAUAUUUAUAAUUUUCAAUUUCCUUUUUUUUUUCUGUCAGCUGCUAUUUUUACGGGUAUAUAUAUAUAUAUAUAUAUAUAUAUAUUUACCAACUUCAACCGUUCAAAGGAAAUUUAUUAAUUAAAAAAAGUAUGGCAAUUCUCAGAAAAUCAAUUGAACACAGAAAUUAAUAUUGGGUUGGACUAUUGUCAUCCCUCGAAUGUCCUCGUAAAACCACUUUUAAGAAUAAUCUCUAUUUAAUUCCACAAAAAACCUUCCAAUUAUUUUUCUCAAGAAAAUUUCAGUGAACCUCAUCUCUCUCUCUCUACGAAACUCUUCUAAACUCAAUGACAUUUUUCUUUCAUUUUAAAUUUAUAAUGAUUGCUCUUAUUCAACACCGCAAGUCCAGAGCUUGAACUUAUCAAAUUCAGUUUUUGAGGGAUUUCUUUUCACACCACUAAAUCCAUAUUUUUAUUCUUUUAACAAGAAUGAGACCUUUUUUUCUUUUUCUUUUUUAUCACAAACAAUUGUAUACUUUUAGAGUUAUUUUGUUUUACAUUAGUCUUUGUCUUUUAUUUAAAAUUGUUCUUUUGAAGAAUUCGUUUGAUGAUAGAUAAUGAAUGGUUUGUAACUGAAAUUCUAUAUAUGGGUCAUAAACAACAAAUCUGAUUGCUGCCAAUAUUCUUGAAGAAGAUGAUUGCAUUUAAUUAAUUUUUUUUUAUAAAAUAACUCAAAUGAAAGGUUUGAUAAGAUUUUUAAAGGGUGCCAAUAGCUCCAUUGCUUAUUUUUAUAAAAGGGUGUCUGUACUAGGAAGGAUAUUGUUUAGGGGAAGAAAUUGAAGAUUAAUAAUGUGGCGCUGUGCGUUGAUGAAAAAUUUUAUGAUUAAAAAUAAUCACAGAGGGUACCUAACUUACACUGGGUACACUUGAUAAUUGAGCUGGCACGUGGAGUAUUCCAUACUAGAAGUAAGAUGGUAAAGAAAAGUCUCUAAAAUAUCAACCGUGAGAAAUGCCUCCAUCACCCUGAGAGAAUAUUUGAUUUGACAAGAUCAAAUAGGAAAUAUCUUGCUAGAAAAGAGGGGGCAGCUUGCUGUCACACCUAUAAAAAGCAAAAGAAAACACACCAAGACAAUGGUCCUUAGCUGCCACGCAUAGAAGCUAUCAAGACAACCUUUGUAGAGGUGUCCUAGACUACUCUGCAACGCACAACACGUGUACAAGAAAACAAACCAUACCAAAUGAUGUCCUUAUUGCUCCUCAAGCAUGCUACUAAUGGCUCAAAAUCAUGAUACUGGUGAAAGGAUAAAAUAAACUUGAAAAUGACAGCAAAUCACCACUGUAAUAUAUGCCGCGUGGCAGGGUAGUCAAGGUGCUCUAUAUAUAAAGACACUAAAGUUUUAUUUUGCUCAGGUAUACAACAAACUCACACAUAAAAGACUAAGGUUUUCUCUAACCUCCAGCAAUCAUUAAAGAGAGCUUACAAGCUCUCAAACGCUAGAUAACCCAACUCUGACUUAAGCAUCGAACCAUGGUCGCUGGCCACUUCCGGCUUCACCUAUGAUAUCCUUUUUAUUGUUUUGCUAGUUUAAGGUGUCCUUUCAAGCUCUUUCACUCCAGAUUUGGACCUCUCACCAUUAUCAUUGUCUUCUCACUCUUCUUCAUUUUUUUAAAAUGCACAAAACAACGCACAAAUUGCAAUUAAGUGAGGUACCUUAUAUCCCGAAAAUAAAUUUAUUAUUUUAGCCAGGUUUUCCUUUUUUCUUUUGCACCCAAAAUCUACCUGAAACAAUCAUCUUCAUCUUUAUCAAGACUAAACAUCUCUAUAUAGCUAUCUAGCUUAUUUUAUUCAUCUUGUAUAAUGUAGAAUCUUAUAUAACAUUUCAUUUAUAUAACGAAUUGAUGAUUACUUGCUCCUAUAGACGUAGGCUAAAUGGCGAACCACGUAAACAUUGUGUGUUAUAAUGGAUUGAUGAUUACUUACUCCCGUGGACGUAGGUCAAAGGCUGAACCAUGUAGACAUUGUGUGUUCAUUGCCUUUAUGUUUAUUUUGCUGUAUUUUCAAUUUACAGUCGUAAUUAUGUUCAUGUGUAAGCAUACUUGACGUACCCCAAUUACACUAAGUAUUUGGUGAGACACUUGAGCUAUCCCUCAAGUAUACUUGAGCUACCCUAACUACGCUAAGUAUUUGGUGGGACACUUGAGUUACUCCCUAAAUUAACUCCUAUAUAUUAUUUUGGCUCACCACCUAGGGUACCUUAGUUAAACCACCUAUCACAAAUAUCAGAAAAAAACAUCUAAGCCCAAACUUAGCACAAGCUCCCUCAAAUGUAAAUUUAUUUAUUUGAGACAGAUUUGAUCUGGUAACUAGUACGAAUCGGAUCCUAAUGAAAAUUUGGUGAAAACGGGUAUUAUCAAUAAUCUGCCCUACUAACAUCUAACUAUUUAUUAAGAUAACAUUUAUUCUUUUUAUUUGAAAUUUAAAUUAGUUUAACUGAAGUUUAAAUAAAUCUAAAUGCAUUUGUCUGUUUUCAUUUUUUGAUGCCUAAGUAUAUAAGUGGUAAGUUGUUUGCUUUUAUAAACUCAAAAUAUCUUAAAUCUAGUAUUUUAUACUUAUAUCCUUAGAUGUAUUAUACAUUUGGAAGUUUAAAUAGGUAUAUGUUUACCGGGUUAUUUAGUAUAGUAAUAUUUAUAUGUUAUGAAUAAUUAUAAGCUAAGCAUUUGAUAUACAGAAGAAAUAAACUAUGAAAAAAUAAUUUUGAUAACAAUAGUUUUUACAACUUACAGAAUAUUUCCACAUAAAAAAUUGCUAUCUAAUAAUAAAAGAAUAGUGUAAAAUUCAAAUUGAAUGUAUGUUAGGUAUUUAAUAGCAAAUAAAAGUUUAGAUCAAGAGAAGUUUUAAUGUAGGAUAAGAAACUUAAGACUCUAAAUUUGAGUUGUCCUCGGACGUACACCUGCUUAUGGCACCUCGGAAUUAUAGACUUACUAUGGUAAAAGACUUAGACCCAACGUAUUCGUUGGAGUCGUGGGAGCAAAGCAAGGCUUGUUAGACAGAAAAUAUGAAAUAUUCUAAAAAAUUCCUUCGUCUGCUAGUUUUUUUAGUGUAUCCAUGAUUAAUUCUUCUACCUUUUGAGUGUCAUCUUCAGAAACAUUCUUCAAUCCGAUACUAAAUUGAGGCUGAAGGAGUUCAUCUUCAAUCCCACCACCAACAAUGGCAUCUCCAAGACCACUUUCUAGUAAAAUUUUCCUCAAGGGAGAAGCAGGAGUUCUCAGCAUAAGAUGAUCCAAGAACCCAAGGGCAAGUUCCGUUUCCAAGUCUAAGGGCUUAUCUGAGAGCAACCAAUUAAGGCAUACCAUGUUCUUCUUCUUAAUAUCACCAGCAUCACCAGCAGGGUAUUUCUCAAUAAUCCUGAUUGGUUCUGAAAAUAGUUUCUGUUUUUCAACUAUUGAUUCAUUUGGGGGCUGAACUUGCUUCAAACAUAUUCAAAUACUCUGUGACAGAGAAAGUGCAAUUAAGAUGCUAGUGUACAGAACAACUUGAAUUAAGACCUUAUCAUUCAACUUACUAUCAGAAUGGCAACAUUUUGACAUGCAUGUGCACAAGAAAAUGUUGGAUUGCAUAGACAAGUGAAUAUUGGAUAUGCAUUGGAUUUUGGACCAAAUAUAAUAAAAAAGUUGCAAAUCAUACUGGAUAUGAAAACUUCCAGUUUUGGUUAUAUAUUGGUCUUUUGACUGAAAAUAGUAAAAUACUUCAUAUACCAAGUAAAGAUACGAAGACAAGCUAUAAUUAUAAUGCAUCUUUGUACCGAAACUAGUUCCACUAGAGCAAACUCAAACAAAUCCAUUUUAGGAAGGAUUUUAGUUUCCAUUAUUUAAUUGCUCAACCAGGCAUAGUUUUCAAGGACCACUCAUGCAUAUGCAUCACUCUGGGACCAGCACCCAUAAGCUUCGGGGGACAACCGAAAGUGGUACUCCAGUGAGAAAAAAGAAAAAAAAAUUAACAAAGAGCAUGGAUACUCAAUUCGUCAUCAAUAGAGAUGUCAUUUAUUACCACUCGGGAUGCGUAAGCGUUCAUUUGGAUCAUCGUCUCCAUAGAACCAUAUUUACGGUGAAAUUCCUGCCAUCAGAAAGACACAGCCUGAGAAAAAUAACUAACACAACAUUUAAGUUAAAAAAUCCCCAUACCAACAUAAAUCGAAAAAAAAAAAAAAUCAAAAUGCAGUAAAGAAUAUACCUUAAACUCCUCAAAUGUCAGCUUUGGAAUAACUUUUGGAUCACCUCCGCUAUCUACACCAUAUGCAUUGUCGGGAAAUAAAGCCUGUGAAGAAGUUUUGUAACUCAGUUGCAAGAGCAAACAAGAUAGCUUUAUCAGAAGCAUUCAAAAAGAAUGAAUUGGAAGCAUCAAUAAAUGAUCCAUAUGGGUAUGCAAUCAUAAGAUUCAGGCACUUUGUCAGUGAAACUUCGGAGGAAUAAACUAUGAACCAGUUUUCCAUUGUUUCCUGAUUGUAAGGAAUCUGAAAAGAUAUACAGUCAGACGAAUGGAGAACUUGCCUGUUGAGCAGCCCGCCCUAAUAUAUUAUCAGGCUGCGAAUAGACACCUUUCAUCUCAUUGAAAACAACACCUUCAAUUAAGAACAAAAAAAGGAAGGUCAAAGAACUUAGUUGCAAGUUGGAUGAAUCAUCACCAGGGAAAACCAAAUAACAGCAGAAGUUUAAUAUAUAUAUAUAUAUAGAGAGAGAGAGAGAGAGAGAGAGAGAGAACAAAUAUCUGCAGAUAUCAAACCUUUAUAAGUUAUAUCCUCUGAAGGAUUAUCCAGCUCAAAAUGCCAACCCUCCUGUUGAAAAGUCUGGAAGUCCUCCACACACUUUGGGAAAAAGACAGCAUCUAAGUAGACAUCGACCAAAUUAUAAAAAUCCUGUUUAGGAAACCAUCUUAGCGUAAGUAAAAUCCAAAAAAGAUGUAAGAGUUUCCAAGCUUAGGUUCCCGUUCCUCAUAACUCCAACUCAUUUUCUUACCUUUGUAUUCGUAGAAGCAACUGGGUAACAUGUUCUAUCAGGAUAUGUGAAUGCAUUCAGAAAAGUAUUCAAGCUUCCUUUCAACAAUUCAACGAAUUGUUCUUUCAAAGGAUACUUUCUUGAACCACACAACACACUGUGUUCCAAUAUGUGUGGAAUCCCAGUUGAAUCCUUCCUGCAUUAUCAAAUAGGUAAGGCAUAAUGAUCAGACCUUUUGCAACCCAAAAACGUGUCUCGUUGUCCAGAAAACUAUAACUGCCUGAAAAUUAUUUUCUUGUAUUCUUAGCAUUUUAAUGAUAAUAUCUAACAAUGUAUCUGAUUGAAAUUAAUAUAAUCAAAUAAAAUGAAAAGAGAAAAAAAAAAAGACGUUAUCAAACAGUGAGACAGAGUACAUUUACAAUACUUACGGAGGAGUUCGAAAGACAAUGCCGAAGACCUUGUUCUCAUCAUCGUUGGAUACAGACAUGACCUCAGCACCGGUUUUCUUGUGCUUGAAAAGCACAGCCUUUGAUUUACACUCUCCAAUGAACUCUUCCGAAACCUUCUCGAAUCCAAGCUUCUCCGCCACUUCAUUGCUGACUUCAGCACCCUCUACACACACAAAGAAAACCAAUCACAGAUCUCAAUUCAACACACCAAUCACAAUAACUUAAAAGAGGAGUUUCAAUUUUUUUUCCAAAUAAUAGAUCAUUUCUAACGAUUAACAAACACAAAUUUACAAGAAUUGAACAUAAUUGUUUUUUUCUUUGCCGGUAAUCAUUCAAUGAACCAAUAAAAUUACUGCUUAAUUAAACGUAGGAGAUUAAUUAAAUAAAUAACGGGAAAAGAGCUGAAAUUUAGAAAGAGUGAAACGACAAAUUUGCACCUGGAGACGAGGGAGUGGAAGGAGAGGCGACGGCGCGAGGAGAGAGAGACGAGAAGUGUUUGUUGAAUUGAAGAGAGUAAGAUGAUAAGGAGAGGUGUAAUCUGCUGUCGCCGCGGAGGAGGGAGCGCCUGGUGAGGUUGUUGAUCAGACGGUGGUGAUUUCUCCUCGCAACAGCAACUGAUGAUGAUGAAAAUUUGGCGCGAGGUACGAAAGAGAAAGUAGAAUCUGUUGGAAGCGAGGGAAGUACAAGAGAGAGAACGAAGCAACGCGGCUCGCUCCAUUGUUAGAAGAAGGGUAGGUACUACGGAGAGAGAGCCUAAAAUAGGUAGCUUAUCCUUUUAAUAUCAAUGGUCAUGGCUAUGAAGCUUGGUUAAACGAUCAUGCUGAUUUUGCUCGUGUUUUUCUCGCCGGUGACAGUGCUGGUGGCAAUAUUGUGCACAACAUGGCCGUUCAAGCGAGUUUUGAAGACUUAAAUGGGAUAAAACUGGCAGGAAUUUGCUUGGUUCAGCCAUAUUUUUGGAGACAUGAUGAAGUUGUUGAUAAGUGUUGGGUAUUUGUAUGUCCAAAUACAAGUGGGUACAAUGAUGUGAGAAUAAACCCAUGUUAGGGUGCUGUAAUUCGAGUCAAUCUUGUACUUAACUGGCAUAAUAUUCUUGUGAUAUUCUCUCUUCCAUUCUUGGUAUGUAAAUCAAUUAGUUUAGGAAGGUUGAUUGAUUAUAGGAGGUCUAGCUUGAUUUGUGGAGAAUACUCGAAAUAUAAUCUUGUAUAUAUAUGUAUAGGAUGGAAUAACAGAGCAGGGUUUUUCACACCAAAAUCAGUUUGUUCAUGGUAUCAGAGCUUUGCCAUGGAGACCAAAUCAGACACAUCAAAGGUGAGUGAUGAACAUGUGAAAAAUCAGAUUUCACCAUAUUACCUCUCGGCAAGUGAUAAUCCUGGGAAUAUUAUCACACAAGUUCAACUAAAGGGAGACAAUUACGAUGAAUGGGCACGAGCGAUAAGAACGGCGCUACGAGCCAAAAAGAAAUUCGGCUUUGUUGACGGAAGCAUGAAAGAACCUGCGAAGGAACCUGAGCUAGACGAUUGGUGGACAGUCAAUUCCAUGAUAGUGUCAUGGAUCUUGAACACAAUCGAACCAACCUUGCGCUCCACCAUAACCCACAUGGAAGUGGCGAAGAAGUUAUGGGAUGAUAUAAAAGAGCGGUUCUCGGUUGGAAACAGACCACGUGUUCAUCAACUCAAAUCUGAACUGGCUGAAUGUAAGCAAUGAGGAAUGACCAUCUUGAGUUAUUAUGGCAAGCUGAAACUAAUUUGGGAGGAAUUGGCAAAUUAUGAACAAUAUCCGAUAUGUAGCUGUGGAGGAUGUGCAUGUGAAUUGGAAGCCAAGCUUAACAAGAAACGUGAAUAAGAGAGGCUUCAUCAAUUUUUAAUGGGCCUGGACGAUACAAUAUAUGGGUCCGUUCGUUCUAAUAUUUUAAGCACCGAUCCCCUAUCGCCAUUAAACAGAGCAUAUUCCUUGGUUGUUCAAGAGGAGAGGGUGCAGACCAUAACUCGGGGAAAGGAAGGACGUGGAGAACCAGUAGCAUUUGCUGUUCAAGGAGGAGUGAAAGGGCAAAUAGAGAUCAGAGAAAAAUCUAGUGUAAUCUGUAAACACUGCAGAAAAACGGGGCAUGAUGCGGAUUCGUGCUUCCAAUUGAUUGGGUAUCCAGAAUGGUGGGGAGAUCGAUCACGGACUGGUGGGCGUGGAGCAGGUCGUGGUCAAGGUGGACAACGUCAGGGCAUAGCACAAGGAGGAAAAGGGAGAGGAAGUCAGAUUAAAGCCAAUGCAGCCCACGUGACAAGUGAAGGAAGUGGCAUACAGGGCCAUGUCUUAGAUGCAGAUAAAACUGGACUCAAGGGGCUGAGUAACGAGCAAUGGAGUAUGCUUCUUAAUCUUUUGAACUCACAGACGGAAAAGAAUCAAGAAAAACUAAAUGGUAAGUAUAAUAUGAGAGCUUGGAUAAUUGAUACCGGAGCCUCUCAUCAUAUGACAGGGAGCCUCAAAUUGCUAUGUGACGUGAAGACUGUAAUCGCAUGCCCAGUUGGUCUACCAGAUGGGAAAGAAGUAAUGGCAGAGAAGAAAGGGAACAUUGUCCUUGAUGGACGUCUAAAAUUAACCAAUGUGUUAUAUGUGCCUAGUUUGAAUUGUAAUCUGAUUUCAGUGUCACAAUUGGUCGAAGAAUCAAAUUGUAUUAUCCAGUUCACUAAUAAAUUUUGUGUUAUACAGGACCGCACUUCGAGGAUGCUGAUUGGUGCGGGUGAACAACGCGGGGGGCUCUACUACUUCCGAGAAAUUGAAUCUACAAGAGCAUUGCAGACUGUUGCAAAAGGGACAAUUGAUCUUUGGCAUCAGAGGUUGGGCCACCCUUCUGAAAAAGUUAUUAAAUUGUUGCCAAUGGUUGAUACUACGAAAAAUAAGGCAUAUCCCAAGAAUUGUGAUGUUUGUUUACGUGCAAAACAAUGUCGUAAUGAAUUUAUUUCUAGUAAUAAUAAAGCUUCUGCUGUUCUGGAAAUGAUUCACUGUGAUUUAUGGGGUCCAUAUAGGACGCCGACUUUUUGUGGUGCUUAUUAUUUUCUGACUAUUGUGGAUGAUUUUUCGAGAGGAUUGUGGGUUUAUUUGGUAAAUAACAAAUCAGAUGUGGGAUGAAUCAUUCGCAAUUUCUUGGUUAUGGUGGAAAGACAAUUUAAUGCUUUUGUGAAAAUAGUUCGUAGCGAUAAUGGUACUGAGUUCACUUGCUUAAAUGGAUUUUUUGCUACCCGUGGGAUAAUUCAUCAAACCUCAUGUGUCGGAACACCCCAACAGAAUGGAAGAGUUGAACGAAAACAUCGUCAUAUUCUUAAUAUUGCUAGAGCACUUCGUUUCCAGGCAAACUUGCCACUUGAGUUUUGGGGAGAGUGUAUAUUGACAACAAGUUAUUUGAUAAAUAGAACUCCAACUCUUAUUUUAGAAGGAAAGACACCGUAUGAAGUUUUAUUUGGGAAGACACCUUCAUAUGACAAUUUGCGAGUGUUUGAUUGUUUGGCUUACGCUCAUAACCGUGGGAAUAGAGGAGACAAAUUCGAUAGUCGAAGCCGAAAAUAUAUCUUUGUUGGGUACCCUUUUGGGAAAAAAAGGGUGGACCAUGUAUGACCUGGAGACAAAAGAGUUUUUUGUCUCUCGGGAUGUGGUAUUUGUGGAGCAUGAGUUUCCUUAUAUGAAGGAUGUAAUUUGUGAUGAAGAAACAAGGAAUAUGACAGGAUAUAAUGAUGUUUUUGUAGACAAUGUAGAAUGUAGAGCAUAUGCAGGUGAGCAACCUGUUAGGGAGGAAAAUAGCAUAAAUGGACAAAUAAAGGAAACAAGGGAGGAGCCUGUUGAUAGUGUGGCUCCUGAGGCAAGGGGGGUUGCUGGUAUAGAACCACAAUUGGGACGAGGACAUCGACAACGCCAAUUGUCUACAAGGCUGAAGGACUAUGUGAUCCACACCACACAGGUGUUGCACCCCUCUAUUCGGCCCCUUGCAUGUUCACUUGGCCAUAUGCAAUCCUCAGGUAGCCUCUAUCUUAUAGCACGUUAUGUGAACUGUGAUAAAUUUUCUUUGCGAUAUUGUGCUUUCUUGGCAGCCAUAAUUGCAGGUGUUGAACCCAACUCAUUUGCUAAGGCAGUCAAAGAUAAGAAAUGGAGGGAAGCAAUGCAACAGGAGAUACAUGCACUAGAAAAUAAUGGCACAUGGAUAAUGGAACCAUUGCCAGUUGGGAAACGAGCUAUUGGGUGUAAAUGGGUGUUUAAGAUCAAGUAUCAAGCUGAUGGGACGGUUGAACGUUACAAGGCUCGUUUGGUGAUACUUGGCAACAAGCAAGUUGAGGGAAUUGAUUAUAAGGAGACGUUUGCACCCAUGGCCAAAUUGGUGACUGUUCGAACCUUCCUCGCAGUAGCUGCAGCUCGAAAAUGGGAACUUCAUCAAAUGGAUGUACAUAAUGCUUUCUUACAUGGUGAUUUGAAUGAAGAGGUGUACAUGCGUAUGCCUCCUGGCUUUCAUUCUCAGCAACGAGGAAUGGUGUGUCGCUUACGAAAGUCAUUAUAUGGUCUUAGACAAGCUCCUCGAUGUUGGUUCGCUAAGUUAGCUGCUGCGCUGAAAAAUUAUGGCUUUUCACAAUCAUAUUCCGACUACUCUCUCUUUACUCUUCAUCAGCAUGAGCGGCAGAUUCAUGUUCUUGUCUACGUUGAUGAUAUCAUUGUAACGAGAAAUGAUCAUGCUGCUAUUCAGAACUUUAAAACAUACUUGAGUGAUUGUUUUCAUAUGAAGGAUUUGGGGGUGCUGAAAUAUUUUCUUGGGAUUGAGGUGGCUCGAGGUCCAGAUGGGAUUUUUCUCUGUCAACGCAAAUAUGCUUUAAACAUCAUUACUGAAACUGGUUUGCUCGGGGCAAAACCUGUUUCCUUUCCAUUAGAGCAAAAUCACAAUCUCGCUUUGACAGAUGGACCUUUUCUUGAUGAUCCUGAGCGCUACCGGCGUCUGGUGGGUAGGUUGAUUUAUCUUUCAGCAACUCGUUCGGAAUUGUCCUAUGCUGUGCAUAUGUUGGCUCAAUUCAUGCAACAGCCAUGAGAAGCUCAUUGGGAUGCCGCCUUACGGGUUGUACGGUAUUUAAAAGGAAAUCCUGGGCAAGGUAUUCUGUUAAGGACUGAUUGUGACUUGACCUUGUAUGGUUGGUGUGACUUAGAUUGGGCGAGCUGUCCGUUGACACGUCGGUCCUUGACUGGAUGGCUUGUUAUGCUUGGUCAUUUUCCUAUCUCUUGGAAGACUAAGAAACAACACACUGUCUCCCGGUCAUCAGCAGAAGCAGAGUAUCGUUCUAUGGCUACCACUACAUGUGAGUUAAAGUGGCUGAAAGGAUUAUUAAUGUCAUUGGGUGUGCAUCAUACCACUCCAAUGAGACUUUAUUGUGAUAGUCAUGCAGCCUUGCAUCUUGUUGCCAAUCCCGUGUUCCAUGAGCGAACAAAGCACAUAGAAGUUGAUUGUCAUUUUGUUCGCGAUGAGAUUCAAAAUGAUUCCAUUCGCCCAUCCUAUGUUCCUACUCAAUCUCAAUUGGCCGACAUCUUCACUAAAGCAUUGGGUGGUCGACACUUUGAUUCAUUUCUUCGCAAGUUGGGCAUACGAAACUUGCAUGCUCCAACUUGAGGGGGGGUGUUAAGGUGCUGUAAUUGGAGUCAAUCUUGUACUUAACUGGCAUAAUAUUCUUGUGAUAUUCUCUCUUCCAUUCUUGGUAUGUAAAUCAAUUAGUUUAGGAAGAUUGAUUGAUUAUAGGAGGUCUAGCUUGAUUUGUGGAGAAUACUCGAAAUAUAAUCUUGUAUAUAUAUGUAUAGGAUGGAAUAACAGAGCAUGGUUUUUCACACCAAAAUAAGUUUGUUCAACCCAGCUGCUGACUCUAGGUUAAUGAGCCUGAGGUGCCCCAGGGUUCUCGUUUGUGUUGCCGAGAAGGAUAAUUUGAGAGAUAGGGGAUUGCUUUAUUAUGAGACUUUGAAAAAUUGUGGUUGGGCUGGAGAAAUUGAGAUUGUGGAGACAGAAGGAGAGGAUCAUGUGUUUCACUUGUUCAAUCCAGAUUCUGAAAAGGCUGUGGCCUUGAUGGAUAAAUUAGCUUCAUUCCUAAAUCAAGAUAAUGUUUUCUGAUGUGAUCACCAGGAACUUAGUAAUCUGUGUACUCUUAAAUUUAAUGUUGUUCAGCAUCAUAUUUCUCUUUGGUUUUACAUUAUGGACAUCAUUUCUUUUACCAGCAAUUUCAUAUAUGUAUUAAUGUCUAUAUAAGAACAUUCAAAUGCCCCAUUGAUGUGUGUAUAAUUUACAAGUGAUAUUGUGUACCUUACCAUAAGAACAAUAAGGAAAGAAAAUGAAUAGAGUUUAAUUGUAGGAGCCAUUGUUACUGUUGGAUCCAAUUCAAUGUGAUUAUCAAAUCAAGAAGAGAUCAAGAAAGAAUUCAGGAUCUAAAUCUAAAGAUUAAUCAAUGAGAUCAUAGGGACAUGCAAAAUCAAAUCAAGAACAUCACAAGAGCAAUUUAUGUGGCUUGACAAGCUUGCUUAUAUCUGCAAGAGAAAACAACCACGGCAAGCAUUAACAGAUGCCGAUUAAAAGAUUACACUCAGCACUCUGCAAAGAACAAAUCCCAUGUUUACAAUCUUGGCUAACUCUCUCUAAGUUGCAAGAAAAUUUCUCAAAAACAACUGUUUCAAUUCUGUUCAGCUGGUAACCUCAAUAAGCUGCUAGCUCAUCUGUGCCUUGUCAGCAGCCUAGUAAUAUUACUAGCAGAUUGUAAACCAUCAUUUCAAUAAUGUUACCCGGUCUGGAACAAAGCACGACUUACCUGAAUUUUACUUGCAAUUAAUAAAAUAGCACUAAAAAUAAAAAUCAUAUUUCACCUUUUUUUUCCCCUCCGGAAGUAAAAGACCAAAAGUUCGGUAAAUAACUCGUAAAACAUUUGGGGUCUUUCCAACAUUUCAAUCAUGCUCUUCUAGCUACAAAAUGAAUUUGUUGAAUAUAUAUUUGUUGUUAAUUGAGUGAUAUUAUAUUCAGUCAAAUUUAUGGAGGCGAAGAAUCUUGUCAAUUAUUUACAGAAAGCACUAAUUAAGUCUAUUAUCAAUCCCAUUGACGUGUAUAUGAGACCGAACUUGAGCAAGAACUUUGUUGGCUGUUGUUGAUGCGAGAUUCUGGUUACCCUCCUUACACAACCAGGAUCUCUGCUCGAUCAACUCUACCAAGAUCAGGAUCUCUCCUCGUAAUGCUUCUUUUCUAGAAGUUCCUGCGUACACAGAGACAGGUCAGAGCAUGCCGGUUGUUUUUCCGGCGUAAAUCCUCCGACGCUCAAGUCAGAAAUGAAGGUUUUUGUGUUCCUGGGAAUGCUAGCCACAAAUCUUAUGGCGUAUCAAUUCUUUAGAGCUCUUUUUUUUUUCUCAGUUCUAAUCUCAAAAAUUCUAACCCUUUUACCUUCGUUGGCUGCCUUUUUAUAGGCUUCUUCUGAGUUCAGAUCUUCCCCACCAUCACGCCCGUUACCUUCCCACCUCUCGAAAAUGGAUGCUCCGUUUCUGCAAUCGUGGGUGGUUGCAUGGCCUUCGUGCCUUGAUUCUCGGAUUGGAGAGGACGUCUCGCUAACUGUCGUUGAUCGAGUCUCUUUGCCUCGACCGUUAGCAGGAAUGGCUUUAUGCCUCUAACAGGAGUUCGACCUCGUGGAUGGCAUAUUCGUGGACGAACAGAAUAUUCCUGCUCCUGUUCCCCUACUACCAGACUCUUACAGGAUACACCUGUUCGCAGAACUCUGCCACCAGAUAUCUGCUCAUCACGUCUGGUCUCGUCGAAGUACUUCCCCCAAACACCGGUCCCCCAGUUUCUAGUGUUGGGUAAUGUAGUGGACCAGCAGUAGAAACUCAUUAGUUCUGAUUUGCGCGGGAUAGGAAGAGGUCUUGAGGAGUCGUGUCGCAUUAAAUUGUGGGUGAGGUGAUGUGGUAGAGAUUUGUCCCUCCAUUUGAAUUUCAAACCGGUGGCUAUGCAACCCUUGGAACUCGUGCCCUUAAAUGUUGAUAGCCCGUGGGUUUAUUUCUCAUUAAGGAACCUAAAAAUCCCAACGACGAAAUUCAUCUCUCAGCCCUUUUUUACUUCUCCGGUGACUGAAUAACUUUUUUCCUUCGACGUAGAAGCUAUCAUCCCUGCCUCUACUUCGUCGGGCCUCUACUUCGUCGGGCCUCAACUGCAGGUAUUACCUCUAUUUUCUCGUUCCUAGAUUGCUAUAGAAAAUUUCCUUUCUCUUUGUUUUGUUUGGGUAGUGUUUGGUGAUAUUGCUCUGGUCGUAGCUUAGGAGAUGUCAAAAGGUAAAGAGAAAGUCAUUGAAGUUGAUGACGACGAGUUAGAUUUCCUGCCUAGUCUGCUCACUGAUCCUGCCUUUGACCCCGGGAUCCCCUUAGAACCCAUUAGACAUAGUGUUGGGACUAGCGCUGGGAGGAUGUCCCCCCAAGCAACCUCUUCAAGCGGAAACAACGGUGAGGAUGGGUCUUCUGGCUCAGAAAACACCCUGAGUGAGGAUCAAGGAGGUGAUUCUGGUGAGGUGUCCCCAUUAGGAACAUCGUGACCAGAAGGGCGGAAUACAGUAGGAGGUAGAGCCCUAUCACGGGAUUACGCCAUUGAUUACAUGACGUGCACGACCACGUUUGACGAGCUCACUGACCUCCGGCUUAGGUAUAGUAUUCCUGGUGAAAUACCUCUUAAGAUCCCAGGAAAGAAGGAUACCCCUAGCCGGCCUCCUAGGGGAUAUGUUACCUUAUUUUUGGAGAGUUUUAAGUAUGGGCUGAGGUGUCCCUUGCAACUCUACUUUGCCCGAAUUCUUAACGGGCUAAAUCUAGCUCCUGGUCAGCUGAACCCCAACGGGUGGAGAGUACUCUCUGGUCUGUUCAUAUUGUGGGACAUAUGUUACCAAAGCAAGCCCACAGUUGAUGAGGUGAAGCACCUGUAUCAACUGAAAAGCAGCCCCAAAGAUGCUGGCUGGUAUUACUUCCAAUCAAGUACUAAGACCAGAAAAUCCAUAACCGACCUCUCUACUGGUGGUGGUGCGAAUUGGAAGAGAAAGUUCUUUUUUGCUGGGGGUCCCUAGGGUCAAGUGGCACAGAUUGACGGGAAGGAUUAUUGCGUCCCACCCCGUUUCGUGGUCCCAGGUUGCCUGCUCGCUUUAGAUGUCUUGUAUCCAUAAUUGUUCUCGCUUUACUGGUUUGUCUCUAACCAAAUGUCUGUUUGUAUUGUAGGUUCUUAGAGUAUUCACUUCCCACUCAAACCUGACCAGCUCAAACAGGUCGAGGCUAUACUGGCCAAUUCCUGCUCGAGCCAAGAGCUAAUAAUUACUUAUAACCUGCUCGAGUCUUGUUUGGUGCCCUCCGGCCAUAAGAUGGAGGAUGCUGUGAUUGGGGCUCUGACUCGAAAACGUCCUCGACCUCAAACUGUAAAGAGGAACCAGAACAAGGACGCUCCCACUGUGAAGCGGGUGAAUAUUGUGCAGCAUGUUCCUUCAUUGAAGACUCUACCUCCUCUUCCUGCCAAAGUCAGAGAAACUAGUGGAGCAGCCAUUGAUCCUGCUUCCUCUUCUCAUCCGGUCGGGCCUAGAUCUCGUUUAUCUGACAAUCGAGCAGAGCACUUGGUCCAUUAUCUCAACGAGCUAUCUAAACUCGUGAGCAAGAAGGACCUGGAAGACUUUGAUGGCUGCGUCCUAGGUGAGCUGGUGGGGGCCAUGUAGUAUAACGCUUUCCAUCUCAGCUGCAUGACCAUUUACUAUAAGGCCAAGGUUGGCCGUUUUGACCGGAAGAUGAAGGAGGACAUUCAUUCAGCGAUGACCCGAGCUGACGAUGCCGAGAAGAAAUCAGGAGACCUGAAUCUCGAGAAUCUGAAGCUGAUAGAGCAAGAAUCUCUUACUCAAGCAAAGACCAUUACUCUCGAGGAAGAGCUGACUAAGGUCAAGGAGGAUCUGCAAAGGCAGAAGAUUAUGUACGAGGCUCAGCUCGAAUCUCUCUGUGAUUCCUACCGGGUUCAGGUCGAGAACUUGGAGAAGGAGGCUGACAACCAAUACGACCAGGGACUCCGACAUUCCUAUCGUUGCAUCAUGGCCGUCCUUGGGAAGCAGCACCAUGAUUUGAAGAUGGAUGACCUUGCCGCUUGUGUUGCUCAACACAUGGACGAGGAGGCAGCAAAAAAGAAUGCCGAAGAGGUGGAGCCAAUUCUGGUUGAGGAGGAAAACUCUCCUCCUCGUACAAUCCCUGCUGAUGUUGGUGAGGCGAGUACCCCCCCGGAUGCAACUGGUGAUACCCCCUGUACCUGAGGUGGACUAGCCAAUUGAGGCUGCUCGGCUUACUGACCCGCUGUCUUCUUAAACAUGUUUCUUGUGUUGUAAUGAACUUUGUAUGUGAAAGUUAUCAGCCUUGCUAGUUAUUGGCGGAUUAAUAAAAAAUGUUUCUUGAUUGCUUUCUUGUGUUGUAGUUGCGAGUUAUUAUUAUUAUUAUUUUAUUUUUGAGAGUCUGCUCGCCUUCGCUUGGUUGAGCAUGUCCUGGUAGGCUUGGCCUCUGGUCUCGCCAUAAGACAGGCUUUGAGACUUGAUGAGCCUUGACAUGCCUUAGUAAUUUCUUCAAUGCUUGGGAUUCUGCUCGUCUUCGCGUGGUCGAGCAGAUCCUGACACGCUUGGCUUCUGGUUUCACCAUAAAACAGGCUUUGAGACUUGAUGAGCCUUUGCAUGCCUUAGAAAUUUUUCGAUGCUUGGGAGUCUGCUCGCCUUUUCUUGGUCGAGCAGAUCCUGGCACACUUGGCUUUUAGUCUCGCCAUAAAACAGGCUUUGAGACUUGAUGAGCCUUUGCAUGCCUUAGAAAUUUUUCGAUACUUGGGAGUCUGCUUGCCUUCUCUUGGUCGAGCAGAUCCUGGCACGCUUGGCUUCUGGUCUCGCCAUAAAACAGGCUUUGAGACUUGACGAGCCUUGGCAUGCCUUAGAAAUUUUCGAUGCUUGGGAGUCUGCUUGCCUUCUCUUGGUCGAGCAGAUCCUGACACGCUUGGCUUCUGGUCUCGCCAUAAACAGGCUUUGAGACUUGGUGAGCCUUUGCAUGCCUUAGUAAUUUCUUCAAUGCUUGGGGUUCUGCUCGCCUUCGCGUGGUCGAGCAGAUCCUGGCACGCUUGGCUUCUGGUCUCGCCAUAAACAGGCUUUGAGACUUGGUGAGCCUUUGCAUGCCUUAGAAAUUUUUCGAACAGUACAGUUGACUGGAAUUCCUCAUUGAUUCACUUAUUAUUGAAUUCGGCUUUACAUGAGAUUGCUUUGAAAUAAGAAAUAAAAAAUAAAAAACAAAAAACAACGAGCACGAACAGAAAUAACUUUAAAACAUGAACAAGUCUUACUAAAAAUAUUUCCUGAGUUGUGUCGCAUUCCAUGGGCGUUUCACCUCGUGGCCAUCCGUGCGAACCACCUUGUAAGCUCCGGGUCCAACUAGCUGCUUGACCCUAUAUGGCCCCUCCCAAUUUGGUCCGAGUACUCCUUAGACUGAGUCUUUUGUGUUCUGAUUCACUCUCCUCAACACCCAAUCUCUGACCUUGAACUGUCGUACAUUCACCUUCUGGUUGUAGUACCAAGCAACCCUCUGCUGGUAAAUGGCUGAUCGCCUCGAUGCUUGUUUCCUUUUCUAGGUUAGCAGAUCCAAAUUCAAGCACGUCUGGUCGUUGUUCUCUUGCUUAUCGAAAUGAUCUGUCCGGUGCGUGGUUGUUCCUAUCUCGGCUGGUACAACCGCCUUGUGUCUGAAGGCCAAGGCGAAUAGAGUUUCCCCAGUUGCUGUCUUAUGGGUUAUCCUGUAUGCCCAUAGUACAACUGAUAGCUCAUCAACCCAAGCACCAUUUUUUGGUGCCAAGCCUGAUUUUUAAAAGCCUCUUGAUCGUCUUGUUGGCUGCUUCUACUUGCCCGUUAGACUGUGGGUGAUCAGGCGAGCAAUAUUUCAACUCUAUCCCGAGAUUCUGGCAAAAAUCCCUGAAGCUGUGAUUAUCGAACUGCCUGUCAUUAUCCGUUAUUAAGGCAUAGGGGAUCCUGUACCGACAGACCAAGUUUCUCCACAUGAAGUCUGUUGUCUUCUUCUCUGUGAUCCUGCUAAGGGCUUCUACCUCUAUCCACUUCGUGAAGUAGUCUAUCGCAACUAUUGCAUGUGUUGCUGCUCUUCGUCCCUUUGGCAACGGACCGAUCAGAUCAAUUCCCCAUUGAGUAAAUGGCCAAAGGGAGGCCAUAGAGGUGAGCUUCUCUAGUGGUUGGUUGGAGAAACUUGCAAAACUCUGGCAGCUUACACAGCUCUUGGUCUUCUCCUGCACAUCCUGGUGCAUUGUCGGCCAGAAAUAUCCCUGCCUUAGAACCUUGUGGGCCAAGGACCUCCCACCAGAAUGGUUUCCGCAAAUUUCUUCAUGUACUUCUCUCAGUACGUAAUCCGCGUCGUCCUCAUCUAAACACCGAAGGAACGGUAGCGUAUACCCUCGCCGAUAUAGUACCCCAUCAAUCAUUGUGUAUCUCGAGGCCUGGGCUAUAAUUUUCCGAGCUCGCAGCUUAUCUAGUGGUAAUACCCCAUCUCUAAGGUAUGAAAUUAUCGGAUCCAUCCACAAGCAUUUUUAUUCUAUCCGCAGCACCUUCAGAUUUUGCUCGAUACUCGGGUUGGACUUCACCUCCAGAGGGAUCGACUUUGGCAUUUUUGGGUCUGCUACCGCUGCCAUCCUGGCCAAAAUAUCUGCUCGACUAUUCUGCUCCCUGGGGAUUUAUAUCACCUUUACCGCUUCAAAUUUUCCCAUCAUCUGCCUGACUAUCUUCAGGUAUUGCUCCAUCUUCUCUUCUCUCGGUUGAAAUCUUUCACUGACAUGAUUCGCAACCAGCUGGGAAUCAUUUCUAAUCUUCACUCUAUCUGCUUUCACGGCCUUAGCCAAUUCCAAACCUGCUAUCAAGGCUUCGUACUCUGCCUGGUUAUUUGUGGCCGCAAAUUGUAACUUUACAGCAUAAGAGAUCUCCUCCCCCUCUGGGCCUUCCAAGACAAUUCCUGCUCCUGAUCCUUGCUCCCCUGAUGACCCAUCUACAGACAUCUGCCAUACUCGGGCUUCGCUGCUGUCUGUAGCAAUAUCUAGCUGGUCCAAACAUAUUUCAGGCUCUACAAACUCUGCUACAAAAUCGGUCAUUGCUUGUGCCUUUAUCGCUGGUCGGGGUUUGUAAUCAAUGUCGAACUCGCUCAGCUCUAUAGCCCACUUCACGAGCCAACCAGAGGCAUCCGACUUGUGUAGGGUUUGACGCAACAGCUGGUUUGUUAUUACCGAGACGGGGAAUGCUUGAAAGUACGGUCUCAGCUUCCGAGCAGCGACCACAAGAGCGAGUGCCCAUUUCUCCAAAGGUGGGUAUCGAGUCUCAGCGUCAAGCAGGGCCUUGCUGGUGUAGUAUAUCGGAUACUGAACCCCUUCUUCCUCUCUCACCAGAACAGAACUUGUGGCACGAUCUGAUACCGCCAAAUACAAAGAUAACUUGUCCCCAUCCCUUGGUGUGGACAGCAGGGGUGCUUGCUGCAAGUAUUGCUUCAAGCUUUGAAAGGCCUCUUCGCAUUCUGGGGGCCAUUCUGUUUUUUUCCCUCUCCUUAUCACUUGAAAGAAUGGCUGACACUUAUCUGUAGCCUUGGAUAUGAAUCAGCUCAAUGCCGCCAGCCUCCCCGUAAAGCUCUGCAUCUCCUUCAGGUUACGAGGAGACGUCAUCUGUGUUAACAUAAAUAUGUUAAUAAUAUUGAUUUUGAUGAUAAAAAAUUUUAAAUGAUUUUUGAUAAAAGUAUUGGAGCUAUUUCUUAAUAAACGAGAGCCUUAGUAAUCAUUCCAUUCAUGCUUCAUAAAAGAUGGACUUUAAAAUUAAAAAAAAAAGAUUCUCUGCAAAAACUGGUUUAAAAUGCAAUUCUGGUUAUAAACGGUUCACCGUUUAUUUAAACGGUUAAUCGAUAACAGCCAGAGAGCAAACAUUUUCCCUAAACCUCUAACCGUUUAUGAAAAACGGAAAACACAAAAGAUAGGGAGGCUACUGGAAAUUAACGGUAAACCGUUUUUUAAACGGUUAACCGAUUAUCACCAGAGAGCAACAUAUUACCUAAGCUCUAACCGGUUAUGCUUAACAGAAAUCACCCAAAAUGGGAAGGCUACUGGAACCUAACGGUGAACCGUUUAUUUCAAACGGUUAACCGAUAAUAUCCAGAAACGUUACUUCAUGCAAGUCCUUAACCGUUUAGUGUAAAUGGAUAACAAAUGCUCUUCUUGCAGGUCUCUGGAAGUUAACGGCGAAGGGGCAAUCCUAAACGGCAAACCGUUUAUUUGAAAUCUGGCCUAACGGUAACUUUGACCAACCGAAACGGUUAACCGGUAAUGGUUAACGGCGAACCGUUUUCUGUCCGACAGUUUGUAACGGCUAGAUUUUCAAAUCCAAGUAUAAAUAAGCUCAUUCAAAUUCAAAGAAGAUUGAUCACAACACGACCAUUUUGAGCUAAUAUUUGAGAAUACAAUCUUCAUAGAGCUUAGAACACAUUCUUGCUUCAUCUACUCACAUAUUAAGCAUCAUUGUGUAAUCUUAUAUAUUGUGAGAGGCAAAACAGUUUGUAAUCUUUUACUUUGAGUGAUUGUAAGUGUUGGGAUACAUUUGGGUUAAGAGAUUGGGGAUAAUCUCUUGUUGUAAAGGUCCAUUGACACCUUGGAAGUCAAGUGUAAGCAUUUGAAGCCUUGGAGGCUUGCUUAGUGGAAUCCUCAAGCCCGGAAAGCUUGGAGGCGUGGACGUAGGCGAGGUUGGCCGAACCACGUAAAAAUCUCGGUGUUUGAAUCCCUCUUCCCUUAUCUUUUUAUAUUGUGAUCAUCUUAAUUGUUAUUGCUUUGAAUCUGAUUUAUAAUUGUAUUAAGUUUUUAUUUAAUAAAUUGAAUAAUUUUUUAGAAUCCCAAUUCACCCCCCUCUUGGGUUGCAUACUUGUAUUUCAAUUGGUAUCAGAGCCUCGUUCUCUUAUUAAGACUUAAUCGUCUAGAGUAAAAGAUCCAUGGCAACCCUAAAUGACUCAACCUUUAGAGAAGGGCAAUCCACAACUAGACCACCAUUUUUCGAUGGUAAUGACUAUGCUUAUUGGAAAACUAGAAUGAGAAUCUAUUUGCAAGCCUUAGAUUAUGAAAUUUGGGAAGUUGUUUGUGAUGGUCCAUUCAUGCCUACUUUCAAAGAUGAAGUAGGAGAUGAUAUUCCUAAACCAUCGAGUCAAUGGAGUGAGUUAGAAAAGAGAAAGAUGUCUCUAAACUCCAAGGCUAUGAAUGCUUUGUUUUGUGCCCUUGAUAAGAAAGAAUUCCAUAGAGUAUCUAGUUGUGAAAGUGCACAAAAGAUAUGGAACAAUCUUGAAGUUGUCUAUGAAGGGACAAAUCAAGUGAAAGAGUCUAAAAUCAGUAGAUACACUCGUCAAUAUGAGUUGUUCCAAAUGGAACAAAAUGAAAAUGUGUAUUCUAUGUACACUAGAUUCACGGACAUAGUGAACACCCUAGGUGCCUUAGGGAAAACCUUCUCAAAUAGUGAGAAAGUUAAGAAAAUCAUUAGGUCACUUCCAAAAGAAUGGAGACCUAAAAGAACCGCUAUUGAAGAGGCCAAAGAUUUAAAUACUUUACCUCUUGAUGAUUUAAUUGGUUCUCUUAUUUCGUAUGAAGAGGAUUUAGCUGCAGAAAAAGGACAUGAGGAGAAGAAGAAAAUCAUUGCUCUCAAAGCUUCAAAAUAUGAGAGUGAUGGGGAGAGUGAACCGGAUGAUGAAGAGCUAGCCAUGCUAGCAAGGAGGUUCAGAAAAUUCUUCAAGAAAACCGGAGAGCGAAGAAAUUUCAGAAACUUCAAGAACUAUAGGGAGAAGAAGGAGGCAAUCACUUGCUAUGAAUGCAAGAAGCCUGGACAUAUAAGAUCGGAGUGCCCACUUAUCAACAAACUUAAGAAGAAAGCAAUGGUUGCAACUUGGGAUGAUAAUGAGGAAGAAUCAAAUGAUGAAGAAGGAUCGCAAGAAGUAUCAAACCUAGCACUCAUGGCAAUAGGAGGGGAUGAUGAUCUCAAUGAGGUAAGUGAUCCUACCUAUGAUGAAUUAUAUGAUGCUUUUCAAGAUUUGCAUAAUGAGUUGAUGAAAAUUGGUAAAAAGAAUGUAUGUCUUAAAAAGGAAAUGAAAAAGCUUAAAAAUGAAAAUGAAUCUCUAAAUGCAAGAAUUGUAUGCCUAGAAGUAGGAAACAAAACAUUGCAUGAUGAAAUUGCAUUAUCAAAUGAGAAACCUAGCAUUUUACAUGAGCAUUUGAAAUCACACAUAGAUGAGUUGAAAAAUGAGAACGAAUUGCUCAAGAAAAAGAAUAAUGAAUUGAAUGAAAUUGUUUUGAAAUUUACAAAUGGGCAAAAGAUGUUGGAUAAUAUGCUUAACUCACAAAAAUGUGUUUUUGAUAAAGGAGGACUUGGAUAUAAGCCUAACUUGAAGCAAAAGUAUUAUAAGAAUUAUUUUGUUAAAGCUACCUCCACACAUGAUCAUAAGAUUGUAUGUCAUUAUUGUAAUCAAAAUGGUCACAUGAAAUUUAGAUGUCCCGUGAAAAGGAAUGCAUAUUAUGGUAUCAAAUGCAUUUGGGUUCCAAAAGGAACCGUUGCUAACCCUCAAGGACCCAAAAAACUUUGGGUACCUAAAACUUGAGAUUUUUUCUUGUAGGGCUUGAAGAAGAAAAAUAAAUGGUACUUGGACAGCGGUUGUUCAAGGCACAUGACCGGAAACUAUGCAUGGUUCUCAAGCUUCACCAAAAUUGAAAAUGGUGGAGACGUAUCUUUUGGAGACAACUCAAAAGGAAAAAUUCUUGGAAUUGGAAAUGUUGGUAAAGUCUCUUCAACUCUAAUUGAGAAUGUAUGGUUGGUUGAAAACUCGAAACACAACUUAAUUAGCAUUAGUCAAUUAUGUGACAAAGGCUAUAAAGUUAUUUUUGAUAAAUUUAGUUGUGUUAUUGAGAACUCAUGUGAUGGCAAGACCUUAUUUGUUGGAAAUAGAUGUGGUAAUGUUUAUAUCAUUGACAUAGAAUGUGUAUCUAAUCUUGAUAAAUGUUUUUCGGCAUUGCAUGAUGAUUGUUGGUUGUGGCAUAGAAGGUUAGGACAUGCAAGUAUGGAUUUGAUUUCAAAAAUUUCGAAAGAUGAUUUAGUUAAAGGUCUUCCGAAAAUUGGUUUUCAAAAGGAUAAAAUUUGUAAAGCUUGUCAAUUUGGAAAACAAAUUAAAACUUCUUUCAAGAAUAAAAACCAUAUUUCUACUUCAAAACCACUUGAACUUCUUCACAUAGAUCUUUUUGGGCCAUCUAGAUAUUCAAGUCUAAAUGGCAAAUAUUAUGCUUUUGUGAUAGUGGAUGAUUAUUCUAGAUAUACAUGGGUAUUAUUCUUAGCCAAUAAGGAUGAUGCUCUUGAUGCAUUUAAAGUGCUUUGUAAGAAAUUACAAAAUGAAAAAGGGCAUGGUAUUGUAUGCAUUAGGAGUGAUCAUGGAGGAGAAUUUGAAAAUCAUGCAUUUGAGAGUUUUUGCAAUAAUCUAGGCAUUGAGCAUCAAUUUUCUUCACCUAGAACUCCACAACAAAAUGGAGUUGUUGAGAGAAAGAAUAGGUCUAUUUAAGAAAUGGCUAGGACCAUGUUAAAUGAAAAUGCAUUACCAAAAUAUUUUUGGGCUGAAGCCGUCAACACCGCUUGUUAUGUUUUAAAUCGGGUGUUGAUUAGACCUAAUCUUAAUAAAACUCCAUAUGAGCUUUGGAAAGAUAGAAAACCCAACAUUGGCUAUUUUAAAGUUUUUGGAUGCAAAUGUUUUGUUUUGAACACAAAAGACAAUCUUGGUAAAUUUGAUUCAAAAUCCGAUGUUGGUAUUUUUCUUGGUUAUUCAAAUUCAAGCAAAGCUUAUAGAGUCUACAACAAAAGAACUUUAGUUGUGGAAGAAUCUAUGCAUGUCUCAUUUGAUGAGUCUAACCUCUCCUCUACGGAGAAAGUUGUUGUUGAUGAUGAUGCAGGAGAAGAAGAACAAGAAGAAGAAGCAUCAAAUGACAAUCAAGAGAAUGCACCACAUGGAAUUCAAGAGGAACAUCAUGAAGAAUCAAAUGUGGAGCAAAAUGAAGGUACUUCUCAAACACUCCCCAAGGAGUGGAGGUAUGUCUCUUCUCACCCUAAAGAUGUAAUUUUAGGAGAUCCCACACGAGGUAUAACAACUAGAUCAUCACUUAGAAAUACUUGUGAGCAUAAUGCAUUCAUCUCUCAAAUUGAACCAAAAUCCUUUGAGGAUGCAGAAAAUGAUGAAUCUUGGAUUAUGGCAAUGCAAGAGGAGUUAAAUCAAUUUGAAAGAAACAAUGUGUGGGAAUUAGUUCCUAAACCUGAACAUCAAUCUAUAAUAGGUACUAAAUGGGUGUUUAGAAAUAAGAUGGAUGAAUCCGGUGUGGUUGUAAGAAACAAAGCUAGAUUAGUGGCUCAAGGUUACAACCAAGAAGAAGGUAUUGAUUUUGAUGAAACCUUUGCUCCUGUAGCAAGGUUAGAAUCCAUUAGGAUGUUGUUAGCAUAUGCAUGUCAUAAAGAUUUUAUUUUAUUUCAAAUGGAUGUGAAAAGUGCUUUCCUAAAUGGGUAUAUUAUGGAAGAAGUGUAUGUAAAACAACCCCCUGGUUUUGAAAAUGAAAAAUUUUCAAAUCAUGUUUAUAAGUUGCUUAAAGCUUUGUAUGGUUUAAACAAGCACCUAGAGCAUGGUAUGAUAGACUUAAGAAUUUUCUGUUGGAAAAUGACUUUUCAAUGGGUAAAGCGGAUACUAUUCUAUUUGUUAAGCAUAAGAACCAAGACAUACUUAUUGUUCAAAUUUAUGUUGAUGAUAUCAUUUUUGGUUCUACUAAUGAGUUGUUGUGUAAAGAAUUUUCAUCAUGUAUGAGCAAAGAAUUUGAGAUGAGUAUGAUGGGAGAGUUGAAAUACUUCCUUGGACUUCAAAUCAAACAAAACGAGGAAGGAAUUUUCAUAAAUCAAGCCAAGUACGUAAAGGAUCUACUCAAACGAUUCGGCAUUGAUGAUUCAAAAACCAAGAAUACACCAAUGAGCACAACAACCAAGCUGGACAAAGAUGAAAAAGGUAAAGAAGUGGACAUCAAAAUGUAUCGAGGUAUGAUCGGAUCCCUACUUUAUUUGACUGCAAGUAGACCGGAUAUCAUGUUUAGUGUAUGUUUGUGUGCAAGAUUUCAGUCUUGUCCCAAGGAAUCUCAUUUGCUCGCUGUUAAAAGAAUUUUCCGUUAUUUGAGUGGAACCAUAGAUAUUGGCCUUUGGUAUCCUAGGGGAACUCACAUAGAUUUAACAUGUUUUUCGGAUGCGAAUUUUGCUGGUUAUAAAGUGGAUAGGAAGAGCACUAGUGGAACUUGCUAUAUUCUAGGACACUCUCUUGUUUCAUGGUUUAGCAAGAAACAAAAUUCUGUCGCACUUUCAACUACCGAGGCUGAAUAUAUAGCUGCCGGAAGUUGUUGUGCACAAGCUCUUUGGAUGAAACAAACACUUAGAGAUUAUGACAUUAAUCUUGAACAAAUUCCUAUUAAGUGUGAUAAUACUAGUGCUAUAAACCUUUCAAAGAAUCCCAUUCAACACUCUCGAACCAAGCAUAUAGAAAUAAGACAUCAUUUCUUGAGAGAUCAUGUUCAAAGGGGGAUAUUGCAUUAGAGUUUAUUUCCACGGAAAAACAACUUGCCGAUAUUUUCACAAAACCCCUUUGCGAAGAACAAUUUUCAAAAAUUCGGCAUGAACUUGGGAUGAUGAAAUUUUUGCAUUAACAUCUCUAUUCAUGCUAUUGAGUGUACUGAAUUGAUUGAUUACUUUUUAUAAAGUGCUUGAGCUUGGUAGAUAAAUGAUGAUUUUGCGUUGAUAACUCUUGAUUAUAUGAAUUGAUUGGUUGAAAACUUGUCCAUGAAUCAUGCAUUAAAUUGACUCAUAAAAUAUUUUCAGAUCAAUUAAAUGAUCUUGGAAUAUAUUAUUUGCUAGCCAAAAAUUAAAUCAAAUGUGCGAAAUUGCAGAUAAAAUAAACGGUUAGCAGUUUCCUAUAAACGGAUCACCGUUUAAUUCCAGAAACUAGAUUUUGUGUUUGUCCAUUUACCCUUUCACCGUUUUCCACAAUCGGUGAACCGUUUUUCAACAGAGAAUCCUCUUACAAGUUACUCCUUAGCCGUUAAGCACUUAGGCUUUCACCGUUUCCCGUUCUUCAGCCGCUGGAAGUUACCCUUUAACCGUUUCAAUAAACGGUUAACCGUUUUCGCAAAGUAUAAAACUGUUCAAAGGUUUUCUUCUCCUUCUCCAGUUACCCUCUCACCGUUUCCUCCAUUGUUGCGCAACCGAAGGUCUCCUUGUCCUCAAAUCCUCAUUUUUCUUGCUUUCCGUGCCCAAUCAAAUCCUCAAAAUCAUUUCUUAUCACCGUUAGAACAUUUCUACCGAUUCAAAACUUCAAAUCGAGCCCAAAAUUUAAAAAUCCCAAAUCUCAACCCUAACUGUCGCGGGUCGGGUUUCUUCGUUCUUAAUCCGAUUUCCACCUCUCUUCAACCAAAUUGAACAUCCUCUACUCUUUCUUAACCCUUUUAUUGGUUCAUUUUCGUCCCAUUACGCAUUGCCAUGGCUGAACCCCCUCGGAGAAAUAUCAGGCGUAAAUCUGUGCCUCCAAGGAAUCCCAUACCACCUUGGGAGGUCUCUGAAUUUUCAAGGAUUCACUUCCCCACACCUUCCUUGGCCAAGCGGUUCGAAGAACGCUUCGAUGGUCGAAAGGUACUUGAAUCCUUCUUUGUUGACAUUGAUGAUUUUCGUAAUUUGGUUGUAUGUGGUAGAAGUAUUCGGGAUAUGCUUCAGCCUUGGGAGUCUGGCAUUGAUUUUGAUGACCGAGUUUAUCCAAACUUAGUGCGAGUCUUUUAUUCGAACAUGGAAAUCUCUGAUACUCGCCCAAAUAGGAUAGUCACUCAAGUCGGCCGUGUACCCAUAGAAUUUGAUGAUGCGGACUUAGCUGACUUUCUAGGUAUCCCUUGUGAGGGGCUUGACAUUUAUACCUCUAGGAAAACCCUCUCCUUUGAUACUUUUUCUCAUACUCAUGGCGUCCGUAAUAUAUGUCGUCGUAGAGACUUAUCGGAUGAGAUUUGUAUGCUUCCAUUUCGGUCUCAACUUUUACCUCUCUAAGUUCGUAUUCUUCACUCUAUUUUACAGCACAUAGUGACUCCUAGGAAGGGUCACUCGGAUGAGGUUACGAGGUUGGACGUUGCCCUAUUGGAUAGCCUUCUUAUAGACCGUCCCAUUAACCUCGGGUAUAUUAUUGUGCGACAUAUGUUGAGUACUCCAGUGGUCAACCACCGCUUGCUUCCUUAUGGCAGUAUCAUCACUAAGAUACUGCGACGCUUUGAGGUUCCACUUCUUGAUACUGGUCACAUGGAGACUAGGCGGAUUGGUCCCGAGGCCAUGACUAGUAUCGGUUUCUCUAGGAAGAAUGGAGAGUGGAUAAAGACAAGCAACGCCAAAAACCGGGAUACCUUGAUUGCUCCAGAGGACGAUCGGAUGCUCAAUGAUAUCUAUCAUCCCGAUCAGCUUCCUGACUUUAGACUAGGCGCUCAUCCUCAUCCUCUGCGUCGCCGUUUUGUUCCUCAGCCUCCAGCUGACUCAGACUUUGAGGAGCGUGCGAUGGAUGCUGACAUUCCCUCCUCUUCCGAGCUGCCACCUGCUCCUGAGCCUUCUGCUGUUCCCGAGCAGCCAUCUACCUCUAUGCCGCCCCCAGCUCCAGUUCAGCCCCCUGCUUCAGACGCAGUGCAGCAGCUGAUCACUGAUGUUCAGCGGAUUUCGGAGCGCCAGCAACUGAUUCUUGAUCGGUUGGACACUCUUUCCCGUGACCACCAGCAGCUGCGUUCUGACUUUCAGAUAUUCCAGCGGCAGAGCCUUGAUCAGCAGAUGGAGCUUAUCGCUGGACAUCGCACUAUUCUUGGCUAUUUCGGCUAUGAUCCGGGGAGCACGUCUUCUCCGCCUCCGUAGUUUCUGAGCUUUGUCUUCGCACAUACAUUUUACAUUUUGGUUGCUAGCAUUCUUAUUAUUAUUUUGAUUUUGAUGCAUAUGUGUGUGAUGUUCUUGAUGAUUAGCUUAUUAAUGCUCUGUGAUUGCCUAAUUGGUUGGAUAUUGUAGAAAUGGUUUCUUUGUGGAUAUUGGAGUGUUGGUAUAUUUGUGGAUAUUGAAGUGUUAUUUUGUCUUGUUUAUGGAGUUGUUGGCUUGUUGAAAGCAGAAGUUAAUGUUGAUCUAAUUUUGGAAGUGUUUUAUCUCAUUUUGUAUUUAUGGUUUUACUCAUUUUUAAGGGGAAACUCUGCCAAAAUUUUCGCUUGCCAAAACCGGGCACUUUCUUUAACGGAUUUGCGUAUUUCUUAUUUCCUCUUUUCUUUUUGAUGAUGAAGGGGGAGAUAAUUAUGGUUUUUAAGAUAGUUUUUUAAAUGGGGAGAUAUUCUUUUAAGAUGGAUUUAAAAUGGGGCGAUUUAAAGCAAAAAUCCUUUUAUUCACAUUUCUCAAUUUGGCCAUACAUUUAGGGGGAGCACAUAUUAAGGGGGAGCUAAACAUUUAUUAGAAUUUGUCAUCAUUAAAAAGGGGGAGAUUGUUAACAUAAAUAUGUUAAUAAUAUUGAUUUUGAUGAUAACAAAUUUUAAAUGAUUUUUGAUAAAAGUAUUGGAGCUAUUUCUUAAUAAACGAGAGCCUUAGUAAUCAUUCCAUUCAUGCUUCAUAAAAGAUGGACUUUAAAAUUAAAAAAAAAAAAGAUUCUCUGCAAAAACUAGUUUAAAAUGCAAUUCUGGUUAUAAACGGUUCACCGUUUAUUUAAACGGUUAACCGAUAACAGCCAGAGAGCAAACAUUUUCCCUAAACCUCUAACCGUUUAUGAAAAACGGAAAACACAAAAGAUAGGGAGGCUACUGGAAAUUAACGGUAAAUCAUUUUUUAAACGGUUAACCGAUUAUCACCAGAGAGCAACAUAUUACCUAAGCUCUAACCGGUUAUGCUUAACAGAAAUCACCCAAGAUGGGAAGGCUACUGGAACCUAACGGUGAACCGUUUAUUUCAAACGAUUAACCGAUAAUAUCCAGAAAUGUUACUUCAUGCAAGUCCUUAACCGUUUAGUGUAAAUGGAUAACAAAUGCUCUUCUUGCAGGUCUCUGGAAGUUAACGGCGAAGGGGCAAUCCUAAAUGACAAACCGUUUAUUUGAAAUCUGGCCCAACGGUAACUUUGACCAACCGAAACGGUUAACCGGUAAUGGUUAACGGCGAACCGUUUUCUGUCCGACAGUUUGUAACGGCUAGAUUUUCAAAUCCAAGUAUAAAUAAGCUCAUUCAAAUUCAAAGAAGAUUGAUCACAACACGACCAUUUUGAGCUAAUAUUUGAGAAUACAAUCUUCAUAGAGCUUAGAACACAUUCUUGCUUCAUCUACUCACAUAUUAAGCAUCAUUGUGUAAUCUUAUAUAUUGUGAGAGGCAAAACAGUUUGUAAUCUUUUACUUUGAGUGAUUGUAAGUGUUGGGAUACAUUUGGGUUAAGAGAUUGGGUAUAAUCUCUUGUUGUAAAGGUCCAUUGACACCUUGGAAGUCAAGUGUAAGCAUUUGAAGCCUUGGAGGCUUGCUUAGUGGAAUCCUCAAGCCCGGAAAGCUUGGAGGCGUGGACGUAGGCGAGGUUGGCCGAACCACGUAAAAAUCUCGGUGUUUGAAUCCCUCUUCCCUUAUCUUUUUAUAUUGUGAUCAUCUUAAUUGUUAUUGCUUUGAAUCUGAUUUAUAAUUGUAUUAAGUUUUUAUUUAAUAAAUUGAAUAAUUUUUUAGAAUCCCAAUUCACCCCCCUCUUGGGUUGCAUACUUGUAUUUCAAUCUGAACGAUCGCCUGGAUCUUCUCGGGAUUUGCCUCAAUCCCCCUAUGACUCACCAUGAAUCCGAGGAAUUUUCCUGACUCGACCCCAAAAGUACACUUUUCCGGGUUGAGCUUCAUCUUGUACUUCCUCAAAAGUACGAAUGUCUCCUCGAGGUGCUCGACAUGUUCCUUCGAGAUUUUCGACUUAGUUAUCAUGUCGUCCACGUACACCUCCAUUGUUCUCCCAAUCAAUGACUUAAAGACUUUGUUCACCAGCCUCUAGUACGUGGCCCCCGUAUUUUUAAGACCGAAUGGCAUUACCCUGUAACAGAACAGACCCUGGUUAGUAAUAAAUGUCGUGCUCUCCUCAUCCUGCUCGAACAUGGGGAUUUGGUUGUAUCCCGAGAAUGCGUCCAUGAAGUUGAGCAGGCCAUGUCCAGCUGUUGAGUCUACCAGCUGGUCGAUCUUUGGUAAAGGAAAGCUGUCUUUCGGGCAUGCUUUGUUGAGAUCCAUGAAAUCCACACACAUCCUCCAUUUACCAUUGGCCUUUUUUACUAAUACGACAUUCGAUAUCCACUCCGGAUAGUUGACUUCUCGAAUGAACCCUGCCUUCAAGAGUUUCUCCACUUCACCGUUUAUAGCCUCAUAUCUCUCCUGGUUGAAGCACCUCAUUUUCUGCCUUAUUGCCCGAGCACUCUUUUUUAUUGCCAACCUAUGGCAUGCGACCUUAGGGUCGAUUCCCGGCAUGUCUUCGUGUGUCUAGGCAAACACAUCUGCAUGUGCUCGUAAGCAAUGGACCAGCUCCUGCUUCUGUUCAUCUUGAAGUCUCGACCCGAUUUGGACUGUUUUUCCAGGGUCAUCCUGCUGCAAGCUUACUGUCUCUAGUUCCUUUAUAGGCUCUUGUCUGCCAAUUUUGGUCUCUAUUCGAGUAUCAAGGGAUGUAAUAUGCAUUGCUUCCCUUGCUGCCAAGGAGUAGCAGCUUCGUGCUAUUCUCUGGUCUCCUCGUACCACUCAACUACCACAUUAACCCGGUACUUGAGAGCUAGAUAAUGGUUGGACAGUACCGCUUUGCUCAUCUUCAGAAAUGGCCGACCUAGGAUCAUCUGGUAAGGACCUUCUUCAUCCACUACCACAAAGUCCAGUAUCAUAGUCCUUUUUUGUCGGGGAGCUCCCAAUCAUGAUAAGUAGCUCGACCACGCCCAGAGGGACCAGCUUUCCUCCUCCAAAUCCCUUCAAGGAGGUAUUGGUAUACUCCAACUUCAGGUUUGCUAUUCCCAUCUCCUCCAGAGUUGACUUAAACAACACAUCAACUGAGCUCCAUGUGUCAACCAGUAUCCGGUCAAACUUCUUGGUAGCAACAGUGGCCUUGAUAACUAAAGCAUCCUCGUGGGGGUAUAGAAUCGCUUCUUCAUCCUCAUUUAUCCACAUGAUUGGCACUUACCUGACUCUUGCUCGUUUGGCUGCUAGGGUGUUGAAGAAUACUUCUUUACUAGUCAUGGUGUAUCUAGCAUAAUUCUUCCUCGAUCUGUUGGAAUCUCCGGCCAAUGUUGGGCCCCCAGCUAUCACCCUUACUGUGGGUUACUCGCGCCUCAAGUUUCUGUCACUCUGCUCCCCUUCACAUGUCAAGGCCACCAUCGGGAAAAUCCCAUCUAUAAACUCGUCCAGGUACUGAUUUCUCACCAAAUCUUCAACCUGAGUCUUGAGAUCUCUGUAUUCUAUAGUGGUAUGGUCAUGAGUGCCAUGGAACUUACAAUAACGUCCCUUAUCCCUCCUACUGGGUAGCUUUGUUAUUGGGGCAGGGAGGUACAGUAGUCCACGGUCCUUUAUGGCCUCGUACACCUCGUCUAGGGGUAUCUUCAAUGAAGUAUAUCGCCCAUAAUCCUGGUUCUAGUCGAUCAUGUGCACUGCCCUUUCUCUAUUUGUGCCAUUCUGAGUUGGAGGCGGUGGCAGUGCUUCUGGUCUGCUCCCUCUACUACCGUGGGAGUGUGGAUGAAGACCACCAUAUACCGAGUCAUGUCUUCUCCAAGGCUCCCUAGCUGGUGAGCGAGGAGGCUGUGCUCUGCUGCGCUGAUACUGUGGUAGCCUCUGAUAAGGCUGAUAAGCGGUUACCCGACCUCCUGCACUACUACCUGAGGCCUGGUGGUCCUUCCUCCUGAUCGGCCCAUUUCCCUAGUAAUGCUCUCUUCUCUUUCUUUCCCAACCCUUCUAGCUGGUCUGUCUUAAUCAGUGCUGUCUUCUCUUCCUCAAUCUUUAUGUCCCUUUUAGCCUGCUCGUAUGCGGCUGCAUACGUCUGAAUAACUGGGCUUCUCAAGUUGUACCACAACCUUCCUAUCUUCACCUCUUCUUUCAAUCCCUUUAAUGCCUGAGGAUGGUUGAAGGCUCCCAAAUUAAGGACAACACGAUGAAACCUCUUGAUGAAUUCCCGAAGGGUUUCUUGCUCCCCCUGCUUCAUGCUUUUCAACUUCAUCAUGUCAUCUUCUGGUGCCAUUGCCCCACGAAACUGUUCUGUAAAUUCUUGGCACAUCUGCUUGAAAGUUGUAAUGCUCCCCCGAGGAAGUUUCUUGUACCACUCGCGUGCGCGUCCCUCUAGGGAUAGUGGGAACACCCUGCACCUUUGGGCUUGAGAUAAUCUUUGCACCCCGGUUAUGUCGUUGAAGUGCUCUAUGUGCACCAACGGGUCAGUUUGUCCCGAAUAUAUAAGGUCUGGAAGGCGAAAAUCUCUUGGAAUGACUGCCCUCAUGAUCUCUGCCGCGAGCGGUAAUUCUCUGUCCAGCAUUAUCCUCCAACCAGGAGCUCUGCUCAUUCCUUGCAUGUCAUCAAUUACCUGCGCUAGUCUGUGUACUUCCUCCUCCAACUGCACUGCACGACCAGGGUCACAUGCUGCAACUUGAUCCCGCUCUUGCUCUACAUUAUGUAAGUGUUGCCUAAGCUCUGUUUCCUCUGCAUUCGCCACCCCGUCGUCCUCAUAAAAAAUCUGUCUCGCUGGGGAUUGCUCUUCCUCUCUAUGAAUUUCUCCCCACAGAGAUAAGUUACCUCUCUCACCUUCAGAUCUCCUGGUGGUUUGACUUCUCCUCGUAAUUUCGUGACUUGGUGCCACUCUACCACCUCUCACUCUUUCCUCCUGGGUUCCCCUUCGUUCACUCCGUAGCUCAUGCAGGAUGGUUGUCAGGGUCUCCAUCCGCUUUUCCAUCCGUUCUAUCCGGUCAAACAUGGCUUUUUCCCGUGCUUCACUGGCUAUCUCCCUCAGCGUCAUGGAAUCGUUAAGCCUCAUAUCACUCCCUUGUGCACUACCUCCUUCUGCCUCUAUUAUUUUUCCACUUGCUUUGCUCCUCUUCUUGCUGUCAACAGAAGCUUUUUGACCAGUCCCCACAGACGGCGCCAAAAUGUUGAUGCGAGAUUCUGGUUACCCUCCUUACACGACCAGGAUCUCUGCUCGAUCAACUCUACCACGAUCAGGAUCUCUCCUCGUAAUGCUUCUUCAUCAGAAGUUCCUGCGUACACAGAAAUAGGUAAGAGCACGCCGGUUGUUUUCCCGGUGUAAAUCCUCUGACGCUUAAGUCAGAAAUGAAGGUUUUGUGUUCCUCGGAAUGCUAGCCACAAAUCUUAUGGCGUAUCAAUUCUUUAGAGCUCUCUUUUUUUUUUUUAGUUCUAAUCUCAAAAAUUCUAACCCUUUUACCUUCGUUGGCUGCCUUUUUAUAGGCUUUUCCUGAGUUCAGAUCUUCCCCCUCAUUCACCCCCGUUACCUUCCCACCUCUCGAAAAUGGAUGCUCCGUUUCCGCAAUCGUGGGUGGUUGCAUGGCCUUCGUGUCUUGAUUCUCGGAUUGGAGAGGACGUCUCGCCAACUGUCGUUGACCGGGUCUCCUCGCCUCGACCCUUAGCAGGAAUGGCUUUAUGCCUCUAACAUGAGUCCGGCCUCGUGGAUGGCAUAUUCGUGGACGAGCAGAAUAUUCCUGCUCUUGUUCCCCUGCUACCAGACUCUUACAGGAUACACCUGUUCGCAAAACUCUGCCACUAGAUAUCUGCUCAUCACGUCUGGUCUCGUUGAAGUACUUUCCCCAAACACCUUGUUAGUAAUAUUUUAUUAGAAAGGCUAAUUCAGGCUUGCCAGCGCUCUGCCGACAUUUUCUGCUUCAAUGGGUUCCACAUAGCCAUUAUAAGAAAUCGCCCACGAUUUCUCUCCUAUGAUGAUAAUAGACAAGGAUGGCACAAUAGAGAGGUUUGUGGGCAAUGACAUAGUUCCUCUAUCAUUUGAUUAAAAAACAAACGUUGAUUCCAAAGACGUUUUGUAUUUACCUGAAAAUACUUUAUCCGCUCGUCUUUACAUUCCGAAAAACCCAAAAGAUCAAAACCAAAAACUUCCUCUUGUGGUUUAUUUUCACGGUGGAGGCUUCUGCGUCCACACUGCCUUUUCUUCUACUUACAAUAAUUACCUCAACAAUUUAGUUUCUGAAGCUAACAUCAUAGCAGUCUCGGUUGAUUAUCGGAGAGCCCCGAAGAAUCCGAUCCCCUGUGCUCAUGACGAUUCAUGGACUGCAAUCAAAUGGGUUGCUUCCCAUGUUGAUGGGGAUGGCCCAGAAGAAUGGCGUGAGGCAAUGUGGCAAUUUGUUUAUCCUAGCAUGAUUGACUGCGAUGAUCCAUUGAUUAAUCCAGCGGUUGGUUCGAACCUAGCGAGCCAACAGGGAUGCGCCAGAAUGCUGGUUUUUGUUGCGGAGGAGGAUAUGCUAAGAUAUAGGGGAUGGUUUUAUUGUAAGAAGUUGAAGGAGAGUGGGUGGAAAGGCGAUGUGGAGAUUGUUGAGUCUCAAGGAGAGUUGCAUGCGUUCCAUUUGCGCAAUCCAGAUUGCGAAAAUGCUGUGUCUAUGCUCAAGAAAACUGCUGCUUUCUUUAGCCACGACAAUGCUUGAAUUCGAAUUUAUAUGGGUUGUUUUCGCCUCUUGUACUCUUUCUCCAAUCUAAAAGCUUAUCUUUACUUUGUAUUACAGAAACUAAUCAUCUCGAAACGAUUUGUACAAAUUUUUAUUAUGAAUUUGAAAAAAUAUGUAUACCUGGUAUUUUAAUUUAUAAGAGAAAUAUAGUUUAACUAGGUGUUUGAUGAAAGUAACUAAAUGUUCGAUGAAAUGCCUCAAAAAAGACAUUUGGCUGCAACUACGGAAUUUUGAAUAUUACAAGCAGUCCUUUUGUAACACAUGUUCUUGCGCCCUUAGAGUACUACCCAAUAAAAUAUAUUAUGAACUAUAUUCAAUGUUAUUUAAUUAUAUAUCUACUUGUACUCCAAUGUUCUCUCUCUAUCUCUUUUGUUUUUUUUUUUGGCUUUUUAAUAACUAUUUUAAUUAAUCAAGCUUAUGAAUAAUGAGGAUUGAAUAUUAAAGAGUUUAAUUGUAUAGGAGCCAAUUUGUGAAAAAGAAACUACAGUUUGAUUCGAUUUAACCUAGCUCUAAAUUCACCUUUCAUUGUUAUUCCGCCGUCUGCAAGAUGGAUGGAUGUACCAUGCCCAUUAUUUCAGAGAACUGACUUAAGCGACCACACUGCAAAUGUAAUUUGCUACGAGACACAAUUACGCAUAAUUUUUCAACAUGUUUCUAGAUGUCAAAAGUAUCUAUCAAUAAUUGAAUGACACUUAUCACGUUAUCAAAAGCUCUUGUAUGUGGAGAGGAAUUAAUUGAGUUUUGUUUUCAUCGCCUCCAACGUUACGUACCCAACGCCAAUCGAGUGGGCUCCCCCUACUGUACUCGCACCCAUCCCAUAUUCCCACCCAAUAUUGGGUUCACGGAUUCGAGUUCCAUUCUUAUGAUAGGAUUCUUGAUAUUUUAAGUAAGAAUAAACAAUUGAAUAUACACACGUAUGUAUGUAUUAUAAUAUAUAUAUAUAUAUAUAUACAAACAAUUAAAAUUUUUUUACUUCUUGGUAAUAUUUAAAGAUAAUAUUAUAUUUAUUUAAUUGAGAUAUUUAUAUUUACGGAUAAAUAAUUAAUAUUUUUUAUUUUUAAUUUAAAUAAUAAAAUUUUAUUCCUAAUACAUUAAUUAAUAUAUCAACUAAAUAUAUUAAAUUAAGAAAAAUUUUAAAAUACAUCAGAAAUAUCAUAUCAAUUAUAUAAUAAUUAAAUAAUAUUAACAUGUGUGUAUUUAUUUAAAAAAAAUAUUAUAUAAAUAAUAGUUAUAUUAAAUUUAAUUAUCCGUACAACAAUUAAUUAAUUGUAAUACAGAUGACUCAAUCAAAUAAAAACAGUAAUUUUGUCCUGCACAGGCCAAAUCCUUUCGUUAUCAUCUUUACAAAAGCAAACGCCCUCCACAUUUUGUGCUCUGCUUCUUCUCGAUGGAUUCCGCCAACGCAUCAUCAGAAGUCGCCCAUGACUUCUCUCCUUUGAUAAAAGUACACAAAGACGGCAAAGUAGAAAGGCUCAGGGGCACCGAUAUCGUUCCCCCAUCACUUGAUCCCAAAACAAACGUUGAUUCCAAAGACGUUGUGUAUUCUCCUGAAAAUAAUUUAUCUGCUCGGCUUUACCUCCCGAAAAACACAAAUCAAAACCAAAACUUCCCCUUCUUGUUUAUUUUCAUGGCGGAGGUUUUUGUAUCGAGACUGCUUUUUCACCAACUUACCAUAAUUACCUCAACGACUUGGUCUCUGAAGCUAACAUCAUCGCAGUCUCCGUCGACUACCGAAGAGCCCCAGAGCAUCCCCUUCCUAUCGCUUAUGAAGAUUCAUGGGACGCAGCCAAAUGGGUUGCUUCCCAUGUUGACGGAAAUGUCCCCAAAGAUUGGCUCAACCGUAAUGCUGAUUUUGAGCGAGUGUUUUACUCUGGGAACAGCGCUGGUGCUAAUAUUGCUCAUCACAUGGCAAUAAGAAACGGUGGAGAAAUUAUCGACGGCUUUAAUGUUGUUGGUAUUGUCUUGAUUCAUCCAUACUUUUGGGGUGUUGAACCUGUUGGUUCCGAGCCUACUGAUGUUAAAAUAAGAGCUGGAACGGAGAGAUUUUGGCGAUUUACUUGUCCAAGCACAAGCGGGCUCGAUGAUCCGUGGGUUAAUCCGUGUGCCGACGGUUCGAGCCUCGCGAGCCUGGGGUGCGCCAGGGUGCUGGUGUUUGCUGCGGAGAAGGAUUUCCUGUGCCCUAGAGGAUGGUUUUACUAUGAGAAGUUGAAGGAAAGUGGGUGGGGAGGCCAUGUAGAGAUAGUUGAGUCUAAAGGAGAGCAACAUGUGUUCCAUUUGAUCAAUCCCACUUGUGAAAAAGCUGGGUCUAUGCUCAAGAAAAUUUGUUCUUUCUUCAAUCAGGAUAAGCCUUGAAACUGAAGAGUUAUUUGCUUUGGUUCGGCAAAUAUUCGGGAGGAAAGAUGAAUAAGGUAAUUAUAACUCUACUGUGUGUGUGUGUGAUUUUCUUUCCCUUUUUUUUUUCCCUCAGAAGAAAUAAGCAUCGGUUGAUUGCGGCUCAAAAUACAAGUGGGAUUCUGUGGAAUCAGAAUUCGGAAAAGGUUUUGGCCUUCUGGAAUCAUUGAUGUAUUAAUAAUUAGAUUCAUUCGUAAAUCAAUUAAGACAACUUGAUGUAUUAGUAGUACUGUUCACGGAGUCCAUCGAUUUGUCUCUGAUUUCGGAUCAGAAUAGAUCCAAUAUGAGCUCUGUUUCUUUCAAUUUUUAGCAACUUCAUUCAUUUCACUUAGCAAGUUAUCCUACUAAUCCGGUGAUUUGAUCAUAAAAGAUGAUCAUGAUAGCGGUCAGACACAGUUGGAGACAGCAGAGUCUAAACGAGAGCCGCACGCAAUGCUGUGGCUAUGCUCAAUCAAGAUAUGUAAUGCCUAAGCAUAAAAUAUUCAAUAAUUUGGUUGUUGAUCAGAAGGAUAAUUUGCUUGCCACUUAUUCAAGAGACGUGGAGCCAAGCCAAAUCAGAGUUGGUGAGAAAUAAAGAGCGUGGUUUAGAUAAAUCCACAAAGAAGGCAGUCCUUACCAAACAAAAUUUUCUACUAUCUUCAACAAAAACUGAUACCAUUUUUGAAAUUACAGUUUCGGUUAUGAUAAUUCAAGGAUUAAAAUCUUACCAAUCCUCAUAUUAUCUUGUCCCAAAAAACAAAAACAAAAAAUUGAAAGAGAGUGGUUUGGCACUUACAAAACUAUUACAAGGUGACGUGUCAAUAAUCAACUCUACUAACUCUUUUAAUUUAAUUUGCUCAAUUAUUGUUAAUUAUUUAAUUAUGUAUUUCACUUCAUAACUCCUUUUUCAUUUUUUUCUUAAUGAGUUAUCGUAACAUUUGUCUUGAUUUACAUGGGCCUAAUUGUAUUUGUUUGGACACCAUUUUUGUCCCUUUAUCAUUUUUUUUUAUUUUUUAAAUUGUAAACGUUAUCCACUCUUGCUGCCUUCCACAUACCAAAUCUUGUCUUCAUCUCUGCAUAUUUUUCUGCUCCAUUUUCCUUUCUCCUUCUCCUGGAGACCAAACAAAGCCCGUCAAUAUUUUUCUGCACUUUUUCUCUACACAUGGAUUCCACAGAGCCGGCAGCAGAAAUAGCCAUAGACCUCUCUCCCACGAUAAAAGUAUACAAAGAUGGCAAAGUAGAAAGGCUCAAAGGAAACGACAUCGUUCCUGCAUCAUUUGAUCCCAAAACAAAAGUUCAUUCCAAAGACGUUGUGUAUUCACCAGAAAACGAUCUAUAUGCUCGGCUUUACAUUCCAAACCAAAGACAAAACCAAAACCAAAACCAAAAACUUCCCCUUCUUGUUUAUUUUCAUGGAGGAGGCUUUUGCAUCGAAACCGCCUUUUAUCCCACUUACCACAAUUACCUCAACACCUUAGUCUCUGAAGCUAACGUCAUCGCAGUCUCGGUUGAUUAUCGGAGAGCCCCGGAGAAUCCUGUCCCUUGCGCUCAUGAUGAUUCAUGGACUGCACUCAAGUGGGUUGCUUCCCAUGUUAACGGAGAAGGCCCUGAAGAUUGGCUCAACUGUUUCGCUGAUUUCCAGCGAGUGUUUUUUUCGGGUGACAGUGCUGGCGCUAACAUAGCUCAUCACAUGGGCAUGAGACAUGGUCGAGAAAUUCUCGGUGUUAAUUUUAUUGGCAUUGUUUUAAUUCAUCCGUAUUUUCUGGGCAGAGAAUCUGUUGGUAAUGAAACAGCUGACGCUAAGAAAAGAGACUGGGUCGCGAGAUUGUGGAGAUUGACUUGUCCAAGUAGCACAAGUGGGUGCGAUGAUCCGUGGAUUAAUCCUGCCGUUGCCGGUUCGGACCUAGCGAGCCUGGGAUGCGCCAGGAUGCUGGUAUUUGUUGCGGAGAAUGAUUUUCUGAGAUCUAGAGGAUGGUUUUAUUAUGACAAGUUGAAGGAGAGCGGGUGGAGGGGCAAUGUGGAGAUUGUUGAGUCCAAAGGAGAGCAACAUGUGUUCCAUUUGAUAAAUCCCACAUGUGAAAAUGCCGUGGCCAUGCUUGAGAGAACUGCUUCUUUCUUGAAUCAUCAGGAGAAGACCUGAAUUCAUGUGCCUCUAACUAUAUUUAUAAUUUUCAAUAUCCUUUUUUUUUCUGUCAGCUGCUAUUUUUACGGGUAUAUAUAUAUAUAUAUAUAUAUAUUUACCAACUUCAACCGUUCAAAGGAAAUUUAUUAAUUAAAAAAAGUAUGACAAUUCUCAGAAAAUCAAUAGAACACAGAAAUUAAUAUUGGGUUGGACUAUUGCCAUCCCUCGAAUGCCCUCGUAGAACCACUUUUAAGAAUAAUCUCUAUUUAAUUCCACAAAUAACCUUCCAAUUAUUUUUCUCAAGAAAAUUUUAGUGAACCUCAUCUCUCUCUACAAAACUCUUCUAAACUCAAUGACAUUUUUGUUGUCCUCUUAAUCUUCAUAACAUCCAUAUUAAAUUACUGAGAAAUACGAAAGCGGAAGUGUACCUGAAUCCAUGGUGAUUCGUAGUGGUUCUUGAGUGUAGGAGAUGGACUUCCAAUCUUCUCUUUUUCUUGAGUUUAGAAUUCUCUUUGAGAGGAUUAGAGAAUUACAAAAGAUUAUUUGAGAGAUUGGGGACCAUAACCCCUUUUAUAUAAAUAUCGUGACUAUUAGUUUUCUUUUAGAAAACCCAACAGUCACGUAUUUAUGAUAAUAAUCACUUCAGCCCCUCAUUAAAGUGAUGAUUAAAUUCUGGUAUCUAUGCAUUUAAUCCACAAUAAUUAUACCCUUAACCAUUUAAUGAACUUCAAUUAGACCACUUAAUUCUUGGCUUAUUAAAUAAUAGCACACACAUUUUAUUUAUUUCAUGUGUGGCCCCAAAUAUAUUAGAUUAAUAUAAAAUUAAUCUAACAAUUUUCUUUCAUUUUAAAUUUAUAAUGAUUGCGCUUGUUCAACACCGCAAGUUCAGAGCUUGAACUUAUCAAAUUCAGUUUUGGAGAGAUUUCUUUUCACAGUACUAAAUCCAUAUUUUUAUUCUUUGAACAAGAAUGAGACAUUUUUUUCUUUUUCUUUUUUAUCACAAACAAUUGUAUACUUUUAAAGUCAUUUUUCUUUUACAUUAGUCUUUGUCUUUUAUUUAAAAUUGUUCUUUUGAAGAAUUCGUUUGAUGAUAGAUAAUGAAUGGUUUGUAACUGAAAUUCUAUAUAUGGGUCAUAAACAACAAAUCUGAUUGCUGCCAAUAUUCUUGAAGAAGAUGGGUGCAUUUGAUUAAUUUUUUUUAUAAAAUAACUCAAAUGAAAGGUUUGAUAAGAUUUUUAAAGGGUGCCAAUAGCUCCAUUGCUUAUUUUUAUAAAAGGGUGUCUGUACUAGGAAGGAUAUUGUUUAGGGGAAGAAAUUGAAGAUUAAUAAUGUGGCGCUGUGUGUUGAUGAAAAAUUUUAUGAUUAAAAAUAAUCACAGAGGGUACCUAACUUACACUGGGUACACUUGAUAAUUGAGCUGGUACGUGGAGUAUUCCAUACUAGAAGUAAGAUGGUAAAGAAAAGUCUCUAAAAUAUCAACCGUGAGAAAUGCCUCCAUCACCCUGAGAGAAUAUUUGAUUUGACAAGAUCAAAUAGGAAAUAUCUUGCUAGAAAAGAGGGGGCAGCUUGCUGUCACACCUAUAAAAAGCAAAAGAAAACACACCAAGACAGUGGUCCUUAGCUGCCACGCAUAGAAGCUAUCAAGACAACCUUUGUAGAGGUGUCCUAGACUACUCUGCAACGCACAACACGUGUACAAGAAAACAAACCAUACCAAAUGAUGUCCUUAUUGCUCCUCAAGCAUGCUACUAAUGGCUCAAAAUCAUGAUACUGGUGAAAGGAUAAAAUAAACUUGAAAAUGACAGCAAAUCACCACUGUAAUAUAUGCCGCGUGGCAGGGUAGUCAAGGUGCUCUAUAUAUAAAGACACUAAAGUUUUAUUUUGCUCAGGUAUACAACAAACUCACACAUAAAAGACUAAGGUUUUCUCUAACCUCCAGCAAUCAUUAAAGAGAGCUUACAAGCUCUCAAACGCUAGAUAACCCAACUCUGACUUAAGCAUCGAACCAUGGUCGUUGGCCACUUCCGGCUUCACCUAUGAUAUCCUUUUUAUUGUUUUGCUAGUUUAAGGUGUCCUUUCAAGCUCUUUCACUCCAGAUUUGGACCUCUCACCAUUAUCAUUGUCUUCUCACUCUUCUUCAUUUUUUUAAAAUGCACAAAACAACGCACAAAUUGCAAUUAAGUGAGGUACCUUAUAUCCCGAAAAUAAAUUUAUUAUUUUAGCCAGGUUUUCCUUUUUUCUUUUGCACCCAAAAUCUACCUGAAACAAUCAUCUUCAUCUUUAUCAAGACUAAACAUCUCUAUAUAGCUAUCUAGCUUAUUUUAUUCAUCUUGUAUAAUGUAGAAUCUUAUAUAACAUUUCAUUUAUAUAACGAAUUGGUGAUUACUUGCUCCUAUAGACGUAGGCUAAAUGGCGAACCACGUAAACAUUGUGUGUUAUAAUGGAUUGAUGAUUACUUACUCCCGUGGACGUAGGUCAAAGGCUGAACCAUGUAGACAUUGUGUGUUCAUUGCCUUUAUGUUUAUUUUGCUGUAUUUUCAAUUUACAGUCGUAAUUAUGUUCAUGUGUAAGCAUACUUGACGUACCCCAAUUACACUAAGUAUUUGGUGAGACACUUGAGCUAUCCCUCAAGUAUACUUGAGCUACCCUAACUACGCUAAGUAUUUGGUGGGACACUUGAGUUACUCCCUAAAUUAACUCCUAUAUAUUAUUUUGGCUCACCACCUAGGGUACCUUAGUUAAACCACCUAUCACAAAUAUCAGAAAAAAACAUCUAAGCCCAAACUUAGCACAAGCUCCCUCAAAUGUAAAUUUAUUUAUUUGAGACAGAUUUGAUCUGGUAACUAGUACGAAUCGGAUCCUAAUGAAAAUUUGGUGAAAACGGGUAUUAUCAAUAAUCUGCCCUACUAACAUCUAACUAUUUAUUAAGAUAACAUUUAUUCUUUUUAUUUGAAAUUUAAAUUAGUUUAACUGAAGUUUAAAUAAAUCUAAAUGCAUUUGUCUGUUUUCAUUUUUUGAUGCCUAAGUAUAUAAGUGGUAAGUUGUUUGCUUUUAUAAACUCAAAAUAUCUUAAAUCUAGUAUUUUAUACUUAUAUCCUUAGAUGUAUUAUACAUUUGGAAGUUUAAAUAGGUAUAUGUUUACCGGGUUAUUUAGUAUAGUAAUAUUUAUAUGUUAUGAAUAAUUAUAAGCUAAGCAUUUGAUAUACAGAAGAAAUAAACUAUGAAAAAAUAAUUUUGAUAACAAUAGUUUUUACAACUUACAGAAUAUUUCCACAUAAAAAAUUGCUAUCUAAUAAUAAAAGAAUAGUGUAAAAUUCAAAUUGAAUGUAUGUUAGGUAUUUAAUAGCAAAUAAAAGUUUAGAUCAAGAGAAGUUUUAAUGUAGGAUAAGAAACUUAAGACUCUAAAUUUGAGUUGUCCUCGGACGUACACCUGCUUAUGGCACCUCGGAAUUAUAGACUUACUAUGGUAAAAGACUUAGACCCAACGUAUUCGUUGGAGUCGUGGGAGCAAAGCAAGGCUUGUUAGACAGAAAAUAUGAAAUAUUCGAAAAAAUUCCUUCGUCUGCUAGUUUUUUUAGUGUAUCCAUGAUUAAUUCUUCUACCUUUUGAGUGUCAUCUUCAGAAACAUUCUUCAAUCCGAUACUAAAUUGAGGCUGAAGGAGUUCAUCUUCAAUCCCACCACCAACAAUGGCAUCUCCAAGACCACUUUCUAGUAAAAUUUUCCUCAAGGGAGAAGCAGGAGUUCUCAGCAUAAGAUGAUCCAAGAACCCAAGGGCAAGUUCCGUUUCCAAGUCUAAGGGCUUAUCUGAGAGCAACCAAUUAAGGCAUACCAUGUUCUUCUUCUUAAUAUCACCAGCAUCACCAGCAGGGUAUUUCUCAAUAAUCCUGAUUGGUUCUGAAAAUAGUUUCUGUUUUUCAACUAUUGAUUCAUUUGGGGGCUGAACUUGCUUCAAACAUAUUCAAAUACUCUGUGACAGAGAAAGUGCAAUUAAGAUGCUAGUGUACAGAACAACUUGAAUUAAGACCUUAUCAUUCAACUUACUAUCAGAAUGGCAACAUUUUGACAUGCAUGUGCACAAGAAAAUGUUGGAUUGCAUAGACAAGUGAAUAUUGGAUAUGCAUUGGAUUUUGGACCAAAUAUAAUAAAAAAGUUGCAAAUCAUACUGGAUAUGAAAACUUCCAGUUUUGGUUAUAUAUUGGUCUUUUGACUGAAAAUAGUAAAAUACUUCAUAUACCAAGUAAAGAUACGAAGACAAGCUAUAAUUAUAAUGCAUCUUUGUACCGAAACUAGUUCCACUAGAGCAAACUCAAACAAAUCCAUUUUAGGAAGGAUUUUAGUUUCCAUUAUUUAAUUGCUCAACCAGGCAUAGUUUUCAAGGACCACUCAUGCAUAUGCAUCACUCUGGGACCAGCACCCAUAAGCUUCGGGGGACAACCGAAAGUGGUACUCCAGUGAGAAAAAAGAAAAAAAAAUUAACAAAGAGCAUGGAUACUCAAUUCGUCAUCAAUAGAGAUGUCAUUUAUUACCACUCGGGAUGCGUAAGCGUUCAUUUGGAUCAUCGUCUCCAUAGAACCAUAUUUACGGUGAAAUUCCUGCCAUCAGAAAGACACAGCCUGAGAAAAAUAACUAACACAACAUUUAAGUUAAAAAAUCCCCAUACCAACAUAAAUCGAAAAAAAAAAAAAUCAAAAUGCAGUAAAGAAUAUACCUUAAACUCCUCAAAUGUCAGCUUUGGAAUAACUUUUGGAUCACCUCCGCUAUCUACACCAUAUGCAUUGUCGGGAAAUAAAGCCUGUGAAGAAGUUUUGUAACUCAGUUGCAAGAGCAAACAAGAUAGCUUUAUCAGAAGCAUUCAAAAAGAAUGAAUUGGAAGCAUCAAUAAAUGAUCCAUAUGGGUAUGCAAUCAUAAGAUUCAGGCACUUUGUCAGUGAAACUUCGGAGGAAUAAACUAUGAACCAGUUUUCCAUUGUUUCCUGAUUGUAAGGAAUCUGAAAAGAUAUACAGUCAGACGAAUGGAGAACUUGCCUGUUGAGCAGCCCGCCCUAAUAUAUUAUCAGGCUGCGAAUAGACACCUUUCAUCUCAUUGAAAACAACACCUUCAAUUAAGAACAAAAAAAGGAAGGUCAAAGAACUUAGUUGCAAGUUGGAUGAAUCAUCACCAGGGAAAACCAAAUAACAGCAGAAGUUUAAUAUAUAUAUAUAUAUAGAGAGAGAGAGAGAGAGAGAGAGAGAGAACAAAUAUCUGCAGAUAUCAAACCUUUAUAAGUUAUAUCCUCUGAAGGAUUAUCCAGCUCAAAAUGCCAACCCUCCUGUUGAAAAGUCUGGAAGUCCUCCACACACUUUGGGAAAAAGACAGCAUCUAAGUAGACAUCGACCAAAUUAUAAAAAUCCUGUUUAGGAAACCAUCUUAGCGUAAGUAAAAUCCAAAAAAGAUGUAAGAGUUUCCAAGCUUAGGUUCCCGUUCCUCAUAACUCCAACUCAUUUUCUUACCUUUGUAUUCGUAGAAGCAACUGGGUAACAUGUUCUAUCAGGAUAUGUGAAUGCAUUCAGAAAAGUAUUCAAGCUUCCUUUCAACAAUUCAACGAAUUGUUCUUUCAAAGGAUACUUUCUUGAACCACACAACACACUGUGUUCCAAUAUGUGUGGAAUCCCAGUUGAAUCCUUCCUGCAUUAUCAAAUAGGUAAGGCAUAAUGAUCAGACCUUUUGCAACCCAAAAACGUGUCUCGUUGUCCAGAAAACUAUAACUGCCUGAAAAUUAUUUUCUUGUAUUCUUAGCAUUUUAAUGAUAAUAUCUAACAAUGUAUCUGAUUGAAAUUAAUAUAAUCAAAUAAAAUGAAAAGAGAAAAAAAAAAAGACGUUAUCAAACAGUGAGACAGAGUACAUUUACAAUACUUACGGAGGAGUUCGAAAGACAAUGCCGAAGACCUUGUUCUCAUCAUCGUUGGAUACAGACAUGACCUCAGCACCGGUUUUCUUGUGCUUGAAAAGCACAGCCUUUGAUUUACACUCUCCAAUGAACUCUUCCGAAACCUUCUCGAAUCCAAGCUUCUCCGCCACUUCAUUGCUGACUUCAGCACCCUCUACACACACAAAGAAAACCAAUCACAGAUCUCAAUUCAACACACCAAUCACAAUAACUUAAAAGAGGAGUUUCAAUUUUUUUUCCAAAUAAUAGAUCAUUUCUAACGAUUAACAAACACAAAUUUACAAGAAUUGAACAUAAUUGUUUUUUUCUUUGCCGGUAAUCAUUCAAUGAACCAAUAAAAUUACUGCUUAAUUAAACGUAGGAGAUUAAUUAAAUAAAUAACGGGAAAAGAGCUGAAAUUUAGAAAGAGUGAAACGACAAAUUUGCACCUGGAGACGAGGGAGUGGAAGGAGAGGCGACGGCGCGAGGAGAGAGAGACGAGAAGUGUUUGUUGAAUUGAAGAGAGUAAGAUGAUAAGGAGAGGUGUAAUCUGCUGUCGCCGCGGAGGAGGGAGCGCCUGGUGAGGUUGUUGAUCAGACGGUGGUGAUUUCUCCUCGCAACAGCAACUGAUGAUGAUGAAAAUUUGGCGCGAGGUACGAAAGAGCGAAAGUAGAAUCUGUUGGAAGCGAGGGAAGUACAAGAGAGAGAACGAAGCAACGCGGCUCGCUCCAUUGUUAGAAGAAGGAUAGGUACUACGGAGAGAGAGCCUAAAAUAGGUAGCUUAUCCUUUUAAUAUCAAUGGUCAUGGCUAUGAAGCUUGGUUAAACGAUCAUGCUGAUUUUGCUCGUGUUUUUCUCGCCGGUGACAGUGCUGGUGGCAAUAUUGUGCACAACAUGGCCGUUCAAGCGAGUUUUGAAGACUUAAAUGGGAUAAAACUGGCAGGAAUUUGUUUGGUUCAGCCAUAUUUUGGGAGAAAUGAUGAAGUUGUUGAUAAGUGUUGGGUAUUUGUAUGUCCAAAUACAAGUGGGUACAAUGAUGUGAGAAUAAACCCAGCUGCUGACUCUAGGCUAAUGAGCCUGAGGUGCCCCAGGGUUCUCGUUUGUGUUGCCGAGAAGGAUAAUUUGAGAGAUAGGGGAUUGCUUUAUUAUGAGACUUUGAAAAAUUUUGGUUGGGCUGGAGAAAUUGAGAUUGUGGAGACAGAAGGAGAGGAUCAUGUGUUUCAGUUGUUCAAUCCAGAUUCUGAAAAGGCUGUGGCCUUGAUGGAUAAAUUAGCUUCUUUCCUAAAUCAAGAUAAUGUUUUCUGAUGUGAUCACCAGGAACUUAGUAAUCUGUGUACUCUUAAAUUUAAUGUUGUUCAGCAUCAUAUUUCUCUAUGGUUUCACAUUAUGGCCAUCAUUUCUUUUACCAGCAAUUUCAUAUAUGUAUUAAUGUCUAUAUAAGAACAUUCAAAUACCCCAUUGAUGUGUGUAUAAUUUACAAGUGAUAUUGUGUACCUUACCAUAAGAACAAUAAGGAAAGAAAAUGAAUAGAGUUUAAUUGUAGGAGCCAUUGUUACUGUUGGAUCCAAUUCAAUGUGAUUAUCAAAUCAAGAACAUCACAAGAGCAAUUUAUGUGGCUUGACAAGCUUGCUUAUAUCUGCAAGAGAAAACAACCACGGCAAGCAUCAUUAACAGAUGCCGAUUAAAAGAUUACACUCAGCACUCUGCAAAGAACAAAUCCCAUGUUUACAAUCUUGGCUAACUCUCUCUAAGUUGCAAGAAAAUUUCUCAGAAACAACUGUUUCAAUUCUGUUCAGUUGGUAACCACACUAAGCUGCUAGCUCAUCUGUGCCCUGUCAGCAGCCUAGUAAUAUCACUAGCAGAUUGUUAACCAUCAUUUCAAUAAUGUUACCCUGUCUGGAACAAAUCACGACUUACCUGAAUUUUACUUGCAAUUAAUAAAAUAGCACCAUAAAUAAAAAUCAUAUUUCACUUUUUUUUUUAAGGCAGUAAAAGUUCGGUAAAUAACUCGCAAAACAUUUGGGGUCUUUCCAACAUUUCAAUCAUGCUCUUCUAGCUACAAAAUGAAUUUGUUGAAUAUAUAUUUGUUGUUAAUUGAGUGAUAUUAUAUUCAGUCAAAUUUAUGGAGGCGAAGAAUCUUGUCAAUUAUUUACAGAAAGCACUAAUUAAGUUUAUUAUCAAUCGCAUUGACGUUUAUAUGAGACCGAACUUGAGCAAGAUCUUUGUUGGCUGUUGUUAGUAAUAUUUUAUUAGAAACGCUAAUUCAGGCUUGCCAGCGCUCUGCCGACAUUUUCUGCUUCAAUGGGUUCCACAUAGCCAUUAUCAGAAAUCGCCCACGAUUUCUCCCCUAUGAUGAUAAUAUACAAGGAUGGCACAAUAGAGAGGCUUGUGGGCAAUGACAUCGUUCCUCCAUCAUUUGAUCCAAAAACAAACGUUGAUUCCAAAGACGUUUUGUAUUUACCUGAAAAAUACUCUAUCCGCUCGUCUUUACAUUCCGAAAAACCCAAAAGAUCAAAACCAAAAACUUCCUCUUGUGGUUUAUUUUCACGGUGGAGGCUUCUGCGUCCACACUGCCUUUUCUUCUUCUUACAAUAAUUACCUCAACAACUUAGUUUCUGAAGCUAACAUCAUAGCAGUCUCGGUUGAUUAUCGGAGAGCCCCGAAGAAUCCGGUCCCCUGUGCUCACGACGAUUCAUGGACUGCAAUCAAAUGGGUUGCUUCCCAUUGUUGAAAAGUCAGAAGCCAAUGCCAACUUUGCAACAGCUAGCAUGCAAACUUUGGAGAAGCAAAAUCAAAUUGAAUUUGUAAGCCGAAAAGAAAGAAUGGAAAAAGGGGAUGGAUUGAAAAUAAUAAUAAUAAUUUAUUAUAUUUUCAAUUAUUUUAUUCUUUGCAUAGUAAUUCAUUUCUCCUAUAAAUAGCUAAGGAUUUCAUUCAUUUGAAAUCAUCCCAAAAUUGUUAAGCUUAUAAGUUUCUAAGCUUUGGAGAGAAGUAUAGAGAAGUGUGUCUGGGGAAUUUAUCUUUCCUGCAGAGUGUGAGAGUACUGGGAAUAUUUGGGUUUCUAGGAAGUGAGAUUCGUUACUCAAAUAUUGUACUCUAUUAAUUGUUAAAUCAACAAUUAUUCUUCUUGCCUCCGUGGAUGUAGGUUUAAUUACCGAACCACGUAAUUCUUGUGUCUUUUAUUUUUCUAUAAUUAUUUGGUGCGAUUGAUUCCGCAUUCCGCGCACAACACCCAUGUUGAUGGGGAUGGCCCGGAAGAAUGGCGUGAGGCAAUGUGGCAAUUUGUUUAUCCUAGCAUGAUUGACUGCGAUGAUCCAUUGAUUAAUCCACCGGUUGGUUCGAACCUAGCGAGCCAACAGGGAUGCGCCAGAAUGCUGGUUUUUGUUGCGGAGGAGGAUAUGCUAAGAUAUAGGGGAUGGUUUUAUUGUAAGAAGUUGAAGGAGAGUGGGUGGAAAGGCGAUGUGGAGAUUGUUGAGUCUCAAGGAGAGUUGCAUGCGUUCCAUUUGCGCAAUCCAGAUUGCGAAAAUGCUGUGUCUAUGCUCAAGAAAACUGCUGCUUUCUUUAGCCACGACAAUGCUUGAAUUCGAAUUUAUAUGGGUUGUUUUCGCCUCUUGUACUCUUUCUCCAAUCUAAAAGCUUAUCUUUACUUUGUAUUACAGAAACUAAUCAUCUCGAAUCGAUUUGUACAAAUUUUUAUUAUGAAUUUGAAAAAAUAUGUAUACCUGGUAUUUUAAUUUAUAAGAGAAAUAUAGUUUAACUAGGUGUUUGAUGAAAGUAACUAAAUGUUCGAUGAAAUGCCUCAAAAAAGACAUUUGGCUGCAACUACGGAAUUUUGAAUAUUACAAGCAGUCCUUUUGUAACACAUGUUCUUGCGCCCUUAGAGUACUACCCAAUAAAAUAUAUUAUGAACUAUAUUCAAUGUUAUUUAAUUAUAUAUCUACUUGUACUCCAAUGUUCUCUCUCUAUCUCUUUUGUUUUUUUUUUGGCUUUUUAAUAACUAUUUUAAUUAAUCAAGCUUAUGAAUAAUGAGGAUUGAAUAUUAAAGAGUUUAAUUGUAUAGGAGCCAAUUUGUGAAAAAGAAACUACAGUUUGAUUCGAUUUAACCUAGCUCUAAAUUCACCUUUCAUUGUUAUUCCGCCGUCUGCAAGAUGGAUGGAUGUACCAUGCCCAUUAUUUCAGAGAACUGACUUAAGCGACCACACUGCAAAUGUAAUUUGCUACGAGACACAAUUACGCAUAAUUUUUCAACAUGUUUCUAGAUGUCAAAAGUAUCUAUCAAUAAUUGAAUGACACUUAUCACGUUAUCAAAAGCUCUUGUAUGUGGAGAGGAAUUAAUUGAGUUUUGUUUUCAUCGCCUCCAACGUUACGUACCCAACGCCAAUCGAGUGGGCUCCCCCUACUGUACUCGCACCCAUCCCAUAUUCCCACCCAAUAUUGGGUUCACGGAUUCGAGUUCCAUUCUUAUGAUAGGAUUCUUGAUAUUUUAAGUAAGAAUAAACAAUUGAAUAUACACACGUAUGUAUGUAUUAUAAUAUAUAUAUAUAUAUAUAUAUACAAACACUUAAAAUUUUUUUACUUCUUGGUAAUAUUUAAAGAUAAUAUUAUAUUUAUUUAAUUGAGAUAUUUAUAUUUACGGAUAAAUAAUUAAUAUUUUUUAUUUUUAAUUUAAAUAAUAAAAUUUUAUUCCUAAUACAUUAAUUAAUAUAUCAACUAAAUAUAUUAAAUUAAAAAAAAUUUUAAAAUACAUCAGAAAUAUCAUAUCAAUUAUAUAAUAAUUAAAUAAUAUUACCAUGUGUGUAUUUAUUUAAAAAAUAUUAUAUAAAUAAUAGUUAUAUUAAAUUUAAUUAUCCGUACAACAAUUAAUUAAUUGUAAUACAGAUGACUCAAUCAAAUAAAAACAGUAAUUCUGUCCUGCACAGGCCAAAUCCUUUCGUUAUCAUCUUUACAAAAGCAAACGCCCUCCACAUUUUGUGCUCUGCUUCUUCUCCAUGGAUUCCGCCAACGCAUCAUCAGAAGUCGCCCAUGACUUCUCUCCUUUGAUAAAAGUACACAAAGACGGCAAAGUAGAAAGGCUUAGGGGCACCGAUAUCGUUCCCCCAUCACUUGAUCCCAAAACAAACGUUGAUUCCAAAGACGUUGUGUAUUCUCCUGAAAAUAAUUUAUCUGCUCGGCUUUACCUCCCGAAAAACACAAAUCAAAACCAAAAACUUCCCCUUCUUGUUUAUUUUCACGGUGGAGGUUUUUGCAUCGAGACUGCUUUUUCACCAACUUACCAUAAUUACCUCAACGACUUGGUCUCUGAAGCUAACAUCAUCGCAGUCUCGGUCGACUACCGAAGAGCCCCAGAGCAUCCCCUUCCUAUCGCUUAUGAAGAUUCAUGGGAUGCAGUCAAAUGGGUUGCUUCCCAUGUUGACGGAAAUGGCCCCGAAGAUUGGCUCAACCGUAAUGCUGAUUUUGAGCAAGUGUUUUACUCUGGGGACAGCGCUGGUGCUAAUAUUGCUCAUCACAUGGCAAUAAGAAACGGUGGAGAAAUUAUCGACGGCUUUAAUGUUGUUGGUAUUGUCUUGAUUCAUCCAUACUUUUGGGGUGUUGAACCUGUUGGUUCCGAGCCUACUGAUGUUAAAAUAAGAGCUGGAACGGAGAGAUUUUGGCGAUUUACUUGUCCAAGCACAAGCGGGCUCGAUGAUCCGUGGGUUAAUCCGUGUGCCGACGGUUCGAGCCUCGCGAGCCUGGGGUGCGCCAGGGUGCUGGUGUUUGCUGCGGAGAAGGAUUUCCUGUGCCCUAGAGGAUGGUUUUACUAUGAGAAGUUGAAGGAAAGUGGGUGGGGAGGCCAUGUAGAGAUAGUUGAGUCUAAAGGAGAGCAACAUGUGUUCCAUUUGAUCAAUCCCACUUGUGAAAAAGCUGGGUCUAUGCUGAAGAAAAUUUGUUCUUUCUUCAAUCAGGAUAAGCCUUGAAACUGAAGAGUUAUUUGCUUUGGUUCGGCAAAUAUUCGGGAGGAAAGAUGAAUAAGGUAAUUAUAACUCUACUGUGUGUGUGUGUGAUUUUCUUUCCCUUUUUUUUUUUCCCUCAGAAGAAAUAAGCAUCGGUUGAUUGCGGCUCAAAAUACAAGUGGGAUUCUGUGGAAUCAGAAUUCGGAAAAGGUUUUGGCCUUCUGGAAUCAUUGAUGUAUUAAUAAUUAGAUUCAUUCGUAAAUCAAUUAAGACAACUUGAUGUAUUAGUAGUACUGUUCACGGAGUCCAUCGAUUUGUCUUUGAUUUCGGAUCAGAAUAGAUCCAAUAUGAGCUCUGUUUCUUUCAAUUUUUAGCAACUUCAUUCAUUUCACUUAGCAAGUUAUCCUACUAAUCCGGUGAUUUGAUCAUAAAAGAUGAUCAUGAUAGCGGUCAGACACAGUUGACUGCCGGUCUUCAUAAUUGUUUUAUUAAUUAAUAAAAAUAAGUUAAGCAAAAUUAAAGUAUUAAAUAAAUAUGACUUGUAUGAAUGUCAAUAAUCUAUGAUACAAAUAUGGAGAAAUAAAUAUUUCUGCAUGCCAACGUGAUGAAGAUGAAAAUUUACUUUGUCAUGUCUGUCUUUCAGAAGAAAAACAAAAAUUGUGAUUUCUAUUGGAUGGCGCAAGAAAAAAAUUAUCAAUAAUUUUAUGUUGGAAAUGCCACAAUUUCUUUGAAGUCGAAAAAUAUCUAUACAAAUAUUUGGAGACAGCAGAGUCUAAACGAGAGCCGCAUGCAAUGCUGUGGCUAUGCUCAAUCAAGAUAUGUAAUGCUUAUGCAUAAAAUAUGCAAUAAUUUAGUUGUUGAUCAGAAGGAUAAUUUGCUUGCCACUUAUUCAAGAGACGUGGAGCCAAGCCAAAUCAGUGUUGGUGAGAAAUAAAGAGCGUGGUUUAGAUAAAUCCACAAAGAAGGCAGUCCUUACCAAAUAAAAUUUUCUACUAUCUUCAACAAAAACUGAUACCAUUUUUGAAAUUACAGUUUCGGUUAUGAUAAUUCAAAGGAUUAAAAUCUUGAGAAAACAUGUUGUGCAAAUCCAGCCGUUGGAUGCCAGUGGAUCCCACCAAUCCAAGUGCAUCCAACGGUUGGAUGCAACUGUGACACGGUACCACAAGUUGCACCGUAGCCUGAUCCUAAAAUCUUACCAAUCCUCAUAUUAUCUUGUCCCAAAAAACAAAAACAAAAACAAAAACAAAAAAUUGAAAGAGAGUGGUUUGGCACUUACAAAACUAUUACAAGGUGAUGUGUCAAUAAUCAACUCUACUAACUCUUUUAAUUUGCUCAAUUAUUGUUAAUUAUUUAAUUAUAUAUUUCACUCAGGCCGAAACUACAUUGCCACAUGGGUUUCGUACCCCCUUUUUUUGUCUUUUUCAAGGUUAAUUGUAAUGGAGUCCAUUUAUUUGUUUAAAAGAACAAAAAAGCUAAAGAAUUUUAUAUUUUCACACAUUAGUCCUGCAUCUAGAAAUGUUCAAUUACGAUGAUGUUUUUAGAAGCCACAAUCUAUUUUAGAAGCACUUUUCAAAGAUGCCGACAUGAAUACAAUACUCCGACAUCAUAGACUUGUCAAUUUAGAGAAUAUAAGUUUUUUUCUUUUUUUAUUGCAAUAUAUGUAGAGAAGAGAAUGCAUAAAUUGUUAGAGUUGAAGGAAAAAAAAUCCAUUUCACUCAAACUAAAAAAUAAAAAAAUAAAAAAUUGGUCAUGGCCAUGGUUCUGUUUUGCAGCACUUAGCCAUUAAUCCGACAAGAAUGUAACACAAUAUAUAUAUAUAUAUAUAUAUAUAUUGUAAGGGUUAAACAUGCGUAUUUAAUUUUUAUUAUAAAUCACUAUGCAUUUUAUAAUAUGAAAAGCUAAUUAAUGUGUUUUACAUAAAAAAUUCUUAUUUUUUAUUUACUUUUCCUAAAAUGAUUAAUAUUAAAAGAUAAUUAAAAUUAUUUACAAUAUAGAAACAAACUAAUAAAAUAAAAUUAUUUCUCUUCUUUUUAAUUACAAAAAAUUAAUAAAGAAAUAUUUAAAUUAUUUUCAAAUAGGGUAAUUGUUUAGAUUUAUUUUUUUACCCUUCUUUAAUUCAGUUAAUGAAAUAUUUUAAAUGAGUGCUAAUGACUAUUUAAAAUGUUGGGGUGGAAUAAAAAAACUCAAUUUAGUUAAGUGUGCAAUUAAAUUUACCCUUUUUAUUUAAGGACAAAAAUUCAACUAAAAAUACAAAAUCCUUGUUCAAAUGAACAAAAAUGAUUUUAUUAAUUGAUAAACUCAUGAUUUACGAAUUGAUAAACUAACACUUUAUUAUUAUUAUUAUUAGUAAAUUAAUAUAUUUUUCUACAUAAUCAAAUAAUUGAUAGUAUGUUAAAUAAAUAAAAUAUUAAUUAUAUAUAAUAUGAAAUUAAAUUCAUUUUUAUAUUUUGUGCAUUUCAUCCAUUUGAGAUAGUAAAAUCUCUUGCGUUAGAGAAAAAAAAGGUAUAAUAUCUCUCACAUGGGAGGAAAUUGGCUGCCAUUUUGUUAAAUUAAAAAAAUCAUAUAUAUAUAUAUAUGAUAUAAUUUAAGUCUUUAUCCCUGAUUUGCUCUUUAGACUUCAAGCGUAGAGAGAACUUCUCAUUCAUGGCUUCCACUUCAUCUUCCCCUCCUGUUACUCUUUCUUUUACUCUCUCUUUGCCCCGCUCUUGCACUUCUCAUACCACCAAUAAGAUUGAAAACCUUGUAGAAUACUCCUAUAUCCCUGAAUCAACCCAAAUCAGUGAGUCCUCCUACCCUCUUAUUAGCCCUUAUCAGUUGUACAAACGACCUAGCUCCUUUACCCGCAGUAUCCGCACCCUCAUCUCUGCCAGACGCCCUCACCCUAAAUAAUAUAUCCAGUCUUCCCGCCUGGAUCAAUGUGCUCUUCAAGCUACCUCUACUGAGCAAUAUGUCACUCUGGAGAUUCCCUCCGAGUUGCUCACCAACUGGAAACGAGAAGGUUAUACUCAUCUUCAUCUUGGAGGCAUCAGAUUAAUCCUUACCCUUCACGAGAGAAAAGGAUUACCGGUUACAGCUCACCUUGCUAUGCUUGAUACCCGGUUUAAACAGUACCAAGAUGCUGUUAUUGGCACUGUCCUCACAACUCUCCAUGCCGGCAGUGUUUUACUCACCUUUUAUCCCAACUUUAAUCUUUCCCUUCAAGACCCCAAUUUGCCCACAACCUUGAAAGCCCAAGUUCAGAUCCAAGGUGUUGAACAAAUUUCUUCUGCCAAAAUUGCCACCUUACACCAUCAAUUGGUCUAUAGGCUUCAAAAUCAUGCCUUAGAUCUACCCACUCCUGAACAUCAUUCUGAUACCCUCAUGGUCUUAGCCGAAUCUGACCAGAUCCCAACCAUAAUCCAGAUCCCCAGACAAAUUCCCCGUCAUGAGCUCAUCAAGCUUAUGCCGCUUGAAUGGAUCUCCAACUAUGAACAGUUCCAUAACAAUACAGCUCCAAUUCAGACCUCUGAAAGCAUGUUUGAAAGACGCCAAGAUGGAACAGUUCGAAUGACUUUUAAACCACCUCCAAGUGCUCCACAAGAGCCUCCUCAGCUCUCAUUUACCUAUUCUUCAAUGAUCACAGCGGUUCAGACAGCCCAUGAAGAUCUGCCCAUUACAGGGUUCAAAUAUGAAGGUUACCCUGUUUAUCCAGCCAAGCACAAUGGCCAUUUCCUAUGGGAUGCCCCUGGCUCAGGCAUGUGUGACCCAAAUUGUCUCUGCUGGGAUGAUUGGGAAAAAGAUGACGAUUAUGCCACCACAAGGAAAAAGAAACCCAAAAAGAAAAAACCUCCAGUUUCCUGCCACCACUAUGAUCCCAAACCACCACAAGAUCCUCCACCUCCAUCAGCUCCAUUACCCUUUUACCAAAAAGAACUCAAAUGGAUUACAAAGCAUUGCAAAUCUGAGACUCCAUCACCACUUUUACUUUCAACACCCCCACUGGCUUGUAUGAUGUUUUCAUCCACUUCUUCAGACUAUUCUUCCUCUUUUCCCCCUUUAGAUACUUAUACAGAUUCCCAACGCAAUGUUGUGUCCAAACCCUUUAUUUCUUCACCAAUUACCUCAUCCGGUCACCUAGAACCUCCCAAACCUUUUGAAUCAGUCCUCAACUGGCAAACCCAAAAUGCCAGAGUACAGAAUGAUACUUUGGUGAAUAUCAAUUCCAAAGUUAAGAAAAUCAGUUUACAAACUGAACAACUUGAGACAAAAGUUGACUCCAUCUCUGCACAGAUGCAGCAGAUCCACUAAAAUCUCCAGUCCAGAAUUGCUCAACUCGAUUAUGAGUUACGAGCUAUGCUUGCCCAGUGCUAUUAUGGCCCAGAAUUUGAUAAAAAAGAUAAGGAGAUCAGACGUUUAAAAGCUGAGCCUGACCAGAUUGAAUCUGCAAAAUAGCGACCUACCCUUUUCACCACAUCACCUCAUAUUCCUUCCAUUGGCCCAACUUACCACCAUUUUGCCUCUAUGCUUUCCCCCAUCAGACAAUAUGAUCCUUCCAAGUUAUUUGGCAUGACUCUUACUCUUUUUCGGGAUAAUCCUUUACCACCACCACCUAAACCUAAACCAAAGCCUAAAUCUCAACCGCGACCCGUCACAUUCCAUCCCUCAUCCAUUACCAUCCCUGGCCAACAUUCUCCUGGUCCUACUCCAGCAUCGUCACCAGUACCUCCACCACCAACUGAAUCCCAACCACCUUCUCAAUCCAAGGAUAAACAACCCAUGCACCAGUUUAGUGCCCAUACAGUCGCCCACUUUUCUACCACAGAUGACCAAACUUCUGAUUCCAAUCUAGCUGUUUCUGAUAGCCAUACUGAGACUGACACAGAAUCUUCAGUAUCCACUAGUGAUUCUGAAAAGUCCUAUGCUGAUAUCCCAACCACCUCCUCAAGGCCAAACCUCUCAUACAGAACCAUAUGUUGACAUUCCCUCCGAGGUUGAGGAAGAAAUGCUUGAAUCUUCAGCCACACAUCAACCUCCUCCAGCUCAAACCCAGACCGGUUCCACCAGUCAAAAAUCAUCGAAUGGUCUCUGGUUCACAUUUGAUGAUCUUCCAUCUCAUAAAUGGCGUGAUUGCCUUAAUGAAAUGUCUACCUGGAUUGACCUCCAAAUGUUACGUCCAGGAGCCACAACCCAAUUAGUCCUUCGAGAAUUUGCUACUCGUUUUACGGGUGCUCUAAGAGAUUGGUUUGAUUCUUUAGGCCGAUAUCGCCAAUUACAGUUUGUUGAUCUACCAGAAGUCUCAAGUGCCCUUGUGGUUCUCCAUGAUCAAUUCCUUGGAGACCCCUCUGCAGUCUUUGAAGCUGCACGAUGAGACUAUCUCAACAUGAAAUGCUGUUCCCUUAAUGCUAAGGAUAUUGAUUUCCAUUACAAACGCAUGUCCCUGCUGUUCUAUAAGCUUAAUGGAUUCAAUGAGCCGACAUUAAAGCAUGUAUUUCUGGCUUCCCUUCCAUAUGAACUCCAACCAGAUAUACAACGACAACUCACAGCAUCCAAUCUUUCCCUUGACAACAUCUCUUUUGGCAAAAUCUUCCAGCUUUCAAAGAACUGUUGAAAGACAAAGAGCCAUUUCGGAGUGCUUGCAAAAAGCCUUAUUUGCAGAUCAAAUGCAAAAAGAAAAAGGAUUGUGAUUGCAGUCCUAAAAAGAAACGGCAUUUUAAGAAAUUCAGAAAUCCAGAAUUUUCAUCCAGACCUCGUCGAUCUAGAAAGCCUUACAGAUUCUUCAGAAAGAAGUCAUCCUCUUCCAGAGAUUUCAAAAGACAAAAAUCAAGCAGAUGUUUUAUCUGCAAAAGAAAAGGUCAUUAUGCCAAAGAUUGUCCCAACAAGCGAGAAAAAUCUAUUCGGUUAGUUGAGCAUCUCCAAGCCACUACAGAUUAUUCUCCAGAAAAUGAUGAACUGGAAUUCUAUUUCUCUGAGCAAGAUGAACCCAAUGAUGAAACUGUGUUCGCCCUACAAAAUUCCUCUGAUGACUCAGAAAGUGAUCAGUCCCAAGUCAUUUUCCAUCAACAGUUACUGUCCCUUGACACUAUUGUCCCUAUACCUUCCAUCAAACUCUAAAUUUUACCCUCAAAAUUUCAAAGGCCCAUUCCAGUAAUUGGUCUUAUCGACACUAGUGCCCAGCGCAGUAUGUUAAACCCCCAUAUUCUCCCACUAGACCACUGGAUAGAAUCUGAAGAACAUUUCAAAGCUGUUAAUGGCAAACUCUUCACCACUUUUUUUAUUACCAAAAAGCUCAUUGGUAUUCAAAUUUUCCCCAAUUGUGUCAUUUGGACCAAAGUUAUCGGUUCAACCCUUCCUAAUAAGGAUAUCUUGUUAGGUUUUGAUAUCCUUCACCAGCUCAAACACCUCCAGAUCAUUCCCACUAGAAUCCGAGUCAAGUCCAUGUUCAAACCAUUUACAAACAUUCUGAAGCUCUACAAUCUGUCUGAAACUCCUCCGUCAUAUCAGGAUAUUUCUACCAAACUUUUGAGUUUCUGUCCAGAGUCCCAUAUUGAGUUCACCCAUCCAACUCCAUUGUGGAAAAACGAGUCUUUCUUCAUUAAGUUACCAUUCAAACUAAAUGAAGAUAUUAACCCAACCAAAGCUACCUAUCCAGGAAUGAGUCCUUCUGACUUACUCCUAGCCCAACAGGAAUGUUCCCAAUUGUUAGCCCAAGGCCUUAUCGAACCCACAAAUUCUCAAUGGGCUUGCCAAGCCUUUUAUGUUGAUAAACAUUCUGAGAUUGUUCGAGGAAAGAAACGUCUCGUCAUUGACUACCAGCCAUUAAACAUGUUUUUGCAAGAUGACAAGUUUCCUUUACCCCGUCGACAAAGCAUGUUUACUUUUCUCAAAAAUGCCCAGAUCUUUUCAAAAUUUGAUUUAAAAUCAGGUUUCUGGCAAUUAGGCAUUGAACCCUCUGAACGGUACAAAACUGCUUUUUGUAUCCCAAAUGCCCAUUUUCAGUGGACAGUCCUUCCUUUCGGCCUCAAAACAGCCCCAUCCAUUUUUCAAAAAUCCAUGGUCAAAAUCUUUCAGCCAAUUCUGCAUCAUGCAUUGAUUUACAUUGAUGAUAUCUUGCUUUUUUCAGGAUCACAUGAUGAACAUCGCCAGUUGUUAACUCAGUUCUAUGAUAUUGUCCAAAGUCAUGGAAUCAUGUUAUCGACAAAAAAAAGCACCAUUGCUACAGACAAUAUUGAAUUUCUUGGUAUGGUCAUAAAAGAUGAUCAUUAUUAGCUAGGAAAACAUAUUGCCCAAGAGUUGCUCCACUUUCCAAAUUAGCAACUUUCCAAAAAGCAAGUCUAACAGUUUCUCGGCAUCAUCAAUUACAUCAGAGACUUUAUCCUACAUGUGGAUCACUACACUCAUCACCUCUCAGCUUUAUUGAAAAAAAAGCCCCCAGAGUGGAAUGCUGACCACACAACUGCUGUCACUACUCUCAAGCAAAUUGCGCAAAAUCCGCCUCCAUUAAAGUUGAUUACUGAUGGAAAGCGCAUAUUGCAGACAGAUGCAAGUGAUGAAUCAUGGGGUGCCAUUCUCCUCGAAGACAUUCAUGGAAAAGAACACUUUAUCGCUUACGCUAGUGGAUAAUUUUCUGACACAUAGAAGCAUUAUCAUGGCAUGUUCAAAGAAAUUUUAGCGGUAAAGAAUGGCAUCAAAAAGUUUGAGUAUCAUUUGAUUGGACACCACUUUCUCAUCUGAAUGGACAGUUCAGCCUUCCCCAAUAUUUUCAAUUUCAAAGGUAAACCUAUUCCCGAAAAAAUGUUACUCAGAUUAAAAGAUUGGUUUGCUACAUAUGACUUUUCAGUCAAGCAUAUAAAGGGAUCCCAAAACCUCAUCCAUGAUAUGCUCUCCAGACUCUCAAAACCAGAGAAACCUCUAACCAUGUUUUCCACUACAUAUCACAUUCCGAUCAUCUCUAUGGCUACAUCAUUACCCCCAGAAGCUCUCACCAAAAAAACUUUUCCCUUCAACAAAAACUUCUCCUCUGUCUUUGCCAUCCAAGAAUUUACAAAGAAAGCUCUUUUUCGUUUCUUCAUAAAAGCCUACCUUGUCACCGAACCCUUUCCUUUUUCCACCUUCCACCUAGAAAAUAUGUUCCUUACAGGUCUAACCCUUGAUCCAUCCAGAGAAACCAUUGAAGAUGUGUUAUGGUACAUCUGGUGCCUAACAGUCCUUUAUGCCACUAAGUUAGUCCUACCAAUUACUCCCACAUUGGAACACCUCCUUGACCCAGACAAAGCCACCUCUCUUACCUGGACAUUACUUGAAUGGUUCUCCCCAAUACCAUAGUGGAGAAAGAAGCUCCAGUAACUGUCAGAGAUUUACAGUCUUGAACGAAUGCCUGCCUCAGAAGCACAAAUGUUCACAUCAGUCUUUAUCAUUCACAGGCUAUACUUCCAACAUCCAGAUACAAAACUCUUUUGGACUCAAGACCAGGUAUAUGAAUGGUUUACUGCACCACAUCUCAUUGUCAUUGAAAAUGAAAUCCAAUCCACCUUGCACAACUACCUUUGUUAGUUAAACCACCAAACUCCGCCACACAAAGACAUCUUCUACACCUCUUUAGGACCUCAACAUGACCUCAUCACGAUUCCUACUCUAUCCGCCAUAUCCAAACCAAAGUCCACAGGUAUCAUUAUCAAGGAAGAAAAACCAGACUACACUGACUUCCUGCUCCAAAAUUCCCAAGACCCAUGGGAUGCAUUUCUCCCUCAAAGUCAACACCUCCACCAAUUUCCCCAACCGACAAUGGAUGAACCCGGACCCUCUCAACCAGGAUCCUCCUUCCAACCAGCACCACCAACUUAACCUACCAAAGUUAACAAAGCCACCCAAACUUCCCCUCAGUAUACUCCAAAGUGUACUCCCAGAGACUAUAAUUGCCCUGGUCCACCAUGCCGUGGUCCCUCCUGUAAACAUCUAAAGCUCUCCAAAACCUUUUUCCCAAAGCAUACGGACCCAGAUGCAAUGGACAGCUCAUUCGACGAUGAUUACCUGAAUCUCUCCUCUCCAUAAAGUAGUUUGUCUUGUUGUAAUAAUUGUGUUUUACUUUAUGGUUUUGUCUUGUAUAAUUAUUGCACUUUGCUUUUACUUUAAGCUUUUGCUUUUGCUUUUGUCAAAGUCAUGCUUUAAUUAUUAAAGCACUUUGUCUCUUUGUAAUAAUUAAAGGUGUGUCAUGAUGUAACUUUUACUUUUUCUUUUGUAAAAUAUAGGGAUCAUGUCCUAUCUUCUCUGAGAUUUCUCCUAUAUAUAGGAAUCUCCCAUUUGCUUGUAACAGAGAGAAGCUUGUAAAAGUUUGAAGCAAUAAACUCGUAUUUUUCCUCAAACCAUGAAUUUCUAAACUCUCCUCUCUCUCUCUGCAAAUGAAGUUCUAAAGAAAGAAAAAGAAUAAAGAAUUAAAUUUGUUCAUUUCGAAACCUAAGGAAGUAUGCUCUGCACUUGCCUUAUUGCAAGGAUCUUGUGCAUCAGAAAACUUUUGAUCGUUUUCUUAUCUGGUUUGGUACCCUGUUUUGGACUAAAGGAAAGUAUGUUUUGGGUUAUAUAACCCGAGAUGAAAAAUAUUUUAGAAGUUUUUCUGAUUCCUCAUUUGAGUAUAUCGACGGGAAACCGACGAUGUAAAUUCCAGAGGUGAUCCUGAAUAGGCACUAGUCUGGUUUGCACUGUCGGAUAACAAGUCACGUACCCUAAGUGGUAUCAGAGCAAUUAUAGUUAGUAAAAAAAAUACAAUGUUUAGCUAUAUAUUAAAUUAAUUAGUUUAUUAAUUAAUAAUAGAAUUAUUAAUUUAAAUAAAUAUUAACAAAUGUAAGAAUAAGUCAUUUAAUUGAAAACCUAGUUCAAUAAUCUAAAAAGAAUUUAAAAUAUUAUGGACUUACAUGUUAAAAUUUAACAACUUUUAAUUUUUCUUAUUUUGUAUAAAUAAUAGGGGCAUUUAAUGUUAAUAACCUAACAAAUGCAUCUAAGCCGUUGUACAAUUUUUGGAUUGAAUCUAAAAGUGAAUUUGAAAAAGACAAAAAAUGGGGUACCAACACCAUAGGUAAUAUAGCUGGACCCAUCACUUCAUAACUCCUUUUUCAUUUUUUUAUGAAUUGAGUUAUCGUAACAUUUGUCUUGAUUUACAUGGGCCUAAUUUUAUUUGUUUGGACACCAAUUUUGGCCCUUUAUCAUUUUUUUUUUAAAUUGUAACGUUAUCCACUCUUGCUGUCUUCCACAUACCAAAUCUUGUCUUCAUCUCUACAUAUUUUUUUGCUCCAUUAUCCUUUCUCCUUCUCCGGCAGACCAAACAAAGGCCGUCAAUAUUUUUCUGCACUUUUUCUCUACCUAUGGAUUCCACAGAGCCGGCAGCAGAUAUAGCCAUAGACCUCUCUCCCAUGAUAAAAGUAUACAAAGAUGGCAAAGUAGAAAGGCUCAAAGGAAACGACAUCGUUCCUGCAUCAUCUGAGCCCAAAACAAACGUUCAUUCCAAAGACAUUGUGCAUUCACCAGAAAACAAUCUAUGUGCUCGGCUUUACAUUCCAAACCAAAGACAAAACAAAAAACUUCCCCUUCUUGUUUAUUUUCAUGGCGGAGGCUUUUGCAUCGAAACCGCCUUUUCUCCCACUUACCACAAUUACCUCAACACCUUAGUCUCUGAAGCUAACGUCAUCGCAGUCUCGGUUGAUUAUCGGAGAGCCCCGGAGAAUCCUGUCCCUUGCGCUCAUGAUGAUUCAUGGACUGCACUCAAGUGGGUUGCUUCCCAUGUUAACGGAGAAGGCCCUGAAGAUUGGCUCAACUGUUUCGCUGAUUUCCAGCGAGUGUUUUUUUCUGGUGACAGUGCUGGCGCUAACAUAGCUCAUCACAUGGGCAUGAGACAUGGUCGAGAAAUUCUCGAUGGUGUUAAUGUUGUUGGCAUUGUUUUAAUUCAUCCGUAUUUUCUGGGCAGAGAAGCUGUUGGUAAUGAAACAGCUGACGCUAAGACAAGAGACUGGGUCGCGGGAUUGUGGAGAUUGACUUGUCCAAGUAGCACAAGUGGGUGUGAUGAUCCGUGGAUUAAUCCUGUCGUUGCGGGUUCGGACCUAGCGAGCCUGGGAUGCGCCAGGAUGCUGGUAUUUGUUGCGGAGAAUGAUUUUCUGAGAUCUAGAGGAUGGUUUUAUUAUGACAAGUUGAAGGAGAGCGGGUGGAGGGGCAAUGUGGAGAUUGUUGAGUCCAAAGGAGAGCAACAUGUGUUCCAUUUGAUAAAUCCCACAUGUGAAAAUGCCGUGGCCAUGCUUGAGAGAAUUGCUUCUUUCUUGAAUCAUCAGGAGAAGGCCUGAAUUCAUAUGCCUCUAACUAUAUUUAUAAUUUUCGAUUUCCUUUUUUUCUCCAUUUUUUUUUUCUGUCAGCUGCUAUUUUUACGGGAAUAUAUAUAUAUAUUUACCAACUUCAACCGUCCAAAUGAAAUCUAUUAAUUAAAAAAAGUAUGACAAUUCUCAGAAAAUCAAUUGAACACAGAAAUUAAUAUUGAGUUGGACUAUUGCCAUCCCUCGAAUGCCCCUCGUACAACCAUUUUUAAGAAUAAUCUCUAUUUAAUUCCACAAAUAACCUUCCAAUUAUUUUUCUCAAGAAAAUUUAAGUGAACCUCAUCUCUCUCUCUACGAAACUCUUCUAAACUCAAAGACAUUUUUCUUUCAUUUUAAAUUUAUAGUGAUUGCACUUAUUCAACACCGCAAGCUCAGAGCGUGAACUUAUCAAAUUCAGUUUUGGAGGGAUUUCUUUGCACACGACUAAAUCCAUAUUUUUAUUCUUUGAACAAGAAUAAGACUUUUUUUUCUUUUUCUUUUUUAUCAGGAACAAUUGUAUACUUUUAUGGUGCGUUUACUUAAUGGGAAUGCGAAUGGGGUGGAAUGAGAAUAGGUUGUGAAUGAGAAUGAGUUGGAUGAGAAUGAGGAAUAAGAAUGAGAUCUCAAUGUUUACUGUGGCAAAAAUAAAUGGGAAUGUGGAAUGUGCUGGAAAUGCUAUUGAUGUGUUUACUUGGCCAAAAUAAAUGGGGAAUGAGGGAGUGAAAAUGAAGAAUCAAUUUACCAAAAUACCCAUAGGUAUUAAAUAAUUAAUAAAAAAUAAUUAAUUUAUCAUUAUUAACAAUAUUAUCAUUAUUGUUUUUUGUUGUUGUUGUUGUUGUUAUUAUUAUUAUUAUUAUUAUUAUUAUUAUUAUUAUUAUUCUUAUUAAAAAUAAUUUUGUUAUUCAAUUUUAUUAACUUUAUUAUUUUAGUUAUUAUUAAUUAUUAUUAUUUUUUAUUAAUAUUAUCAUUAUUAACAUUUAUUAUUAUUAAUAUUAUUAUUAACUUUAUUAUAUUAUUUAUUAUUAAUUAUUGUUAUUACUAUUUUUAUUAAUAUUAUCAUUAUUAACAUUUAUUAUUAUUAAAUUUAAAUUUUAUUAACUUUAUUAUUUUAGUUAUUAUUAAUUAUUGUUAUUAUUAUUUUUAUUAAUAACAAUGAUAAAUGUUAAUAAUGAUAAUAUUAAUAAAAAUAAUAAUAACAAUAAUUAAUAAUAACUAAAAUAAUAAAGUUAAUAAAAUUUAAUAAUAAUAACAAUAACAACAAUAAGGAUAAUAUUGUUAAUAAUGAUAAAUUAAUUAUUUUUAUUAAUUAUUAUUUUUAUCAUUAUUUUAUUGUUAAUAAAAUAUUAAAUAAUUUGGUUGUUGAUCAGAAGGAUAAUUUGCAUGCCACUUAUUCAAGAGAUGUGGAGCCAAGCCAAAUCAGAGUUGGUGAGAAAUAAAGAGCGUGGUUUAGAUAAAUCCACAAAGAAGGCAGUCUUUACCAAACAAAAUUUUCUACUAUCUUCAACAAAAACUGAUACCAUUUUUAAAAUUACAGUUUUAGUUAUGAUAAUUUAAGAAUUAAAAUCUUACCAAUCCUCAUAUUAUCUUGUCCCAAAAAACAAAAACAAAAAAUUGAAAGAGAGUGGUUUGGCACUUACAAAACUAUUACAAGGUGACGUGUCAAUAAUCAACUCUACUAACUCUUUUAAUUUGCUCAAUUAUUGUUAAUUAUUUAAUUAUAUAUUUCACUUCAUAACUCCUUUUUCAUUUUUUUCUGAAUUGAGUUAUCGUAACAUUUGUCUUGAUUUACAUGGGCCUAAUUGUAUUUGUUUGAACACCAAUUUUGGCCCUUUAUCAAUUUUUUUUUUAAAAUUGUAACGUUAUCCACUCUUGCUGUCUUCCACAUUUGUCUUCAUCUCUAUAUUUUUUUUUUGCACCAUUAUCCUCUCUCCUUCUCCGGCAGACCAAACAAAGCCCGUCAAUAUUUUUCUGCACUUUUUCUCUACCCAUGUAUUCCACAGAGCCGGCAGCAGAUAUAGCCAUAGAAGUUGGAAUUUGAAGAUCGAAUGAAGAAGAAAAAGAGAAAUUGUCUUCCAAUUAUUAAUGCAAAAUCAAAUUACAGAAAUGAGCUCAGCUUAGUAUUUAUAGUGGAAUCUAAUACUUGCUGAGUACUCUAAUUACAGCUAAGCAAUGUAACUAAUGAGUAACUAACUCUGAUCUAACUACAUUCAAUACAACUCAUAAGUACUGAUUUGUUAACUAAUUGCUGCAUAAUCCAACUGCAUGGGAAUCUCUUCAUAACAGUUUUGCCAUCUGGAGCUUCCCAACUUCUCACGUGUGCCUUUCUCUUUCAUUUCCAGACUAGCUACUAGAUUUACAGCUGGCUUGAUUCCAGCUGGCACUCCAACGUGUGUUGCAUUUGAUUCAGCUUCAUCAGCUAAUUCAACACCCCUUCUCAAACUUAAGUCCUUUGGAAAGACUUUAAGUUUGCUUCUGAAGAAGCUGAAUUUAGGAUAUGUAAGAGGUUUAGUUAAUAUAUCAGCAACUUGAUCAUUUGUAGACACAAAAGCAAUGUCAACCUCUUUCCUCUCAACUUUGUCUCUCACAAAGUGAAUAUCUAUUUCAAUAUGUUUAGUCUUAGAAUGCAUUACUGGAUUUGUGGCUAUAGCAGCUGCACUUGUGCUGUCACUUAGUAGUAGUGGAGUACUCUGAAGUCUGAUGUCAAGUUCCUUAAGAAUUGAGCAGAUCCAAGUUAACUCUGAGCAAGCCAAAGCCAUAGCUCUGUAUUCUGACUCAGCUGAUGAUUUGGAAAUUAUGCUCUGCUUCUUUGAACUCCAGCUGAUUAAAUUUUCACCUAGAAAAACACAGUAGCCACUAGUUGAUCUUCUGUCGUCAAUGUCACUACCCCAAUCUGCAUCAGUAUACAUUACAAGAUCUAGAGAAUCAGAUCUCUUGAAAGUUAAGCCAUAAUGUAUGGUUUCCUUGAGAUACCUCAGUACUCGUUUGCAAGCAAGCCAGUGAGGUUGUAAAGGGUUAGCCAUGAAUUGACUUAGCUUGUUUACAGCAUAAGCAAUUUCAGGCCUUGUUAGCACUGCAUACUGUAAUCCUCCAAUGGCUUUCCUGUAUUGAGUUGCAUUUGUAAAAUCUUCACCCAUGUUUUUGCUAAGCUUUUCUGUUGUGGCCAGAGGAGUAUCAGUUCCAUUGCAUUCUUUCAAUUCAAACUUGGCAAGUAGAUCUUUUAUGUACUUUGACUGGGAUAGUACUAAGGUAUCAUCAUUUCUAAUCACUUCUAUGCCAAGAAAGAAAUUAAGAUUCCCCAAAUCUUUAAGAGCAAAGGUGCUGCUAAGGUUACUGAUAAGCUGUUCUAUUUCAGCAUUAUUGUUUCCAGUCACUAUUAUAUCAUCAACAUAAAUCAACAGCAUAAUCACAUCAUUCCCAUUUCUUUUAAAAAAUAAAGAUGUGUCUGAUCUUGUUCUAGUAAAUUUCCAAGACUCCAGAACUGACCUGAGUUUAUCAAACCAUGCUCUUGGUGCCUGCUUCAAUCCAUAGAGUGCCUUUGUUAGCUUACACACAUGAUCUGGAUGCUCUGAAUUUUCAAAACCUUCUGGCUGAGGCAUGUAAACAGUUUCACUUAGUUCCCCAUUGAGAAAAGCAUUGUUGAUAUCUACUUGUCUCAGCUUCCAGUUGUUUAUGACAGCAAGACUUAAUAUAAUCCUUAUGGUUGCUGCCUUGACAACAGGACUGAAAGUUUCUUGAUAAUCAACCCCUUCUGUUUGUAAAAACCCCUUUGCCACCAAACGAGCUUUGUAUUUGUUGAUAGAUCCAUCUAAAUUCUGUUUCACUCGAUAGAUCCAUUUGUUCCCAACCAACUUCAUAUUUUGUUGAGGAGGAACUAAACACCAUGUCUGAUUUCUCAUUAAAGCACUGAACUCUUCCUGCAUUGCUUGUUUCCACUGAUGAUUAUUCAAAGCUUCAGCUACACUUGAAGGUGUGUCAAGAGACAGGGACUUUUCAGUGUUGUACAGUUUUGGUUUGAAUAUGCCAUUUUUGGCUCUAGUUGUCAUAGGAUGUGAAGGUCCAGGUUGAUAUGUAGGCUGAGGUGUUUCUGGAAUGUGAGUGUUUGGUUCAGAAUUAUUUGAGAAAGAAAUUUGUGGGGACUCAGGUGUGCUGAUUUCAUUGUCAUGCAUUGAAUUUAUUUGAUCAAUGUUGUUGUCAGGAUUUUGUUCAUUAGAGGGAUCAUCUAAGUUAGUUGUGUCUUCUAAUGAACUUAUACUUGCUGCUGUUCCCUCAUAAUUUUGGGUUUCUGAAGGAAAUGAUAUUGAGAUAAACUUGCUAAAUGUGUUUGCAGGUUCUGGUGUAUGAGUGGACUUUGAGACUAUGAAACUUGGAUCAUUUUGGAAGGGGAAAGAAUUCUCAUUAAAGUUGACAUGUGCAGCAAUAUAAAUUCUGCCAUUUGGAUUUAGACACAGAUAACCCUUGUGCAAGUUACUGAAACCUAAAUAAACACAUUUUGAGGUAUGAAAAUCAAACUUAUGACUAUUAUAUGGUCUUAGGAAAGGGUAACAUUCACAACCAAAGGUCUUGAUUUGAGAAUAACUUGGUUUCUUAGAAUAAAGGGCCUCAAAAGGUGUUUUGUGGUUCAAUGUGGGUGUACUGAUUCGGUUGACAAGAUAAGUAGCAUUAUAGAAUGCUUCCCACCAAAACUUAAGAGGUAUAUUAGCUUGAGCAAGGAGUGUCAAUCCAGUUUCAACAAGGUGUCUGUGUUUCCUCUCAGCCUUUCCAUUUUGGUGAUGUGUAUAAGGGCAGGAAUAUCUUAUAGCUAUUCCUUCAUUUCUGAGAUAAGGUUCAAAGGCUCUGUAUUCCCCUCCCAUGUCACACUGAAGUGUUUUAAUUUUCAGCUCUAGGCUUUUUUUAAUUUGAUUUUUAAAGAUAAUGAAAGCUGACAGUGCUUGAGAUUUACUAGCUAAUCCAUAAAUCCAGGUGUAGUUUGUUUUGUCAUCAAUGAAAGCAAUGUAAUAUUUGAACCCUUGGUUUGAAAUGGUUGGUGCUGGACCCCAAAGAUCACUAUGAAUAAUCUCAAGAGCAGUAGAUGAUUUUGAUUCACUACUUUUGAAAGACAAUCUGUGCAUCUUCCCAUAUUGACAGGCUUUGCAAAAUGACAACUCAGACAUUUUAUUACCAAACGAAAUAUUACAAGCUGACAAUGUUUUCUUAAGAUCAGAAACAUUUGGAUGACCUAAUCUUAUGUGCCAAAGAUCAAGAGUUUUGUUGAUUCUUUGGUCUUUACAGCUUGUACAAAAUUCUUUAGAAACAACAGACAUCAUAGACUCAGGUUUAUUUAUUUUACAAACUGAAAGUAGACUAGAAUGUGAAACUGAAGAUAACAAAACGGACUUGAUUUGAGAGUGGUUUAGAGGCAAGUUCAGCAGCUUGUACAGUCCAUCUUUAGCCACACCUUUCAUGAGAACAAUCCCCCUUCUCUUGUCCUUAACAACACAAUAUGUUUUAUCAAAUUCAAUGCAUACAUUGUUAUCUUUCAAGAGUUUGGAUAUGCUAAUUAGAUUUUUGGUUAUUUGUGGUACAAAGAGAAUCUGAUUUAGUUUAAUGUAUUUCUGGAUAUCAGGUUCAAGUGUGCCAAGCAAUGAAUAACCAACAGAAACAAUUUCAAGUUUUGAACCAUUACCUACUGCAAGCUAGUGAUUUCCUUUGUACUCAGAAUUUAUGCUUAAGUUGUUGAGAUCAUUAGUGACAUGAUCUGUUGCCCCGCUGUCAAGAUACCAGCCACCACUUUUUGUUUCUGCACCUUCAGCUACAUAAGCACUUCUUUUGUUCCCUGGAAAAUUAGGCACAUAGUUUUUCUUGAACCUAUACCAGCAGUUUACAGCAGUGUGAUUCUUCCUGAAGCAGAUCUGACAUGGUCCUUUAGGUGUUUCUUCAUCAAUGUGAGCUUUUCCUUUCAUUUUCUCCUGUGCUGGAUUAAAAUUGCCUCCACCAGAAUUACCUCCAUAUUGCCUUCCAUUCUGAUUGGUAACAUUUCCAGUGUUAUUGAAAUUUGGUUGCCAAUUUCUCCUCUGGUUUCCCCUGUAGUAAGCAAUGUUUGCCUGAAAAUCCAUUCCACUAACAGAAUUCUGAUGUUCGAUCCUGUUUUCUUGGCUCAACAGCAUGCCAUAAACCUCUGAUGGAGUUAUGCUUUCUGAUCUAGCAUUUAUUGUAGCAACAAUCGGAUCAUACUCAGGUCCAAGCCCAGCAAGUAAACACAACACAAAAUCAUCAUUACUCAUAUGAUUUCCGGCAGCUCUCAGUGAAUCCAGAUUCACCUUCAUCUUAAUAUAAUAUUCAUGAAUGCUCAUCGAUCCCUUUCUAGUUGUCUGGAUCUGAGUUCUUAAGUGAAGAACUCUUGAUCGAGACCUAGCACCAAACUGUUCAGAAAGUGUUUGCCAUACCUCUAGAGAUGAGCUUGCUCCAAUGACAGCACUUAACACUUCUUCACUCAGAGUUGAAAGCAGCCAGCUCAUGAGUUGUUGAUCAACUUUUCUCCAGAUCUGAAACUGCGGAUUUACCACAGUGAUCACAGUUUGAUCGCUAUCGACAUUAACAAUCAUUCUACUUGGAGGAUUCUUAGUAUUAUCAAUCAGAUCUUCAAGCUCGUUUGCAUUGAUCGUAGCAAUAACUUGAGAUCGCCAUAGCAGGUAAUUGUUGUUUGUAAGCUUGAUCGGAGUAUUGAAAAUCAGAGAGUUAACUGAUGUGUUGUUGAUUGAGUUUGUGAUUGGAUUUGCAGUUGAGCUUGAAGCUCGAGUGCUUGUAGCUUGAAAUUCAUUGUUUGCCAUUUUUAACCACAAGCUCUGAUACCAAGUUGGAAUUUGAAGAUCGAAUGAAGAAGAAAAAGAGAAAUUGUCUUCCAAUUAUUAAUGCAAAAUCAAAUUACAGAAAUGAGCUCAGCUUAGUAUUUAUAGUGGAAUCUAAUACUUGCUGAGUACUCUAAUUACAGCUAAGCAAUGUAACUAAUGAGUAACUAACUCUGAUCUAACUACAUUCAAUACAACUCAUAAGUACUGAUUUGUUAACUAAUUGCUGCAUAAUCCAACUGCAUGGGAAUCUCUUCAUAACAGUUUUGCCAUCUGGAGCUUCCCAACUUCUCACGUGUGCCUUUCUCUUUCAUUUCCAGACUAGCUACUAGAUUUACAGCUGGCUUGAUUCCAGCUGGCACUCCAACGUGUGUUGCAUUUGAUUCAGCUUCAUCAGCUAAUUCAACAAUAGACCUCUCUCCCACGAUAAAAGUAUACAAAGAUGGCAAAGUAGAAAGGCUCAAAGGAAACGACAUCGUUCCUGCAUCGUUUGAUCCCAAAACACCUUAGUCUCUGAAGCUAACGUCAUCGCAGUCUCGGUUGAUUAUCGGAGAGCGCCGGAGAAUCCUGUCCCUUGCGCUCAUGAUGAUUCAUGGACUGCACUCAAGUGGGUAUCUUCCCAUGUUAACGGAGAAGGCCCUGAAGAUUGGCUCAACUGUUUCGCUGAUUUCCAGCGAGUGUUUUGUUCUGGUGACAGUGCUGGCGCUAACAUAGCUCAUCACAUGGGCAUGAGACAUGGUCGAGAAAUUCUCGAUGGUGUUAAUGUUAUUGGCAUUGUUUUAAUUCAUCCGUAUUUUCUGGGCAGAGAAGCUGUUGGUAAUGAAACAGCUGACGCUAAGAAAAGUGACUGGGUCGCGGGAUUAUGGAGAUUGACUUGUCCAAGUAGCACAAGUGGGUGUGAUGAUCCGUGGAUUAAUCCUGUCGUUGCGGGUUCGGACCUAGCGAGCCUGGGAUGCGCCAGGAUGCUGGUAUUUGUUGCGGAGAAUGAUUUUCUGAGAUCUAGAGGAUGGUUUUAUUAUGACAAGUUGAAGGAGAGGGGGUGGAGGGGCAAUGUGGAGAUUGUUGAGUCCAAAGGAGAGCAACAUGUGUUCCAUUUGAUAAAUCCCACAUGUGAAAAUGCCGUGGCCAUGCUUGAGAGAAUUGCUUCUUUCUUGAAUCAUCAGGAGAAGGCCUGAAUUCACAUGCCUCUAACUAUAUUUAUAAUUUUCGAUUUCCUUUUUUUCUCCAUUUUUUUUUUCUGUCAGCUGCUAUUUUUACCGGAAUAGCAACUUCAACCGUGCAAAGGAAAUUUAUUUACCAACUUCAACUCUAACUAUAUUUAUAAAUAUAUAUAUAUAUAUAUAUAUAUUUACCAACUUCAACCGUGCAAAGGAAAUUUAUUAAUUAAAAAAAGCAUGGCAAUUCUCAGAAAAUCAAUUGAACACAGAAAUUAAUAUUGGGUUGGACUAUUGUCAUCCCUCGAAUGUCCUCGUAAAACCACUUUUAAGAAUAAUCUCUAUUUAAUUCCACAAAAAACCUUCCAAUUAUUUUUCUCAAGAAAAUUUCAGUGAACCUCAUCUCUCUCUCUCUACGAAACUCUUCUAAACUCAAUGACAUUUUUCUUUCAUUUUAAAUUUAUAAUGAUUGCUCUUAUUCAACACCGCAAGUCCAGAGCUUGAACUUAUCAAAUUCAGUUUUUGAGGGAUUUCUUUUCACACCACUAAAUCCAUAUUUUUAUUCUUUUAACAAAAUGAGACCUUUUUUUCUUUUUCUUUUUUAUCACAAACAAUUGUAUACUUUUAGAGUUAUUUUGUUUUACAUUAGUCUUUGUCUUUUAUUUAAAAUUAUUCUUUUGAAGAAUUUGUUUGAUGAUAGACAAUGAAUAGUUUGUAACUGAAAUUCUAUAUAUAGGUCAUAAACAACAAACAUGAUUGCUGACAAUAUUCUUGAAGAAGAUGGGUGCAUUUAAUUAAAUUUUAUAUAAAAUAAUUCAAAUUAAGGGUUUGCUCAGAUUUUUAAAGGGGUGCCAAUAGCUCCAUUGCUUAAUUUUAUAAAAGGGUGUCUGUACUAGAAAGGAUAUUGUUUGGGGAAGAAAUUGAAAAUCAAUAAUGUAGCACUAUGUGUUGAUGAAAAAUUUUAUGAUUAAAAAUAAUCACAGAGGGUACCUAACUUACACUGGGUACAUUUGAUAAUUGAGUUGGUACGUGGAGUAUUUCAUAUUAGAAGUAAGAUGGUAAAGAAAAGUCUCUAAAAUAUCAACCAUGAGAAAGAGAAUAUUUGAUCAAUCUAUUUAUGCCCUUGAUUGAUUUAUUCUCUUUGUUUUGUUGUGUUUCUUGUUCUGGCAAAAUCUAUCGCAGCUGUUGCUUUUAUUAUUUUAUAAUUUUUUUUUGGGUGGUUUUGUGUAGUCUUAUGAACAUUCUUUUUGGCAUAAAUGGAUCUCGGUUACUACGUUUGAUUGUUAAUUAGACUUGAUCCGUAAUUCUAUGCGUUUUUUUUUUGCGAAAUUAAGUUAAUUUAGUUUAAUAUUAUUAGAUUAUUGUCACCUAAAAUUAGUAUAUUUAAUCAGUUAAGGAAAUUCUUUUGACACGGCCUUUACGAAACCUUGUAUGUGAUACUUUGCUUAGAAAAGUAUUUGGGUUUUUUUUUCGUAUUUAUAUUUAAAAUUACUAGAAAGAAGUUAUUUGAAGUGUGAUACUUUGUGAAAUGUUAAAGCUUAUGGUUUGGUUGUAAUUAUGUUUUUGCUUAUAUAUGUUUACGACUGUUGGCAUUCUUUUUUUUUUUUUUUGGUAUUUGAAGUUUGCAUAUAUGGUGUGUAUUAAGAUUUUCAAGUUGUUCUUCAAACAUAUUCUGGGUAGUUUGAUAUAUCACAUGUUUCUGUGAAUUCUUUAGAUGAGGCAAUUGUUUUUUAUCUUAGCUGCAUUGUUAAGUUCUUUACGAUAUAGAAUUCCCUAAUUUCCUUCUGCUAAUCCAGUAAUUGCAGCUUCAUUCUAAGGUUCUUUAUUUUCUAUAAAGCAUAUAUUGCUUCAUUAACCCUCCUCUAAAAUCAAGCCAAACGUGACUUGUAUUUGAUUUUUAUUCUAGAAAAAUAGAAUCCAUCCUUUUCUUUUUCUCUUUAUGUUGCUAAUAUGUAUUUUAUUCAUUCCAAUCUUACAGAUCAUUGGUGGAUGUCGAAUCAGCAUACAAUACUUACAAUUGUGAGAGGAAGAUGAACAACUAAUUGCCUGGUUCAGUUACCCUUGAAGCUAGGAAGAUUGACAUAGAAACAUUUGUUUAAGUGAAUAAUUGUACCUUUUUUUUUGGUUAAUUUGGCAUUUCUACACGAACUACUCUUAUUGUUAUAAUGGUUAUUGACACACUCAACCUUUGAAUUUAUAGAUAAAAAAACCUUCAAAAUAUUUCCACGUUCAAUCAUUGAGCAUUAGAGUAAUAUCAUCCAACCAACUAAUACACAAAACACAACUAAAAUUAUACAACAAAAGAAUAAAUCAAUGAUCAGUCUGUUAAGUCUGCUUCAAACUUCUCUGUCAUUAUCAUUUUGUUGAAGUAGCAAUUGUUGAAAACUCCCUUGUUGAGAACCUUUAUAUGAUAUCCAAGAUGAAGAAUAAGGCAACAUAGAUGGGUGCGAUGGGAGUGUUGGAGAUUGCUAGUUUGCACAAAAUAAGAACCAUAUUACAUUCCAGAAAAUACUAAAUUAAUUAGGCAUAAAUAUCGAAAUUGGACUAUAACUUAUAAUGUAAGAAUCAAAAGGAAACAAUGGAUAAAUAUUACAUCCUUGUGAUUGGUAUGCGAACACAGGUUCCUAAAUAAUGACCAUUAUUUAGUGACCACUAAAAUUUAAAAAAUUUAAAAAAUUAAAUACUAUUACAUCAAAGAACAUAAAACUUACUGGAUCCUUAUUGCUUUCUUGAGUUGGGACUACAAUAUCCACCUCAGAAGAUAAUAGUGUUUGUACAUUUGAAUCCUAUAAAUCCAUAAAAAGAUAAAUUAAAAUUAAAAUUAAAUUAAUUGUAGAAUAAUUAACUAAGUAGUUUAAUCUUACCUUAAUUGUUGUCAUCUAAUUCUUCAUUUUUUGGCUUAUAAGAAGAUAAUGGUGUUUAUCAAACAACAUCCCAAACUUUGGCUCAUACUUUUUUGGUUUCACAUCCACAGCAUUACCAGUUUCUUCAUUAUUUUCAUCUAAAUUGUUGUCAUCUAAUUCUUCAAAAUCUUCGACUUCGUAGUUUUUAUCCAAAUCCUUCAUUUCUAUACCAUAAAAAAUAAAUUAUAUUAACCAUAUGUAAUUCAAACAAAAUCUACAUUUCAAAUAACUUAUUUCUAAUAAUUUUAAAAUAUAAAUAAAAUAAAUCAAAACUUUCCUCAACAUGCUAAAUUUAUUUACCUAGGUAGGUGAAAUAGGUCCAAAAUCGUCGAGCACACUGUCAAGUAAGGCUGGUCGGCGACGUGAAAAAAUAUGGAAUAUUCUAAAAAAAGCAAGGUUUGGAACCCAUGCGAUGCGCCUUUCUCCUGGAGCAUGGAAGUAAGCCAACCUAAUAGAGAAAAAAAAUCAAAGGGUUAUUAAGUUUUACAUAAUAAGUAGGAAAUAAGUACCUUUAAUAUAAUGAGGGCAUUUAUGAAGAAAGAUAUUUGAUUUUCUAUUUAGUCAUUUUAUCACUCAUAUAAAGGUUAAGAAAUUUUACUUUUUUUUAUUAACAUAAAAAUAUCUUACAAUAAGAUUUUAGAUAUAAAACAAAGAAGUCAAAAGGGUGAAUGUUCAUUUAAUCCCUACAUUUUGACUUAAGUACUCGUUUAGUCCCUAUAUUUAAAAAAAAAAAAGUCAAAACACCUCUGCAGUUAAAUAUGUUAUAUUUUGACUGUUAUUUUUUUUAAUAAUAAUACCCCUCCAACAAUAUUCUUGGCAUCAAUUAAUUUAUCUAUAACAAAUUAACCAAUAAUUAUUUAUUAAUGAAUGAAUCAAUAAAUAUUAUUGUAAAACAACUAUUAUUUUUUGUACCUUUGCAGCAAUCUUAAUAAUAAUUGUUUAUAAAUAAAUUAAUAUUAGACAACUUAAAGCAGUGUUCUUAAUAUACUUAUAAAAUGUUACGAAUAAUUAUUUUAUAAAAAAUUAAUUUAUCAAAUCAAUCAUAAAGUAAAAUAGUAAUAUAAAAAUUUGUGUAACUAAUAACUUAAAAGUUUGUGUAAAUCUUUAUGUUUUUUUUUCUUUAAAUCCACCAGUGAGGUGGGGGGUGAGGCAUGAACCCCUACCUGUAAUAUAGAUCAGUAAAUGAUAAAAUACAUAUGGAGGGGUACGUAAACCAAAACUUCAAGUUUAAAGAAACAAUACAACAGGAAAGAAAACCAAUACAAUAAGCAAUAGAUAACUAGCAAGGUCUGCCAGAAAAUUGUUUACCAUACUUGUGACCGGUGAGUAAUUUGAAGCCCUUCCUAGAAUACUGCCCAAUAACACUAAAGUCAGGGCUUGGAUAUUUGUCUCCCGGUGUUCUCUGGUGUAGACAAAACCAUCAUCCUCUGGGUACUCAUCUAAAAUGUGAUCUUCAUAACUGGGAAACUUAUAGUUCACAAGGUACCUAAAAUGCUUGUUCUCAUCCCCACUGAUCUCUUCGUCAGAUUGAGUGGGAAUAUCGGUAGAGUGGGUUUUGAAUCCCACAACCCUCAUGCCAAAAUCAUCUGAUAAGAUUGAAAUCCUGUAGAUACCCGAUGAUCUAAAGUCUCAAUGCUAUGCUGGGGAGAUAUACCAUGAUCACUGGGCUCAAACUGUGCUCUAGAAUCUUGAGUCCUAAUAUCCUAGGAAUCAAGGAUCAAUUCUUGAGUGACUGUGGGGCCCAUAUCAUUAGCUUGGUUCUCUAUAGGUGAAAUCAUGGUGAUUGGAGAUGUAAUGUCCACGACCUACGGGGCCAAGUUCGAAUGCUCUGGGUUUGGGCCUGAAGUGUAUCGUGGAGUGUUUGAAGGCGAAACCCUUGUUUCCUUACCCUUUUCAAUAUUAGUUUGUCGAGCUCUAUUAAACUGCUGGGGGUGAAGUCUUGGAUUAGCCAUAUAACAUGUCUCAAAUGCAUGGCUAAGGUGCUUGCAGGAAGCACAGUAUAGUGAAAUUUUCUCGUACUCUACACUUAGCCAAAAACCAGAAUUGCCCACACCGAUCUGAAUCCCCUGUAGAGGAGGUUGAGUGACGUGCUCUACUAGAACUCUAGUUAUAGAGGGUUGAGCUAAUGAGGUAGUAGCUUGGUCAAUUCGUAACGGCUCCCCAAUUGCUGACGCAAUAGAAAAUAAUGCUUCAUUGCAUUGCACAAAAUGGAUAGGCAAAUAAGGAAAUGAUAUCCAUAGAGGAACAAUGGGCAACUCCUCAGAACACCGAAAAAUCUGUAGUCCAUUUAAAAAUUCUCAUGGCACUCCCAUUAACAUACCAAAUCUGCUUAACCCACAGGCGAGUGUAGUCUUUUUCAACAUUCAAUUUAAUUAAAAUGUGACGAUUAUCUAAUAGAGAAAUUUGAGAAUUUCCAUUUAAUUCCAACGAGCUAAAAAAUUUUCUAAUUAGUUUCAUACGAGGGUGAUUGUAAGAAAGUUUACCGACCAAUGUCAACUUGAAUGGAAUAGCCAUCACUUUGACUUCCUCUACGGAAAACUACACGUUUGGUUUAUCCUCAUACAAAGAGACUAUCUUGACGGGGACCAUCGAGGUUGUGGGCCCAUUUAUAAUUUCAGCAAAGGAUUUUUUUAUCGGCAUAUUUAAAUUUCGAUUGGGAGUUGAAGUUAAAACUGAUGCGUAUGUCAGGAUGGAAGUGGGCUGAUUUUGAGGUUGGUUUUGGGCUGGUGUUCGAUGAAUUAUUAGUUUGGGAUUGAUUUUGGACUUGUACACUUAUAUUGGAUGUUUGGGCUUUUUGUGGUUUAAUGGAUUGAUUUGGUUUUGGGCUUGAUAAUUGAAGUUGGAUUUAUGGAUAUUAAUGGGAUGGGCUUCCGAGUGCAUUUGGGCUUGUGGGUUUAAUGUUGAAUGGUUAUGGAGGGUUUCAUGAUUACUGUGGGUAUUGCAAGUACUAGGGGGAGACAAAUUUUGGUGGGAAGAAAAAUAAGCCGAAAGUUGUGCAUUUAUUGGUGGAAUUGAGGGGUUUGAUUUUGAAUGAGUGGGAGACAGAAGCGGGUCCCGUGCACUGUUUGAAUGUUGGCUUUUUGGUGAUGCCAUAGGAAAAGUGUUAUGAGUACAUGUAUUUUGUGAGGCUGCAUGUUGAUUUUUGGCGUGAGUGGAGGCAUGUAAGGUAAUUUUGGAAAUCUUUAAUGCAUGUGAAGGCUUUGAAAUGUUGAGCUCAUAGGGGACAACAUUACUUGAGCAUGGCUGACUUUAUGGACUUUGUGAAAGCGAGUUAUGGGCGUGGCCGCGUGUGUGUGGUCAAAAACUGUGAGGGAUUGUCGAGAAUUUCUGAAUUUUUGCUUAUCGGUUGGGCCGAAGCUGGCUGUCUUGGCUGACUUUUGGUACAUGCCGUUUGUGUACCAAAACGUGUGUAAUCAAGGGGCUGUUCAGAAGCUUCAUCUCGGCCAUUAACGGUGGUUGCAAAGUUAACAGCUGAGAGUUGUUUUUGAGCUUGUACAGGGGCUGUGAUGGCUGGAUCUUGUGAUUCACCAUGUUUAACUUGUUCACGGUUGGAGGUGCAAACUUUGGUAUGCGAUGAGGGGUUUUGGUCACGGCUUUCUUCCACUUCCUCAAGUGGUUGACUUCGGUUUUCACUUUGAUGUGGGAGUGACUGAUUUGUUUAUUCACCACGGCUUUCUUGGUCAUCUUGGCCGCCAUGCUUGCUAUUUUGCACGUUUGUGUAACGUGCAUGUGGGGUCGCACGAAGGGAUGGGGUGUCUUGGUCAUGGUUUUCUGCCAUUUCUUCUUGUUCAUUCACAGUAAUAGAGACCGCCGAAGGUUUCUGAAGUUUUGAUAGGAUAGAGACAGUGGAUGUUGGUGGUGGUUCAGCAUGGGGUUGGUUUACAGGUGUAUAUGGUAGAUGUGUAAGUGGAUUGUUGGCGGUUUGCCGUUGUUUGAGCAAUCUUUUUGAGCGCCUUGGGUUGGGCUGUGGUUGUGAUGGCAGUUUAUACACAUCUACCGUAUAAUAAUCUCAUCAAAAUGAACUUGAUAAUAAUCUAAUUAGUAAGGAUUCUACUGAAAAUAUGACAGAAUCUCCUUUAUAAGUAUAACACUCCUAAUCUGAAAAUAUAGAAAAAACACUUCUAAAAUAAUUCAAUAUACAACAAACUCCAAUAAUCAACAUCCUCAACUAAAAUGUUGAGUUUUACUCAAGAUAUCUCAAUAGUCUCAAAAGAUAAUAUUAUAACUAAUAUUAAUAUCUCAGUUUAUUCUUAAUUCUAAAAGAAUAAUAUAACAAAAUUAUACAAUCCCAAAAUAACGAAAAUUAAUAAAUGUUAUAUUAAAAAAUUCUAAAUAAUUAUAGUAAAUUAGAAAAGCCUUGAAUCAUUCUCUACAAUCCUUUAAUAAACAAUCAAAAGAAAUAACGUUUCUUAUUAUCAAUCUAAGAAUUGCUAUAAUUAUUAAUAAAGAAGAAAAAUUUCGAAGGCGUUACAAUUUUUAUGACCCAUCUCUGACCACCCCCCACCUUGCAAAUUCUUAUUGAUUGUGUGGGGGUGUAUUUGGUGGCGGCGGAUUAUUUCCAUAUGCAGGAACUUUCCUCAGACUUCUCUGAUGGCGUAACCCUUCAGUCGUACUUUUAUGGACUAAACUUUCUGUCAGUGAGAGUUCAAUACAAAGGUUAAGAAAAUUAAAAAUGCAAUAAAAGCAAAAACAAAAAUACAAAAAUAGUAGAAGGAUAUAUAAAAUUAAUGUUCUUCAAUUAAUUGGAUCAAAAAAUUAAUUUCAUGUUCUUAAUUGCACACCUUGGAUAGCUGAGAAAUUCCGAAUUCUUGCUUCUAUUACCAAGGGACAUGAACUGAUUGAUAUAAUAACCAUAUAGGCAACAAGCAAAGUGCAGACUGUAACAUUAUUCCUAUAACACUUUGACAUAUUACUUAUUUGAAAACAGGAAAAAAAAUGAAUGGGGAUUAUUCAAUUCUAUCAAUCCUUUUAUACAAUCACUGGGAAGGAAAGACUUCCAAAAUUCAAGCUUUGAAUUGUAUAAGUCAAAAUUAUUAAUUGCUAGUAAAUUCUCUUCAAAAAAAAGAAAAACAAAAUUCCUUCAUUUAAUUUCAAGGCUUUGAACAAGUCCCCAACCAUCUCCAUCAGCACUUGUGAAGUUUUCUCCCCGAUUAUCAAUUGUUUAGUGUUUCCUAAUCCCUAAUUAAUGUUCUACAUUAGCAAGAACCUAGUUUUAACAUUUCUAUCACACAGGUCGACGACUUCUCUGCCUUCAUAAUAUUGAAUUUUUAACCGUUAUAAAUGAUUUAUGAUGUAUACAUGAGUAAGGGCAUUUCAGUCAUUUGAAUAUGCUGAUCCGGUUGGUUUUAACUCUUAACGUAAAAGCUACAGGUCAAUGAAUCGGUUCCCCUUACACACCAACCAUGGAGAUAGAGAUUCUAAUUUGUGUUUUUGCAUUGGGAUACUUUGCUCAAAAGGUUUUGAGCGUGCAGUCUAUUGCAAAAAAAUAACAAAAAUUAUAAUCAGGGCUGCUACUGAAAGUUCAAUCAAUUUUUCAGCCCCUAUCUCUCAAAGAUUCGAACUCAACUAACCAGCCAAAGAAACUAUCAAGCCCCUAAAGGAUAAAUUCUCAACUCCAAUCCAGAAGAAUAAUUCAAAUUGUAUGCUGAUAAUUAAUAUCUCGCACCAUGACCAAUACAUGUACAGAGGAGUGGAAUUAGGGGAGUUCCUGGACACCAAGCUUUAAAAAUGACCUUUAUCUAGGUAAUUUUAUUCUUUACCCCCUCAGUUUCAUUGUUCGAACAUAUUGCCAGCUGCAUUAAUAAAGUUUGGUGUUUCCAUACGCCCCCAUCGAAUGAAAAUUCUGGUUUCACCAUACGCCGUCACCGGAGCACUCAGCAGAUUUGAAAGAGCCAUUACUUACUAGUAUAUAUGCGUUGAUGGAAUGAGAUUUGUUGUUUCCAUACUACUAUUGUUGAAGUCAACAAAUUCUUGGUUGCACCAACAAUCGUAGAGAAGCAAAAUCAAAAUUGAUUUUGUAGCCGAAAAGAAAGAAUUGACAAAGGGGAUGAAUUUGAAAAAUAAUAAUAAUUAAACAUUAUAUUUUUAAUUAUUUUAUUCUUUGCAUAGUAAUUCAUUUAUUUUAUAUAUAGUUAAGGAUUUCAUUCAUUUGAAAUCAUCCUAAAAUUGUCAAGCUCAUAAGUUUCUAAGCUUUUGAGAGAAGUGAGAGAAGUGUGUAUGGGGAAUUUAUCUUUCCUGCAGAGUGUGAGAGUAUUGGGUAUAUUUGGGUUUCUGGGAAGUGAGAUUCGUUACUCAAAUAUUGUACUCUAUUAAUUGUUAAAUAAACAAUUAUUCUUUCUUGCCUCCGUGGAUGUAGGUUUAAUUACCGAACCACAUAAUUCUUGUGUCUUUUAUUUUUCUAUAAUUAUUUGGUGCGCUUGAUUCCGCAUUCCGCGCACAACAACUAUCACUUAAAAAAAAAAAAAGAAUUGCAAAGCAUACAUAUUAAAUGGUAACAUUAAUAAAUGGUUUAUUAAAACAUUUUUAUUGUCAUAAAACUGAAAUAUUGGAUGGUACGACAUAGGUCACUGCGUUUAAAUGGAGCUGGUACUGGGACUUUGAAUGAAUGCAACAUGUAAGUCAAGAACGUGAAAGAACUGUAAUUACUGUAAUCUUAGUCAUGAAGUAUAUGCUUUCAUUUCGACCUUGUCUUCUUGCUUCUUCACAAUCUCAUUUUGGUUCAAAUUGAACAAAUUACAAACAAAUGCAUGUUGCUAGCUAUUAUUAUGCCCCAUCUCUGAACACCCCCCCACCUUGCAAUUUCUACCAUUUUAAUUUAUUGUAUCGUGAAAGAAUAUGUGGGAUCGUACAUGUGUUUUCUUCUUGUCUUGGUGGGUCUCAGCCGAGUGACUUGAUGAGGAUACAUAUGGACAUAUAUACAUAUCAUUCAAAACGCUUUUCAUUCAACUUGAACUUUUUUUUUUUUUUUUUUUGUUUAGAGUUUCUCUUUCAGAUUACUGAAGGAGACAGACAUAGGAGAAAGAAACAGAAGGAAAAACAAGCUGCAGAGAAGUUUGGGAUUAAUGCGAGAAAAUUCCUAGAAGUUAGUGGUGUGAAUUUGUUAUAUAUUCCAAAAUGCAAGUGGAUUGAAUGGAACUUGCAUGUGUAAAUUUAAGUCAAUAGCGUGGAAAAGCUAAAAUCUUAUGGCUUAUUAAUAAGUAAUUCCUAUUAAAGGAAAAUUGUCUAGUGAAUGAAAGGACCAUAAUGAUCAUUUUUAAAAAUUCUUUAAUAUACUAUGUCAUUUAUCUCAUCAAUCCCAUUUUCUAAUUAAUUUAUUUAUUUAUGGAAUUAACUUUUUUAUAAAUUUAAAAAAUAAUUAAGAAUAAAUGUAUUUUUGCCAUGUCUCAUCUGCUCUCUCAGUAUCAUAAUUGGAUUUAGUCUAUCACUACUACCAGUAUGUAUCUUACACAGAGGAUGAUAAAGAAUCACAUUAAAAUUUUCGUCUUCUAGAUAUUAUGAAGGACUAAAAAACAUGAGAACCUCAAAAAAUGUAAAGACUGGUGGAAUAAUGCAGGAUAAAGGACAGCCCCACUAAGAACAUCCAAAUUGCUUUUAAAUAUCCACUAAAACAUGUUUUUUUUUUUUUUUAAACUGGAAACUUCAUUAAAAGGCAAAGAUUACAGAGAAGUAAAUAACCAAGGAGGUGGAACAUGACUCCACUCCUCAAAGCCUGACAAGGAACCCCUCACCCGAGCGGUAACAUGGGCGGCAGUGUUCGCAGACCUUCGAACAAAAGUGAACUCAAUAUCUCCUAUAGACUUAGCUAAAGCUAGACAAUCAUCAAGAAUAAGACCAUACCCAUUCGGACAAGAAUAGCUUGCUGUGGGAGCUUUAAAAACCUGAAUGCAGUCCAUUUCUACUACAACACAAGACAAAAUGCGCUUCUUAAUCCAGCUGAGGAUCUCACACACACCAAGCGCUUCAGCAUCCCUUGCACCAAAACUACCCAAGACAGAUACACAGCAAGCUGCCACAAAAAGGCCAUCAGAGUUGCGAAUGACCCCUCCAUAACUUACUUUUCCCUGAGCUGAAAAUGUUGCGGCAUCAACAUUACACUUAAGCCAACCUAACUGAGGAGGUGUCCAGCAAAUUGCCCCAUGACAGCCUUGGAAACAAGUAGCAUUAUUGACAUCAGAUUUCUGCCUCGCAGUUUGCCAUUGAAACAAAUAAUUUCCAGCAGAGUUGAGGACAUGACGAACACUACAGACUUUGUUAUUCCAAACUUUCUCAUUCCUCCGGUACUAGAUCCUCCAGCAUAUCAUGGCAACAAGGUUACACAUCUCUUUAUGACAGCAAGAAAAAACAAGCUCCAACCAAUUAAGAAAAGAAGGUUGAGGUCCAAUUAAACCAAGAGAAGAAGUCAGCCAACAAGUCUGAGCAAAAACACAGUUCACCAAAGCAUGCACAAUAGUUUCUUUUUGCUGAUUGCAAAGGGAACAUAUGGGCAUUACCUCGACUCUCUUCCAAAUAAGAUUAUCAGUGGUGGGAAGCACAUUCUGUGCAGCUCGCCAAAGAAAAACCUUCACCUUACUAGGCACCUCCAAGCUCCAAAUUUUCCUCCAAAUACCAGAAGAUGGGGCGUUGACAUAGUUGUUAAGCAAUCUAUAACAACUCCGAACAGUAUACAACCCAUGGGGGUCAGCCAUCCAGUAUCAAACAUCCUUGUCUCUUCGAGAACUCAGCGGGAUUUGCAAAAUGAGGUUUCGGUCUCGAGUAUCAAAGAGAUCUGCCACUACCUCAUAGUCCCAUCUACGCUGCCCAGGGACCAUCAAACUGUUGACUGGAGCUGAAGCUAAACUUUCAUUUAAGCUGGUGGAAAUAAACCCAUUAUCUACAUCAGGAAGCCAAGGAUCCGACCCGAUGAGAGUGUUCUGACCACUGCCAACCUGGAUCCUACUACUGCGAACAAUAAUAUGCUUGGCUGCCAACAGAGAUCUCCACAUGAAACUUGGAUUAUGACCUAAGACAGCCUCUACAAUAGAUGUGCGAGGGAAAUACCGAGCUUUGAAAAUUUGGCCAAUAAGAGAUUUUGGAUUCGUUAACAGCUUCCAAACUUGUUUCCCAACAUUGCCACAUUGAAAUUGUGAAGGUUUUUUAAGCCAAUUCCUCCAGUGGUCUUUGGUUUACACAACAAAUUCCAUUUCAUCCAGCGAAUACCACCUCGCCCCUCACGUCUGCUUCCCCACCAGAAAGAGUUCAUCAUGGUUUCUAAAUCUUUGCAAAGGUCUAGAGGCAAAAGAUAAACCUGCAUAGCAUAAUUGGGAAUAGCUUGAGCCACUGUUUUUAACAGAAUUUCCUUUCCAGCUCCCGACAAAAAAUUCAUACUCCAGCUGUGAAGCUUUUGCCACACCCUAUCUCGAAUAUAACUGAAGACUUCCUUUUUAUUCCUGCCAACAAAAGAGGGUAAGCCAAGAUAAGUGCCAUGGUUAGCAGUAGCGUUAACCGCUAAAAUAUGACAAAGCUGCUCCUUAACGUCUUCUUUAACAUUUGAACUAAAGGAAAUUGAGGAUUUGCUAAGGUUCACCAUCUGGCCUGACCCCUGACCAUACACCCCAAGAAUGCGCUUAAUCACAUGAGCUUCACUGUUGGUAGCCUUGAAGAACAAAAAGCAGUCAUCCGCAAAAAAUAAAUGAGAAACAACAGGAGCCCCUCUAGCUACCUUAACCCCAUGGAGCAAACCAGCACGCUCAUUCUUGCGGAUUAAAGCACUUAAACCUUCCGCACAAAGGAUGAAUAAGUACGGCGACAAAGGGUCCCCUUGACGAAGCCCUCUACUAGGAACAAUAGGACCAAUCUCCUUCCCAUCCCGAAUAACAUGAUAUCGAACCGUAGAAACACAUAGCAUAAUCAAGGUCACCCAUUUACCAUCAAAACCCAGCCUAAGCAACAUAGCUUCCAAGAAAUCCCAUUCAAUACGGUUAUAAGCUUUCGACAUGUCGAUUUUAAGAGCAGUUGCCCCAACCUUUCCUUGACGUUUCCUUUUUAAAAAAUGCAUGAUUUCAGAGGAUAUAAGGAUAUUAUCAGUGAUGGCUCGACCCGGUAUAAAAGCACUCUGAGAUUCAGACACUACAGAGCCCAGAACAAUUUUCAUACGAUUUGAGAGCAUUUUAGCGACAAUUUUAUAUAGGACAUUGCAUAACGCAAUAGGCCUCAUGUCCGAAAGAGACUCUGGUUUUGAUUUCUUAGGGAUCAGCACAAUAACAUGUUCAUUGUCAUAAAAGUGAAAUAUUGGGUUGUACUUCAUAGGUCAUUGCGUUUAAAUGGAGCUGGUACCGGGACUUUGAAUGGAUGCAACAUGUAAGUCAAGAAUGUGAAAGAACUGUAACCUUAGUUAGAAGUAUAUGCUUUCAUCUCCACAUUGUUUUCUUGCUUCUUCACGAUCUCCCUUUGGUUCAUUAAACAAAUGACAAAUAAAUGCUUGUUAAUGGCUAUUAUGCCCCAUCUCUGACCACCCCUCACCUUGCAGUUUCAACCACUUUACUUUAUUGUAUCAUUAAAGUAUAUGUGGUACAUGUGUUUUCUUCUUGGUGGGUGAAAAUCGUGCGACUUCGGGAUAUGGACAUAUACACAUAUCAUUCAAAACGCUUUUCAUGCAACUUGAAUUUGGUUUAUUUUUGCUUAGAAUUUCUCUUUCAAUUUACUGAGGAGACAGACAUAGGGAAAAGAAAAAAGAAAAAUAAGCUGCGGAAAAAACGAUGACUUUGGAAUUAAUGCCAGAAAUUUCCUGGAAGUUGCGGCGUCAAUGCGUUAUUUCAAAGUGCAGGUUGAUUGAAUGCAACAUACAUAAUUGCAUAUGUAAAUGUAAGUCAGUGACGUGGAAAAGCUAAAAUCUUAUUAACGAACAUCACUGUUAAAGGAAAUUUGUAAAUUGUUGAGUGUCCUCACACGCACCAUUUUUUAAAAUUCUCUAAUAUACUGGGUAAUUUAUUUUAUCGGCCUCACUUUUCAAUUAAUUCAUUUAUUUUCAAAAGUUAUCAUUUCUGUAAAUUUAAAAAAUAAUUAACGAUAAAUGUAUUUUUACCCUCUCUCAUCUGCGCUCUUAGUAUCAUAAUUAAACGGUUAAACCUAGUCUAUCACCACCACCGAUUAAUAUAUAUUUUACACUGAGGAUGAUAAAGACAUAUAUGUAUCCUCAAAUGAUCACAAUAAAAAUUUGCACUUCUAGAGAUUAUAAAGGUCUACAAAACAUGCGAACCUCCAAAGAUGUAAAGAAUGGUGGAAUAAUGCAGGAUAAAGGGCAGCUCCAUGAAGAAAUUCCAAACUGCCCAGCGUCUGAAAUACAAUACCAGAUAAACAAUUUUUCCAGACAUGAAAAGAAAAUUUAGCCAGAAAACAAGCUUCCAAAGUAAGAGACAAUUUUCCAUCUUUAGAAAGUUGCCUAACAAUAAAAUUCAUUAAAGGUUCUAUUGACAAAACUAUGAAUAUGUUUAGGAGUGAGGUGUUGUAGUUUUUAAGCUGCAGCUGUUGUGGAGUAAAAUGUAUAGUUGUGGAAUAGAAGUUGAGAAAAAAAAAUUGUUAAACUACCAAAACACAACUACAAAUGUUACCAAACACCUUAUGAGCUUUGACAGCUCAACUACCUCAUCAUACUUUCAAACGGACUAUAUGUCCUUAAUUUCAGUUGCAUCUGGGCAUGCAUUAGCAAAAGAAAUGGGAAAGUUGGAAUAGACCUUUAAUCAUUGACAACCAGGGCAAGAGAAAGAUUGCAAAGACAAAAGAAACAAAUAAAAAUAACAUUUAUUUUAAUUUGUUAUUAAGGGUAAUUUUGAAAAUAAAUGGAUAAAUUAAAAAGUGGGAAUUAAUGAAAUAGAUUGAAGAGACCAAAUAUCACCUCUCAUGAUUUUAUCUUUGCAGGCCCAAGGUAAGCUUUUGGACCUUGUUUAAAGAAAAUCUUGGGAAAUAAUUAAUGAAUGGUAAUAUUUAACUCCAUUUUAUCUCACUAAAUCCGAUCUUAAUAAAACCUUUAAAAAGGAGGGUCCGCCUAUGUUGCCACUGUUAUACUGUACAACAAUUUUUGUCAUUUUUCAAUCUAACCAUUAGAUGGUUCAGAGUUCAAUCUAACGGCUUAUAUAAAUUAAUGGCGAUUUGAAGGUGCAACUUACAACUUUGGGAGCCCUUUUUUUAUUUUUUAUUCAGCGAUGAAAAUUGCAUAAAGAAAGGGCGUUCUGUUAGCUCCAAAUAUCCAGUUAGGGUUUGAAUUCAAGGUCGCAUGGAAUCGCAUCCAUUCGAGAUCCGUAUUGGCGCUGAAAUCAAUUCUCUGAAUCCGCGAGUGGACUAAAUUAGGAAGGAAGCCGCUGUUGAUCAAGCGGUGGCGGUGACGGCCAUAAACUGAACCUUGAAAAUCCGAAUCGGGUUAGAAUCUCUGCUGAUCUCUGAAAUAAUGUGCACGGGUCUUAUUAUUAAACCACCUAUCGGACUGUAAUGGAGUUCGAUUCUCUCAAAAUUGACCAAACCAAUAUGGAGACUAUUCGAAAAGAAAGUUAAGGAAAAAAACAAAUUGACUCGCCAAAUAAUUACGGCGGGCAAAAAGUGUUUUGAUAAUCAAUUCAAGAUUCAGAAGUUAAGAGUAAUUUUUUUAACUUGCAAUGAACAGUUGAAUGGUUCCGAAAGGGAAAGAGCUUUUUCGAGUUUGAGUGUUGUGGAAUUGAUGCUUACGAGGUUGCAUUGUUUAGCUUUGAGGUUGAUGGAAGAGCGCAUUGUUUAUCCGGUGAAGUAUAACAACGAAGGGAAGCCCACGGCUGCAGAAUUCGAGUAUCCCAAAAUUUAUCAUAAUGGUAAUUUUUUUUGUGCCCAUGUGUUUAAUUUUGCGACUGAGAAAAUGAAAGUCGGGGAAUGCAGAUUAUGUGUAAAUUAAAAGAUCAAAAUGGGGCACGUAUAGACGCGAUGGCUGUGGAGGAUUAUAAGUUUUUGAAUUUGUCACAUGUCCCUACGGUAAGUGCCACAACUAGUGUGCUCAUUUGCAGAGGUUUUACUUUCAGAAGUAGACUAAGAAUGCUAAGAAAGAUGGUAGUAAUAUGAAGCUUAAGAAUCCGAAAUACUUGUCGAUAUUUAAUCAUUUGAGGUUUUGUUUGCCUGAGAUGUAAUGAAAAUUGCAUAGGAUUUUAUUGUUGGAUGAUGAUAUUGAGGUACAAAUGCCCUAACAGGGUUUUAGAAGAUUGAUGUGGAUGGGAAAAUGAAUGGAACAGUAGAGACUUAUUCUGGUUCAUUUCAUAGAUAUUGACAGUACAUGAAUAUCUCGCAUCCUUUAAUUGAGGCAAAGUUUAACCCAAAGACAUGUACAUGGGCUUAUAAGAUGAACUUCUUUGAUUUGGAUGCUUGGACAUGGGAGAAUGUUUAUUGUGUGUACAUUACUAGUAGAAUUUGGUAAGAUUGAUUUUAAUAUUAAUCCAUUUUCAUUGAUUAAGGGACUACCAAAUAGUUUAUAUGCCGAUUAAUGCUUUAAAUACUUGAUAUGAAUUACAAUGAUUAUCUACUUCCUGUGAUUGUACUUGCUAUGUAAUCAUAAACCUUUAGUUGUUUGAGGAGAUCAGCCACGAGUGGUAUAACUGUUAGUUGGUUUCAGAGGUGAUAUCGUUAGACGAAAUUAAACUUAUUUUGCAUGACAGCAAUUUGGGCAUAAGUUUUAUGUGUUUUUUUUUAUAGUUUGGAAUUUAUAUUUGGAUUGUUAUUAAUUAUUAAAGCCAUUUAUGUUACUGAAUGAGGAUAUGACAUUGUGGAAAUUGUUGCAAACAUGACAGAAUUUUGAGUAAUGAACUUCAAGUUUUGAGAUUCAAGUAUUAAAUAUCCCCUCUCAUGUUGAAAUCAUAUUUUGAAUUUUUUCUUUUGGUGAUCUACAUUUGCUUGCUAGAAAUGGGACACGAUAAGGUAUUGCCCUGCAGUGAGGUUCAUUAAAUUGCGCCAAAGGUGUUGCCAAUUUGAAGGUGCAAAUAUUAUUUUGCUUAUUUUUUUCGAAUUAUGUUAGUGGCUGUAGCAGUUUAUACAAGACCAUAGAACGAAUGCAUAAUUUGCUAGAUAAUACAAUAAUAAACUUACCUGCACAUAGUAAUAAUAUUUCAAAAAUAUAUACCAUGUUACAUUAAAUAAUUAAGAUGGAACAAAAUAUAUUUCUAAAGUUCCUUAUGACAAUGAUUUGUUCUUUAAGUUGCAACCACACCUUUCAACUUACGGGUAUGUAUUAAUUGGUCAGCAUAUACAUCUUUUUGUUGAAACCAAAAUAUUUAUAACUUCUUAAGUAUAUUCGUAGCUUCUUGGCAUGAAACUUUUUGUAUUAGUUUUUUGAAACUAUAUAUCUUUUUUACUAAUAUCUAUCCAUUGAAUUUGACUCACUUACUAAUUAAUUUAUUAUGUCUAUACAUUGAAUUUGACUCACUAAUUAAUUUAUUAAUACAUGACACGAUUUACCUCUAUAUCACUUGCAUUAGGGAUAAUUAAGCAAAGAGAAUAAUUUUUGUACUACACCUCUAUUGAAUUAUAACAUCUUUAUAAGAAUAAAUUUCUCCAGUCACACCAAUAUGACUAUAUAGAGAUUUUACUGUAUAUAUAAUCAUUAUGCGGGGGCCCUAAUACAGAUACUUUCUUAAAUCAUAGGGUUUUAUAAGCUUAUUUUUGAAUGAGUUAUAAAACCAUGUGAUUUAAGAGAUUUAAGAUCUUGACUCUAGUAAACUCUAUGGUUUAAAAGUGUGUUCACAUAAAAAAAAAAAUUAGGACGACACCUGAACUAAAGAAUGAGUGUAUAUAUAUAAAGUAAACUACCUCGUUGUAAAUUGACUAUCCUUAAAUUAUUAUUUUAUUUUUUACAAUCUCAAGUUACCCUAUUUUUAUUCAAAAGGUAAGAGAAUAAUUUGAGUUGAUGCUUUUUUUUUUUUUUGGGUCUUCUUAACAAAAUAGAAGGUAAAUUGAGAUUUUUAAAAAUAAUGGGAGAUUUGAAGAUAGUAAAUUUAUGAGGAGAUAAUCUAAAAUUAUCCCUAAAAAGGAAAAAAGUAACAGUUGAUUCUUCGCUUCAUAAACUAGGAGUAUCGUUAAAGACGCCAAUUUGGUUGGGUUCUCUUUACAUUGUUCUAGGCAAGCAUUUGCUUAUUUUUCAAAUUCAUUAUAUACUAUUUGUUCGCAAUGUUUUGUCGACAUUUAACUAUGUUGAGCAAUAGUUUGAAAAUUUACCCUCACAAUUAUUAGGGAGAAAUCUAAGAAAAUUUAUAAAAAUAUCCCAAUAAAUUAUAGAAUUUCAAAAUUAACGCCACAAAAUUAUAUCUAUCAUAAAUAGCCAAACAAUAUCCUUUUGGAUUAAAACGCCCCUACAUUUCACGAUCCCUAUUCUCUUUGUUCUCUACUUUAACAAACCAAAACUUAGGUGGCGUUUGUUUUUUUGUCUGAAAUCUGAAUAGAUCUUAAUAUCUGAAUCUAAAUAAUAUGUUUGUUUUUUUCGUCUGAAUCUCGGAAAAUAAGUAUUAAGUUGUUUUUUUUUUCAACUUAAAAAGCUGAAAAUAUGUACUUUUACAUUUGUAUCCUUAUUAAAUUUGAAUGUCAAAUAAAUAAUAUAUUAAAUACCACAAUAUUUUAACAUUUAUAAGUAAAACUAUAAUUAAGUGAAUACAUAAUUAUUUUAGAAUUUUAAUAUAUAAAAUACCAUAAAUUUCAAAUUUUAUCGUAUAUAAUAUAAGAAAGAAAAAAUAUGGAUAUUUUUAUGUGGGGUAAAUGUCUGUGGGUGAGUUUUGGGAUAAACAUGAAAAAUAAAUUAUAAAGCAGAGAUAUUUUUUACAUUAGCAAGUAAUUGACUUAAUUAAGAUUUCUCCAUUAAGUAAAAGGCCAAAAAAAUUGGCUUAUUUUAUUAAGUCAAAAUUAUAAAAAAAAAGUCUCAUUAAGUUAUAAAAACAAACACCUCUAAUUAACUUAAUUAAUAAAGUUAAGUCACUUUAAGUCAUUAAGUUAAAAAACAAACGCCACCUUAAUUUCACAACAUUAGCAUUGUCGGUGAUGGUGACGAAGUACGGGGAAGGAAUACAUCAUUGGUGAUGGAAUAGAGCACGUCUAUGGCAACGAUGAUGGGAAAACCAAAUCCGAACAAGUCCAAACGAAUCCAAACCCUACUUUAUCAUUAUUCAUUUUUUAGUGAUAUUAAUGAGCUUGAAUGGAAUUGUAGGUGAACUGAACUCAACCUAAACACACUCAGUUUAAUUAUGAAGGCAUCGAUUCACAUUUAUAAUGUCUUGGAUUUGGAGACUCCUCUAAUCCAAAUCUAGAUUGAGUUACUUUUCGUUUUGGAGUGACGUCAAAUGCAUCUCAGUAUCUUACACUCCUUUUUCAUCAAAGCAUAAUCUUAGAAAACCCGCAAAAUUUCCACGAUGAAAAAUCACUAUUGGCUGACCAACAUGACCGCGACACAAAUUAUUCAGGGGCUAUUUAGUAUUGUUUCUGAAUUUGUAUUUUAUGAAAACAAAAAAUGAGAAUGAAGAUAGUGUUUUGCAAUUGCUGUAUUUCGAAUUUUAGUACACAUCUAGUAUCAUUUUUUUGCAUCAUGUAUUUUAAAAUUACAAACAGUAAUAUACUUUUGAUAGACACAAUUGAAAAUGAUAAAAACAAUGAAUAAAUAUUCGGUAGUACCAUUUUUAAAAAUAGUUUUUAUAAAAUAUUUAAGUCAUACUUGUAGUUAGAAAAUAAUUAUUCAACUAAUACAUACACAAACAUACCAUAAAUAAUUUAAACAAAAAUAAUUAUAAAAAAUUACAUGAUGAUAAAAUUUUAAUAUUAGCAUUAAUAAAAAAAGUUUUAUAUUAUCAUUGUUUUACACUAUAAUUAAGAUAGAUAUUAUAACACAGAUGAUUUAAACAAAAUAAUUAUAAAAAUUACAUGAUAGGCAUCAUGCAUUACGUGUGUAAUCAUGCCGCAUAAAAUGCAAUUUUAUCUUUUGUAGCAUUCAUCUCUACAACACUGAAUAGUAGUAAGUGGCCUACUAAUAUCUCCUUCAUUUGUAACCAUAUCUUACACAUCAAAGUCCUCAAACAAUCUAUCACUAGUAUUUUUUCGUUGAAUAAAAUUAUGUAAAACGCAACAUGAAAUUGGAAUUAGACGUUGCUUACGUAAACUAUAAUUAUGCUCACCAAUUAACAUCACGUGGAUCCAUAUCGUGUUACUACAAAAUUUUAAAAAAAAUCACAUAUAUCAAAUAUUAAUUAAAUUAAAGAAACUGCUCCUACACAUACAUAGCUCAAACUUUUAAAAUUAAUCAAAUUCAACAUAGUGUGAAAGCCAUUUCAGUAAUGUAUCAUAGAUUAAAAAUUGAACAUAUCAAAAUCAAAUAUAUUCUACUACAAAUUGACCAGUUCAAAUUAAGACCAAGCUCUUGUCAAAAGUUUUUAUCUUUUAACUCAUUUUUUCACAGCAUAACAAAAAUUUAAGAAAAAUGCAAUCAAGGUAAUGUACACUAAACCAAUCGCAUCUAAAUGAAUACAACAUGAUAUUAUUACAAUCAGUUCACGCUAAUCUCUACAAUUUUUGCAUUAAUAUGCUUUCGGUCCUUGAUAUAUUAAAUGAAAUGACAAUGGAAUUAGACAAGAACAACCAAUACUGUCAAUAACUCACAACACCCACAUGCUUUGCUGUGAAACUCCGCAUCAAAAUGGUAAAUAAUAUGCCUUUGCAUGAUUUUCCAACACAAAAAGACAACUAAUUCCAAAUAAGAACAACAAAAUCAUAUUUACAAAAUAAAUAUUUAAUCGGUCCCUAUUUUAUAGUCCAACUCCUAGAAUAGAAUUGAUGAAAGCUUGGCUAGCAAAACAAUCACUUAAGAGAUGUCAAAAAACCCCGACCUGAAUUUUGGUCUAAUUGAUCUGGCCCGAAUUUUUUGGAUUUUGACCCGAAGUUAAGGGUCAAAAUUCAAGCUUAGACUUAAAAAUAAAAGCCCGAUCAAAAGCCUGAACUCUGACUCAACUUUACUCGAUUACUUAACAAUUAGCCGACCCAACCCGACUCGACCCGAUUAUUUAAUAAUUAAAAAAAGUGUGUUUUAAUUUGAAUUGUGUGACUUUAUUUGAAUUAGUCAUGUUUUUUUUUUGUUUAUGUUUAGUUAUUUAUAUGAUUUUAUGGUUGAGAUAUCGAUUGAAGUAAUUUUUAUAUUUAAUUUGAAUAUAUUAGGGGAGGUAAAUUUAAAAUAUUUAAAUAUUAAAAAAAUAUUAAGGUUGGGUCUCCGAAAGUGAAAAUUCAGGCUUUUUAUCGGGUUCGGAUCCUUUAUUUAUAUUGUCGGGUCGGGCUCGGACUUUAUUAGCCACAAUUUUUAUUUCAUGAUCAUGAUUACAAAACAAAACAAAAUAGUAUGAUAAUAAUUAGUAAAAAUUUACUCAAAUACAAAAAAAAAAAGGUAAUUAUCCACCGUCCACUUGUUUUUUCACACUUUUUUAAAAAUAUACAAUUCUUAAUUUUUGUUACUGAACUCUACUUGAAGUUAUAUUUUUUUGCACAUGUCCACUGUCGUCUUCAAACCAAUAAAACUUUUCUGACGUCAUAAGGGUAUAAUAAUAAUUUCACCUAUACUUCAAAAACUUAAUUUGGACAAUAUUUCGUUAAUUUUCUUAACGGUUUGAAGACGGCAGUGGACAUGUGCACAAAAAUAAAACGUCAAGUGAAGUUCAGAAAAAAAAUAAAAUUUAUGUAUUUUUAAAAAAGUAUAAAAAGAUAGGUGGAUGGUGAAUAAUUACCCUAAAUAAAUACCAAUAACUCACAAUAGCAGAGAUGGAGUCGAGAGAGGAGCAACAACAAACGAGAUAGUCGAGAUGGAGCAGCUUCGGCGGAGAUGGAGGAACAACAGUGGUUGAGAUGAAGUAGCAGCGGCAACAAAGAUGGAGUACGAUAGCUGAUUUGGGCACACCGAGAGAGAAUAAUCACCACUGUUAGUAGAUCGAGAGGGAUAAGGAGCGAGAGUCAGCGCUAUUGGACAAAGAAAUAAGGAUAAAGAGAUAAGGCCGAGACUUUUAGAUUUUAUUUUUUAAUUUAGUUUUGUAAUACGUGGUAAACAUGUUCUCACUUUAAUAGUUAUAAAAUUGAAUCUCAGCUUAUUUGUUUUACAAUUUUUUUUUUUAAUUUCAACCAUCAAACAUGUAUUAACUGAGAUUCAUAAAAGGAAAAUGAAAAUAGAGCACAUAACACGUUGCCGAACAGACCCUUAAAUACUCAUAUUCUUCUAUUAAUUAACGUAAAGCCCACUAUUAUUGUCAAAAGUUUUUUCUUUUAUCCAUUAAAAGUCUGAUGGAAAAGUGUCACGAAACUCACAACUGGACACAUAGCCAAUUACCGAAUGAAUUUCCUUAGCAAAAACGUAAGAUGCUUGGCUUUCAUGUUCUAGCCGCUAUCAUCAUCCCAAUUUUGUAAUUCAAUUCAAUUCGAUUUCUUACAGAUUUUUGCAAUAAAAAAUUUAAGGUGGCAAAGUUUGCUUCAAUGGAUAGUUAAUUGCACUAUUUUAGAAAUUAAAUUGCCAUGAUUUUAAAAUCGACAUUAUGAUUUAUAAACAUUAUAUAUAUUUUUGUUAAAUCUUUUUUAAAUAGAUAGGGAUCCUAAGUCCUACCCCACGAGCUAAAUAUAACAAUUUAAAUAGUAGAUGACAAUAUAAGUGAAGUUCAUAGAUGCUCAUACUUUAAGAAUUGGUUUUUGAGAGUAAUGCAUUAUUUAAAAUUAAGGUUGGACAAUUGUAAAUUAAAAUGUAUAGUAUCAAAUAUUUGACAAAUAUUAACUAUUAUAACUUAAAAAUUAAAAAAAUUUAAUUUUAUACUUGAAUAAUAAAAAUUUAUUAUAUCAUUACUAAUUUUAUUAAAAUUAUUAUUUAAAAAUAUAUUUAUUAUAUAUUAUUAAUUUUUAUUUUAUAAUUACUUUUUUUUCCUUCCAACUAAAAACUUUUUUAAAGAAAAAGCGGGAUGUGAAGUCAUAUGAUGGAUGAUGGACCGUGUGGAUGUCCAUUGGGAACCGUGAUGCUAUUGUACAGCCGGUUUUGCGUGGCUUUGUUUCAUUUUACAAUUUUUCCGAUAAAAGCAAAGAAGUUUUAUGACAAACACGACCAAACUUGGUCCUUUUUCUGUCCCAGAAAGCACGAAAUCACCAACCACAGAAACCAAACUGUCAAAAUAUAUAUUUUUUAAAGCAAUUUUUCAUAAUGUCUUUGUACUGCUAAUCUUUAUUAAUAGAUACAAAUUUAUUUUGUGUAAAUUAUGUGGUAUGAUAAAAUUAAUUGAAUUAAAUAUUAUUUAACUCACGUGAUUUAUUUUUAUUAUUUUAUAUUUUUAUUCAAUCAAUAAAUUUAUGUCAUGUCAGUAUAAGAUAAAUUUAUAUAAGAGUUUAUGGUUAUAUUAUCAUUCUAAUCAUAUUGCAACAAUGGAUUCAAAACAAGAGCAUCUGCACAUGAGUUUCUUCCAUAUUUUCGUGCAUACUGAUGGGCAUGGGGAAGGGUUCUUUGGCACCGAAAAAGUUUCAGCAUCAAUGGAUUCCCCAAAUGUUGUCUUCUCCAAAGAUGUAGUUAUUGUGCCAGAGAAAGGCGUAACAUCAAGAAUCUUCAUCCCUUCAGCCGCCAUUAAAACAAACCAAAAGCUCCCUCUUCUAUUAUCACGGCGGAGGUUUAUUCAUGGGUUCACCAUUUUGUUCCACGUACCACAACUAUAUCGGCUCUCUUUCAGCCAAAGCAAAUGUUAUUGUAGUCUCAAUUGAUUACAGAUUAGCCCCUGAACACUUGGUCGCUGCAGCUUAUGAAGACUCAUGGGCUGCUCUCAAAUGGGUUGCUUCUCAUUUUAAGAUCAGUGCUCAUGGUUAUGAAACUUGGCUAAACACUCGUGCUAAUUUUACUUGUGUUUUUACGCGGUAACAGUGCAGGCGGCAAUAUUGUGCACAGCGUGGCAUUUCAAGCAAGUUUUGAAGACUUGAAUGGGAUAAAAUUGUCAGGAAUUUGCUUGGUUCAGCCAUAUUUUGGGAGAAAUUAUGGAGUUGUUGAUAACUGCUGGGUAAUUUGUAUGUCCAUAUACAAGUGGGUUCAAUGAUGUGAGAAUAAAAUCAGCUGCUGACUCUGGGUUAAGAAGCCUGAGGUGCCCCAGGGUUCUUGUUUGUGUUACUGAGAAGGACAAUUGGAGAGACGGGGUUGUUUUAUUAUGAGACUUUGAAAAAUUAUGGAUGGGCUGGAGAAACUGAGAUUGUGGAGACAGAAGGAGACGAUCACGUGUUUUAUUUGUUCCAUCUAGAUUCUGAAGAGGCUGUGCCCUUGAUGGAUAAAUUAGCUUCAUCAUUAAAUCGAGAUAAUGUAUUCUGAUGUGAUCACCGGAAACUCAGUAAUGUGUGUACUUGAUAAACAGUGAACUCGAAACUCAAGUACUACAAGUCGUUUAGAGGAUUCAGUCUCGGAUGACUUGUCGCUUGUAGAGUUCCUGAAGCCAGAAUCGACAUAAUCUCAGUCGUCAGUUCUACCUUUAGUAGUACACGUGAUUUGCACGUGUGUUGAAGCUAACUUUUUUCUUGGAUCAAGAAACGACAUCUCUUAGUGCCGUUUCUUAAUCACACUUAAAUCAGCGUGUGACAAGCACGUGAGGCAGAGCUUCUCGGAUAGUUUUGGCGGGAAUGGUAGUUAGCGUAACAACCCAGAAACAAAGGAUAAAAUGGUGCAGGCUUGGUCAUCAUCUACACAUGAUUUGGUAAAAACUAAGAGUAGAGAGAAGAUAGAGAGAAAAAAGGGUUUACAAGUUCUUGUUCUCUGUAAAUCAAAUCUUAUUCUUGUAUUGUUUUGUGAACAAAUUAGUGAAAGACUGUUGCUUUGUUUCCAGUGGAUGUAAGCACCACUUCUUGGUGCUGAACCCCUUAUACUUGGUGUCAUAUUGUUUCUUUAAUGCUUUGGUUCUUGCGUGUGAUUGUUGCUCGAUAAUCUGUGCUGUUAAUUCUUAAACCAUUGAUACAGAAUUAGUGUCUUAGGGAGAAUUUGGUUAGUCGUAUCAAAGACAAAUUCACAACAAAUUGGUAUCAGAGCUCUCUUUUCUGUAUCAAGGUUCAAGAAAUGACUAACAAAGUGGAUCUUGAGAAGUUCACGGGUCAGAACGACUUCAAUAUGUGGAGGAUCAAGAUGGAAGCAUUGUUAAUCACACAAGGUCUGGGAGAUGCCGUUGAUCCAGUCAUCAAGAAUGAAAAUGCAGAAGCUUCUUCUUCAAGAACUCCAGAACAGAUGGCUGAGAUUGACAAAAAGGCAAGAAGCACCAUCAUCCUCAGUCUUGGUGACUCAGUGAUAAGGGAAGUUGCCAAGGAAAAGACUAUUGCUGGGCUCUGGGCAAAACUGGAACAAUUGUAUAUGACAAAGUCCUUAGCAAACAGGCUAUACAUCAAGAAAAAUAUGUUCUCACUGAGGAUGAUUGAAGGAGCAUCACUUGAUGAACACAUAGAUGAGUUUAAUAAAGUUUGUGAUGAACUAGAAACAAUUGAUGAAUGACUAAGUGAUGAGAGCAAGGCUUUGCUGUUGAUCAGUUCUUUACCAAAAUCAUAUGAACAUUUUGUGGAUGCCUUGUUAUAUGGAAGGCAAUCACUCUCCUUGGAAGAGGUAAAAUCUGCUCUUGGUACCAAGAAGUUAAAAGACAAACAAGAUAACUCAGAGAGUGAAUCAAGUGAAGGGCUGAUGGCAAGAGGCAGACCUGAAAAAAGAGAGUACAAAGGAAAGAAGCAAGGAAGAUCAAAGUCAAAGCAAAAACACUUAAAGUGUUUUCACUGCCACAAAAAAGGGCAUUUCAAGAGGGAUUGCCCUGAGAGGAAAACAAAGCAAAAGGAAUCAAAAGACAAAUCUGGAAAUGCAGCAAUAGCCACAGAAGAAACCAGUUUUGAGACAGCUGAAGUCCUCAAUGCUACAAAAGAAAAAACUCAAGGUCAGUGGGUAGUAGACUCUGGAUGUACUUUUCAUAUGAGCCCAAAUAGAAAUUGCUUUACAACAUAUCAGUCCUAUGAUGGGGGUAUGGUGCUGAUGGGAAAUAAUUCAGUUUGUAAAGUAGUUGGGAUUGUAAGCCUUAAGAUGUAUGAUGGCAUGGUUAGAGAACUAACUCAGGUUAGGCAUGUUCUUGAGCUUAAAAGGAACCUAAUAUCUAUUGGCAUGCUUGAUCAAACUGGAUGUGUCAUUAAGGUUGAAAAUGGGUCAUUGAAAGUUAUUAGAGGCUCAAUAGUCAUAAUGAAAGGUACCAAGCAAAAUGGUUUGUAUGUGCUGAAUGGACAUACAACUGUUGGAGAGGCAAGUGUUACUGAGAAGAGUGAAGAUAAAGCAAGGCUAUGGCACUUGAGGUUGGGGCACAUGAGUGAGAGAGGACUAAAGGAGCUUCAAAAGAAGGGGGUGUUUGGAAGUGACAAGCUAAGUUCUUUGGGAUUCUGUGAAGACUGUAUUCUAGGAAAGGCUUCCAGGCUCAAGUUUGAAUCUGCAGUUCAUUCUACCAAAGAGAGGCUUGCAUAUAUAGACUCUGAUCUGUGGGGACCUGCACAGGUAGAUUCUCUUGGUGGUUGUAGAUAUUUCUUAUCCUUAAUAGAUGACUAUUCAAGGAUGGUUUGGGUGUAUGUACUCAAAACCAAAGAUGAAGUUUUGGAAAGGUUCAAAAGAUGGAAAAUUCUGGUAGAAACACAAACAAGUUUGAAAGUAAAAGCUUUAAGAACAGAUAAUGGAAUGGAAUUCUGCAAUAAAGAGUUUAGAGACUUUUGUGAAAGACAUGGGAUUAUGAGGCACAAAACAGUCAUACACACACCUCAGCAAAAUGGUCUUGCUGAGAGGAUGAACAGAACCUUAAUGGACAAGGUGAAGUGUAUGCUGCUAUACUCUAAGCUGCCUAAGUCACUCUGGGCAGAGGCCUUAAACACAGCAUGCUACUUGGUAAAUAGAAGCCCAUCUACAGCAAUAGAAUACAAAACACCUAUCGAGCUAUGGUCUGGAAGGGUUGCAGAUUACUCUAAACUAAGAAUCUUUGGCUGUGUUGCUUAUGCACAUGUCAAACAAGGCAAAUUGGAGCCAAGAGCCUUAAAGUGUAGAUUUCUGGGAUACCCUGAUGGAGUUAAAGGCUAUAGGCUAUGGUGCAUUGAUAUGAAGCCACCAAAAUGCAUUAUCAGCAGGGAUGUAACUUUCAAUGAGUCAGAAAUCUUGAUCAAAUCCAAAGCCACUGAAUCCAAAGAGUAUAGAUCAGAAACAAGACCUGGGAGUAUUCAGUUUAAGGUGGAGUCCCAUGAGCAAGAUAGGACUGAAUCAGAAACUGAAGAAGAUGCAGGAAGGGUUGCUGAUGGAUCUGAUGAUGUCCAGGAGUCAGAGCCAGCUGAGAAUGAAAAUGACUCUUAUCAGUUGGUCAGGGAUAGAAAGAGGAGAGCUGUAAGACCACCUAAAAGGUAUGCAACAGCAGAUUUGAUAGCUUAUGAUGGCAAUGGGGAGGGGAGGGGAGGGGACCAAUCUCCCCAUACCCAUCCCCGAUAUUUUGCAUAUGUCCCCGUCCCCUCCCCGUCCCUGUCAAAAUUACUUGAGAGAAUCUCCAUCCCCUCCCCGAAUAAUAACAGGGGAUCCCCGAGGGUCCCCGGUCCCCGAAUAACUAAUAGUCUAAUAUAUUAUUUUUAUUUUUGAUUUUAAAUUAAUCAUAUUAAAAUAAAAAAUUCAGAUAAAAAUAAAGUUCAAAAUAUAUCUUACAUUAAUAUUGAUCCAUUACAAAGUCACAUUCAAAAUAUAAAUUAUUAAAAUAAUCAUAAAACAAUGAAAAUAACAUAAGUAAAGUAACUUAUAAGUGCAAAUAUUAAUAACUGUAUAAUAUAAUCACAAUGUAAAAUAAACUCAUACUGUUAUUGUAAGCUCGUAACCAACUUUGACAGCACAUUAAGGCCUCCAAUGUGCUUGGAUGAAGUUUGUUACCGUGUGGGCUCACAACUCUACCACCGGUGCUAAAAGCUGAUUCAGAAGCAACUGUUGUAAUUGGAAUUGCCAAAAUAUCUCUAGCAAUUCGAGCUAAUGUAGGUUACCUAUUAGCAUUUAAUAAUAUAAAUAUUUUGAUAUUUAUUAUUUUUAACAAUAUUUAUAAUUUUGUUAUUUAUUUAUUAGUAAUUUUAAAAAUAAAAAUAAAAUUAAAAAUUAAAAUGGGAAAAUGGGUAGGGGAUGGGGAUUCCACCUCAUCCCCGUCCCCUCCCCGAAUAAAAAAUUGGGUAUAAAAUUAUCCCCGUACCCUCCCCGAAUGGGGAAAAUCCCCGAGGGUACCCGUCCCCAUGGGGAUUUUUGCCAUCCCUACUUAUGCAUUAACAGCUGCACAAGAGGUAAAUGAGGAAAAGCCAAGAACCUAUAAAGAAGCUAUAAACAGCAGUGAUGAGCUGAAAUGGAAGAAGGCUAUGGAUGAGGAAAUUGAAUCACUGAUGAAAAAUGGAACUUGGAAACUGAUAGUUAGACCAAAGAAAAGGAAGAUUGUUAGCUGCAAAUGGAUCUUCAAAAUUAAGAAAUGAAUAUCUGAUGCUGAACUUAGUAGGUUUAAGGCCAGGCUGGUAGCAAGAGGUUUCACACAAAGAGAGGGGAUUGAUUUCAAUGAAAUCUUCUCUCCAGUUGUGAAGCAUGCCUCCAUCAGAGUCAUCUUAGCUUUAGUUGCCAUUCAAGACAUGUACUUGGAGCAGAUGGAUGUUAAAACAGCCUUUCUGCAUGGUGAAUUACAAGAAGAAAUUGUAAUGGAGCAGCCUGAGGGGUAUGUGGUGUCUGGUAAGGAAGAUCAUGUGUGCUUACUAAAGAAAUCUUUAUAUGGAUUAAAGCAGUCUUCUAGGCAAUGGUACUUGAAGUUUGAUAGUUUUAUGACAAAGCAUGCCUAUAAGAGAUGCAAUUAUGAUUGUUGCGUGUACUUUGAGGACAUUGGUGAUGGAAAAGUGAUUUAUCUUAUUCUGUAUGUGGAUGACAUGCUUAUAGCAUGUCACAGCAUAGAUGAAAUCAGUCAUUUAAAGGACCUCUUGAGCAGUGAAUUCGAUAUGAAAGAUCUUGGAGCUGCAAGGAAGAUCUUAGGUAUGGAAAUUAUCAGAGACAGGAGAAUGAAGCUUAUGUUUCUAACCCAACAGAGCUAUGUUAAAAAGGUGUUAGUUAGAUUUAGGAUGCAUGAAUCUAAGUCUGUUCAAACACCUUUGGCAAAUCAUUUCAAGUUGUCUGCUGCACAGUGUCCACAAACUGAUGCAGAGCAAGAAAAAAUGGCAAAGAUACCUUACUCCAGUGCAGUUAGGAGCCUCAUGUAUGCCAUGGUUCUCACUAGACCGGAUAUCUCACAUGUUGUGAGUAUAGUGAGUAUAUUCAUGGCAAAUCCAAGUUAUGAGCAUUGAAGGCCAGUCCAAUGGAUAAUGAGGUACCUGAAAGGUACUAUGGAGUUUGGUCUGCUAUAUGGAGGGUUAAAACAGGAAGGGCACAAGCUAAUGGGGUAUGUUGAUUCAGACUUCUCUGGAGAUCUUGACAAAAGAAGGUCUCAGACAGGCUUUAUAUUCACUUUGGAAGGCUGCACUGUGAACUGGAAAGCUACUCUGCAAAAUGUGGUAGCUUUGUCCACAACUGAAGCCGAAUAUACAGCAGCUGCAGAAGUUUUUAAGGAAGCUAUCUGGUUAAAGGGAAUGGUCUCAGAGUUGGGAUCAAAACAAGAAACAUUUGAAGUAUAUUGUGAUAGCCAGAGUGCAAUACAUCUGAGUAAAAACCAGACCCAUCAUGAAAGAACAAAACAUAUCGAUGUAAAGCUGCAUUUUGUUAUACUUGAAGUUUCAAAAGGAACUGUGAAGAUGCUCAAGGUUCACACUGAUCAAAAUCCAGCUGAUAUGUUGACUAAAGCUGUGCCAUCUGCCAAGCUCAACCUCUGUUUGAACUUAGCAGGAAUUUACAGUUUCUGAUCAGCUGCAAAGGAAAGGGAAUGAAGUAAACAAGAGUAGCUAGAGUUCUGAGUUCAAGGUGGAGAUUGAUAAACAGUGAACUCGAAACUCAAGUACUACAAGUCGUUUAGAGGAUUCAGUCUCGGAUACUUGUCACUUGUAGAGUUCCUGAAGCCAUAACCGACAUAAUCUCAAUCGUCAGUUCUACCUUUAGUAGUACACAUGAUUUGCACGUGUGUUGAAGCUAACUUUUUUCUUGGAUCAAGAAACGACGUCUCUGAGUGCCAUUUCUUAAUCACACUUAAAUCAGCGUGUGACAAGCACGUGAGGCAGAGCUUCUUGGAUAGUUUUGGCGGGAAUGGUAGUUAGCGUAACAACCCAGAAACAGAGGAUAAAAGGGUGCAGGCUUGGUCAUCAUCUACACAUGAUUUGGUAAACACUGAGAGUAGAGAGAAGAUAGAGAGAAAAAAGGGUUUACAAGUUCUUGUUCUCUGUAAAUCAAAUCCUAUUCUUGUAUUGUUUUGUGAACAAAUUAGUGAAAGACUGUUGCUUUGUUUCCAGUGGAUGUAAGCACCACUUCUUGGUGCUGAACCCCUUAUACUUGGCGUCAUAUUGUUUCUUUAAUGCUUUGGUUCUUGCGUGUGAUUGUUGCUCGAUAAUCUGUGCUGUUAAUUCUCAAACCAUUGAUACAGAAUUAAUGUCUUAGGGAGAAUUUGGUUAGUCAUUUAGAUGACCUUUGCAACAACUACAUUUAGUCAUAAAAAUUAACAAUUUGUGACAGAACCCUUCAAUACAAAAUAUAUGUAAUGUAGUCUCACAUUAUUUUUAACCACAAUAUAUUUUAUUAUUUGGCUACUGUUUAUAUCGUAUUCAAAAAAUUGAAGUGACUUUUCUCAACCAUUAUUAAAACACAAAAUAAAUCCACAACAACAUAUUGUAGUGGCAUAAAUUGAAAUUUAGUGACCAAAAAAAUUGUAGUCACGUGAAAAAGGAUUUAAAAUAUGUAAUUACAAUCCAAAAGAUUCAAAUACAAAGCAUGACAUUGAAAUCCAAAUAAAUAUUGUUCCUUGCAAAGAAAUAUAAAGAUAGAAGUCAUAAAACAAAGUCUCUUUUGUUUCAAGUACCAUUGGAUUUAGAUGUUGCACAUGAGAGUUGAUCAACCACGAUGAACAGAAGACAGUUUACAACGAUUCUACUUGUUUUUUCCUGAUCGUUUUUGUAAUUGAUUUUGUUAGAAAAUCAAUUUAAGGAUUAAAUUACUUGAAAAACCCAAAAAAAAAAAAUAUUCAGUAUAAAAGUAAAGAAAAUGUAUCGACAAAAGUUAGAAGUAUUUAAUAAAGGUUAGCCAUAACUUCAUUAUGCUAAAUUGCUUUAAUAAAGUAGCUAAACAUAAACAAAACUCGGCAACUAUAAAGACCUACAAUAGUAGGCUAAAAUAAAUCACAACCAGCAAUUGUAGUGAUCCAAAAGCAACAUAGAAAGACUGGAAAAUAGUAAAAAGUAAUGUAUGAAAUUAAGAGAAAAUAGUGCCAAAAAAACUGCAAAACUCAAUAAAUAAAGUAGGAAUACAACAGUAUAUUAAAGAAGAUUAAUUCAUUAUUACUGUGUUAAUAAGGUUUUUUUAGUAACAAUGUCGUCUCCAAUUGAUUUUAUAGGGGCUACACGUAAUUGAUAAUUUCAUCCAACACCAGGGCCUUUCCAAUUACCUAAUUUUAUGCCAAACCAUAUGAAGUUUAUAAGAAUUAUUAUAAGCAUGAAAACUCAUAAUUUGUUUUAAAACAGGAAAGAGUGAAUAAAUAAAUAAAAAGAAGAAUUCAAAUUACUUAAUUACCACAGCCAGUAACAAGUUUUUGUAAAAUUUUCAUCCUCUCACUAACUUUCUCUCUUCUUACUCGAAACCAAAUAAUGACAAGACUUUAUAAAAAAAAUAAUGACGAGACAACAACCCGUUAGACUUUCACAAAAAUUGGAAAUUAAAAUAAUGUAAUAGGUGAUUAGGGAUAAAAAGGAAAAAAAGUUUAAAUUUGUAUCAAUGUACUCAUCCUUUUACUAAUAUAUAUGUGACAAUCAUCAGAUUGUACUAACACUACCUUUCCUCCUUUUACUAAGUAUUAGUCAUAAUUUUAACGAAUGAGAUUUUUGGGUUGGCGGGCAAUAUUGCCAUCAGAGAGAGUGAUCCAUUGAAAAUUAUGUCAGAUUUCCUAAUGGAAUGGCAGCGUUUCACUAGCUAGUCAAAGUGGAAUAUUAAGAUAAUGUUUCAUUUAUAUGACUUUUAUUUACACAAACCCUAAAAGGUUGGGCAAGAAAACACAAAAUUCUGACUCGUAGACCUUUAGCUGGUUGUAUGCACUGUUCAACCAGCGUAAGCAUGCUCACCGAAUUAACUUUCUAUCGUCAUGUCUCUUUUCUUUUUUAAAAGAUAGGAUGAACAAAAUACAAAUUAAUUUGUAGUCACUAUUGUUUUUAAGAUUCGAAAUUUAGUUGAUUAGCACAAGAAAAUUACUUAAAAUUAUCAAAUUGAAUGGCAAUAAAAUCAAUUUUUAAUUUACUCACGACAAUGAAAUAAAGAGUAAUUAAAUAUGCACAUCAAAUCAUCCAUCUACUGCAUAUGUCGUCCAUAUUUUUUUUUUCUUUCAUUCAUAUUUAAUGACUCUUUAUUUCAUCACCAACCGUCCAACCCAACAUUUUCUUAUUGUCCUGCUAACCAACUGGACCAUCAUAUAUUAUGAACUAUAUUCAGUGUUAUUUAAUUAUAUAUCUGCUUGUACUCCAAUGUUCUCUCUCUAUCUCUUUUGUUUUUUUUUUUUUGGCUUUUUAAUAACUAUUUUAAUUAAUCAAGCUUAUGAAUAAUGAGGAUUGAAUAUUAAAGAGUUUAAUUGUAUAGGAGCCAAUUUGUGAAAAAGAAACUACAGUUUGAUUCGAUUUAACCUAGCUCUAAAUUCACCUUUCAUUGUUAUUCCGCCGUCUGCAAGAUGGAUGGAUGCACCAUGCCCAUUAUUUCAGAGAACUGACUUAAGCGACCACACUGCAAAUGUAAUUUGCUACGACACACAAUUAUGCAUAAUUUUUCAACAUGUUUCUAGAUGUCAAAGUAUCUAUCAAUAAUUGAAUGACACUUAUCACAUUAUCACUUUUCAUUAGGUCACAUCUGUGAUUCGCAAAAGCUCUUGCAUGUGCACAGGAAUUAAUUGGGUUUUGUUUCCAUCGCCUCCAAUUACGUACCCAAUGUCUAGGGAUGACAACGGGGUAGAUUAAUAGAUAUGGGUUGGAUCUACUCUGCUAUACAUUCAGAUUCAUAAUAAAAAUCAAGAUCCGUAUCUGCUCUAGAUCCGUCAUAAAUUCAUAUAUUUCGCUCUAUAUCCAGAUCAAAAAAAGAAAUAAAUAUCUAUAUCUGCUAUAAAUUCGAAAAAAAAAUUAAAAUCCAAAUAUACUCUAGAUCCAUCAUGAAUUCUAAAACUCAGCAAUAAAAAAGUAAUAAUAUUUUAGAAUGAAAAUUGAAGGUUAAAAUGUUUUGAUAACAAAUAAAUUAUAUAAUUUAUCUCAAAAUAUAAUAAAUAUUGUAGUUUAUACUUUUACACCAAAACAACAAAUAAGAAAGAUAAUAAAAUAUUCUUCAAAAGUAAUUACAUAAGUAAGAUCAAUAUAAUAUUCUAUCGUUUCCUUCAUCAUUCUAAUAUCCACACACACCCACCCUCAUUCUUACAAUAUUAGAUAAUUACAUAUAAAUAAAAUAUGAUUUAUAUUCAGUGUUUUAUUAUGGCCAUAUUUGACUAAAUAUAUAAAUAACUAUAUUUCUUAAAAAUUAUUUGGCCAAUAUAGUAAAAUAAAUUGCCAAGUUGUAUUACUUGGCUUGCAAUUUGAAUAUUGCAUGUACAUACUUUGGGGUUGACUAACCUUUAAAUUUACAAAACUAACAUUUAAGUUUUAAGAGUUUAAAUGCAUGAUAAAUACCACUAAUAUGCUAUGAAUAAAAUUUAUUAUCAUUAUAAUUCUACAAUUGUUAUGAGACUUUUAAAAUAAAAUAAAAUUAAAAGAUGAGUGGGUGGAUAUGGAUUUAGAUAUUAUGAUAGAUCUAGACCUGCCCCAGAUCCGUCUUAGAUCCGCACAUUAAUAUCAAAAUUCGAUCUAAAUUCAUUUUAAACCGACCCAAAUCCGAUCCGAUUAGAUUUGGAUCACCUGGAUCUUGGAUCAGAUCCAAUCCAUUGCCAUCCCUACCAACGCCAAUCGAGUGGACUGCUCCAACUAUACUCGUACCCAUCCCAUAUUCCCACCCAAUAUUGGGUUCACGGAUUCGAGUUCCAUUCUUAUGAUAGGAUUCUUGAUAUUUUAAGUAAUAUUUAAAGAUAAUAUUAUAUUUACUUAAUUGAGAUAUUUAUAUUUAUGUAUAAGUAAUUUUUAUUUUUUAUUUUUAAUUUAAAUAAUAAAAUUUUAUCCCUAAUACAUUAAUUAAUAUAUCAAUUAAAUAUAUUAAAUUAAGAAAAAUUUUAAAAUACAUCAGAAAUAUCAUAUCAAUUAUACAAUAAUUAAAUAAUAUUAUAAUACGUGUGUAUUUAUUUAAAAAAAAUAUUAUAUAAAUAAUAAUUAUAUUAAAUUUAACUAUGCAUACAACAAUUAAUUAAUUGUAAUACAGAUGACUCAGUCAAAUAAAAACAGUAAUUCUGUCCUGCACAGGCCAAAUCCUUUCAUUAUCAUCUUUACAAAAGCAAACGCCCUCCACAUUUUGUGCUCUGCUUCUUCUCCAUGGAUUCCACCAACGCAUCAUCAGAAGUCGCCCAUGACUUCUCUCCUUUGAUAAAAGUACACAAAGACGGCAAAGUAGAAAGGCUUAGGGGCACCGAUAUCGUUCCCCCAUCACUUGAUCCCAAAACAAACGUUGAUUCCAAAGACGUUGUGUAUUCUCCUGAAAAUAAUUUAUCUGCUCGGCUUUACCUCCCGAAAAACACAAAUCAAAACCAAAAACUUCCCCUUCUUGUUUAUUUUCACGGUGGAGGUUUUUGCAUCGAGACUGCUUUUUCACCAACUUACCAUAAUUACCUCAACGACUUGGUCUCUGAAGCUAACAUCAUCGCAGUCUCGGUCGACUACCGAAGAGCCCCAGAGCAUCCCCUUCCUAUCGCUUAUGAAGAUUCAUGGGACGCAGUCAAAUGGGUUGCUUCCCAUGUUGACGGAAAUGG
rnacentral:lncRNA from 1 species